rnacentral:lncRNA from 1 species
AAGAUUGAUUCUUUCAAUGCACCCUAUUAUGCUCCAUCUGCUCAGGAAGUGAGAUCUGUAGUAGAAGAAGAAGGUUCGUUCACAAUUAAUUGUCUUGAGGCCUUCGAGAUUGAAUGGGAUGGGGGUGCUCCAAGCAAUAAUAAUUUCCAAAAACACAUUGAUAAAAUCGAAAAAGAUAAUUUUUCAAGGGGACAGCAAGUGGCUAAAACAAUUAGGGCUGUGGUUGAAUCAAUGCUGGAAGUCCAUUUUGGAAGAAAAAUCAUAGAUGAAUUGUUUAAAAGAUAUGCUCAGGUGGUUGGUGAUUACUUUUCCAGAACUAGUGCAAAAAACAUUGACUUGGUAAUUUCUUUGACCAAAAAGGGUUAAUUGAAGUAAUCACUGAGGAAAUUAUGCAUAAUGUUUACUUGUUUUACUGAAUAAUGUUUUUUAUUUAUCCGUUAUGAGUGACAUGAACAUGUUCUUCGGUAUCCUCAUGGAUACUCGUAUGAUUCGAAAAGUUCCUAUUUUUAAUUGAAUACUUUCUCUAAUCUAGAAUGUUGAUGUAAUAUUUAUGACAAUAAUUAGUUUGCAACUUUCCCCAAAGAAUGAUAAUCUUGAUUUUCUAAUUUUUAUGACGCAUGUUAUAAUAUGUUUUUCCUUUUACAAAUUUAGCUCUCUUUUCAGGGGCUAUAUGCAUGGAAAGUUUUUUGCUAUAUUUUGUUGAAGUGGCAACUUAUUUAUUUUUUAGCAUUAGUGAUCACACAUCAUUAACAAAGCCCGCAAAGAACCGCCUACAAAGCAAGAGCUCCUAAGAGUUAAUUUAUUUAUUUUUUCAAAAGAAUAGAAAUUUUGAAAGAAAAUAUGAUACGUAGUCAAGUUGUUUCGACUUGGUUGCUUGCUAAUAAAUUUUUAAAUAAAAUGAAAAUUUCAUUUUUCAACAAGAUUUGGUGUUAGAUGUUCGUAAAACCAUCCUAAACUUUGAGGUUAAUAACAAUCUUGUUGUUUUAAUACAAUAUUAGAUAUCAGGAUGUCUAAUGGAAUGUAUAAUGAGGCCUAGGAUCGGUACGAAUGUGGUUUGUAAUAAGGUUGAUGAUUAUCAGUUUCGAAGAUGAUGUUGACAAAAUAAAAAAAAAUUGAGUACUUUAAUUGCUAUGAAUAUUAGUCCAUGCAAUGGAUUCUGAACGCAAUAAUAUGUGGCUAUAUAUUUUUCUCCAUUCCAAGCUAAGUUCGACUUCUUGCAAUGUGACGAUACAAAUUUUGAAUUAUUUUCCUUCAAAUUGAUUAAUUUUCUCUUUCUUAACCAAAGAUACGACAAUCCUAUCCAAGAGGAUAUAGGUGAAUUAUUUAUUGUCGUAAGAUUUUCUUUCUUGAUUAAUUAGUAAUUUUUCUUUCUGUUUAUUUAUUUUUGGUUUAUUAAUUCUACUUCUCUUUGAAGUUUAGUUUUCUUUUGUUUUAUGAUAUUGUUUCCUUAGACCAUUAGGAUUAGGACUUUAGUUAUUUCUUUGCCUAUAUAAGAAGGGGUUUAGCACUCUUUGUACUAACCAAUUCAUUAUAAUUAGAUUCUCUAUAAAAUUUUGAGCUUUUUCAACAGUCUUCUUCUUCCAAGAUUUUUAAUUUCACUUCUGCACCAACGUCAAAACAACUUUUGCAUAUUCACUAGGUAGGCUUCAUGACACGUCAACUUUGAUAUGUUCCUUAUUUUCUUGAAGUCUAAAUGGCACAAACUAGUAGAUUUUCAUUAAAAGGGUUGCGUAAUUCGAUGAACAUGACAAAUAUCUUGGUUUACUUUUGGUGGUUAGUUGAAACCAAAAAAAGGAAAAAAAAAAGAAAAAAAAAGGAACAUUUGCAAGAAUAAACGAUAAACCCUAGAGUAAGGUAAAGGUUGGAAUAGGGGUUUGUUUUUGGUGAAGGGCGUAGAGAACCCAGUAAAAGCUGUUUUACAAUUAGUGUCUACCUAUGUGAUGAGCAUUGAUAAGUGUUACACUAAUCUUGGUCAUCAAAAAGGGACUUUGGGAGUACUUAUAUUAUUUUGAUACCUAUAUUAUGUUUAAUUCAGGAAAAACUUGGAUUGAACAAGUUUGGAUAAAUUGUGUUAGAUUAAAAUUGGCAAUUCAGUGAACAAAAAAGACUAAAUUGAAAAUGUGUAAAAGUCCAAGAGUGAGGUGCAAUUAGGUAUAGAUAUGUUAGGUAGGUUAGGGUUCAAGCUUGGAAUAAGAAAAGAAGAGUCAUCGCAAUUUCGCUUUCUUCUCGUCAAGACCUGCUCAAGCGAUAAAAACAUAAUGGACUUUGUUAGCUUGUUGUUAGGACGUUGCAAUAACGAAACAAUGUCGCUCACAAUUCGCUGGGUUAUAGCUCGAUCAAUAGUAUAUACUAAAAAACCCUAAUUUGUAAUUUUUGAGAAUUUUAAUAGGCCCAUACUACCCAAAACAUCUGCACCGCUUCAUGAAAAACCUUGGAUUGAGCAUUGUGAGAAAACACAUAUACUAUUUAUAUAUCAUUCAAUUCAUUCAUCCUUGGGUGUUGCAAUUGAAAAACAUCAAAACUCAUAAAAUCAAACAUAAAAAAUCCAUACUUCAAGAGUAUUUGUCAAAGGUUGAAUAUCGAGGAAGGUGAUCGGAGUUCCGGUUAAUGGAGAACAAGGAGUUCUCCACAGGAGAUAAACAUAUUUUUGGUUUAUUAAUUCUACUUCUCUUUGAAUUUUAGUUUUUUUUUGUUUUAUGAUAUUGUUUCCUUAGACCAUUAGGAUUAGGACUUUAGUUAUUUCUUUGCCUAUAUAAGAAGGGGUUUAGCACUCUUUUGUACUAACCAAUUCAUUAUAAUUAAAUUCUCUAUAAAAUUUUGAGCUUUUUCAACAGUCUUCUUCUUCCAAGAUUUUUAAUCUCACUUCUGCACCAACGUCAAAACAACUUUUGCAUAUUCACUAGGUAGGCUUCAUGACGCGUCAACUUUGAUAAGUUCCUUAUUUUCUUGAAGUCUAAAUGGCCCAAACUAGUAUACUUUCAUUAAAAGGGUUGCGUAAUUCGAUGAACAUGACAAAUAUCUUGGUUUACUUUUGGUGGUUAGUUGAAACCAAAAAAAUGAAAAAAAAAAAAAAAAAAGGGAAGAUUUGCAAGAAUAAACGAUAAACCCUAGAGUAAGGUAAAGGUUGGAAUAGGGGUUUGUUUUUGGUGAAGGGCGUAGAGAACCCAGUAAAAGCUGUUUUACAAUUAGUGUCUACCUAUGUGAUGAGCAUUGAUAAGUGUUACACUAAUCUUGGUCAUCAAAAAGGGACUUUGGGAGUACUAAUAUUAUUUUGAUACUUAUAUUAUGAUUAAUUUAGGAAAAACUUGGAUUGAACAAGUUUGGAUAAAUUGUGUUAGAUUAAAAUUGGCAAUUUUGUGAACAAAAAAGACUAAAUUGAAAAUGUGUAAAAGUCCAAGAGUGAGGUGCAAUUAGGUAUAGAUAUGUUAGGUAGGUUAGGGUUCAAGCUUGGAAUAAGAAAAGAAGAGUCAUCACAAUUUCGCUUUCCUCUCGUCAAGACCUGUUCAAGCGAUAAAAACAUAAUGGACUUUGUUAGCUUGUUGUUAGGACGUUGCAAUAACGAAACAAUGUCGCUCACAAUUCGCUGGGUUCUAGCUCGAUCAAUAGUAUAUACUAAAAAACCCUAAUUUGUAAUUUUUGAGAAUUUUAAUAGGCCCAUACUACCCAAAACAUCCAUUAUAUAAACAUCUGCACCGCUUCAUGAAAAACCUUGGAUUGAGCAUUGUGAGAAAACACAUAUACUAUUUAUAUAUCAUUCAAUUCAUUCAUCCUUGGGUGUUGCAAUUGAAAAACAUCAAAACUCAUAAAAUCAAACAUAAAAAAUCCAUACUUCAAGAGUAUUUGUCAAAGGUUGAAUAUCGAGGAAGGUGAUUGGAGUUCCGAUUAAUGGAGAACAAGGAGUUCUCCACAGGAGAUAAACGAAAUAAAAAAAUCGAGAGUUGGUGCAAGAGCACGCAAUCCAGGAGCACUUUGGAAAUUAUAGUCAGGAUGUCAAACAGUACUUGUGUUCGUCGAGUUUGGCAGUACUGUAUGUUGAUUUGUCUAUAGUGGAUACAUACUGGCUUAGGCUCGGAGUUUUUAAUUCCCAAGGGAUUUUCUCUGUCAAUAGAUAUCCUGUGUUAUUUAUUUUCUUGCAAAUUAUUAUACCACGACAAUUCAACAUAGGAUAGAUUGCAUGUGAAUUCAUUUGGACUAAUUAAUAGAUUGACUCGUUGCAAUUAUUAAUAAUUUGUUUAAAUUCUGCAUAAACACCUAUUUACCCCAUUAGGUGUUAGUUGGGUCGAACUAUAUAAUUUUAAAGUGGUAUCAGAGCUUAAAUUGAUUCCUGACCCAAAUUUAGUAUAGAUGAGUCAAUCUCUGUCUAUGCCUUCGUUUUUUGAAGGAAGCAACUAUGCAUACCGAAAGGUCAGAAUAUGAGCAUUCCUUACGUCCCUAGAGGAGUGUAUUUGGGUUAGUGUGCAAAAUGGUUGGUUCAUACUCUCUGUUGUUGUGCCAGUGUAGUUACGCCACAAGUAUUUCACUUUGGACUGAGGAUGAAUUAGCUGAGUGAAAUUGGAACAGUAAAAGACUUCAUGCAUUGUUUAUGGUUGUGUUUCCAGAAGAGUUUAGAAGAAUGUCAAUGCGUGAGACUGCUAAAGAGGUUUGGGACAUUUUAGAGACCAUACACGAGGGAAUGAAUACCAUUAAAAACUCCAAACUGCAGAUGUUGACUUCUAGGUUUGAAAAAAUCAAAAUGACGGAAGAUGAAUCAUUUUAUGAAUUUUAUGCAAAGUUGAAUAACAUAAUAAACUCUAACUUCAGCCUAGGUGAAAAGAUACCUGAAUCCAAGAUUGUCUAAAAAGUCCUUUUAUCCUUUUAUCUAGGUUUGAAGGGAUCCUACAAGUUCUUUUAUCUUGACUGUAUCUAAGUUCUUACUCUCUUCAUAUGAACUCACCAUAUUACAGCUUAAAAAAAAAAGGUCCAAUGCCUUAAACACCUUGAAGAAAGAGAAAUUUGAGUCAACUGAUACUGAGUCACUUAAAGAUGAAGAGACAACUUACUUUGUUUUGAAGUUUCAAAAAGUCCUUAAAAAUAAUGAAACAUCAAGAAAGAACAAAGGGAAUCCCUAAUAAAGUUCUUAAAGACAAGCAUGAUAAGGUUGGUUGUAAUAGUUCUAGUGACAAAACCUGUUCAAUUAGAUGUCAUGAGUGUCAGAGGUUUGCUUACUAUAGGAUCAAAUGUCUUAGCUGUAAUAAGAACUUAAAUAAAGGAAAGGGCAAGACAUUGGUAGUGUCACUAACGGAUGAUGAAACAUAUUCUAGUGAAUAGAGUGAGUCGUAUAGAAGUGAGAUGAAAGGACCUAUCUGGUCUUUAUAUCUAGUGUGAAUCAAACAAGUAGAAGUUCGAGGAAGCAGAAUGAAGUGAGGAUUCUAAGGAAGACUCUGAGGAUAAGACUAAUAUCACAAGGCUUAUCAAUUGUCGUUUAAGGAGAGCUUUGAGAUUAAGAAGGCUGAUAAAGCCCCAUUGAAGAAGGUUGAUGAACUUGAGAGAGAAAAAGAGAGACUCAUAGGUGAUCUUCAGGAUUCGACCAAUAAUCUUAAUGAGUUGAGGUGUGUCAAUGAGAAGUUAGAAGAUAAGGUAAAAACUCUAACAAGUGACUUGGAAAGAUCAAACACUCAACUCCAAUCUUUCUUGAACGGGACUAGGAAACUCUAUAACUUGUUAAGGAUGAAUAAGCCCUCUGGAGAUAGGCAAGGUCUGGAUGUGUUAAGAAUGAUAACUAUGUUACCAGUACAUCCAAGACCAUAUUUGUCCCUGCCUCCAAUAGAUCUAGUAACACUACUAAUCCUAAACCCAAGGACAAGGAUUUCUUAGGACAGAGGACCCUAGAACAUGUAGGACCACAAGCCUAAAAAUCAUUAUCAACAAUCACAUAGUUUUGAACCUAGGUUUAUUCCUACCUGUUAUAAUUGUAGUGUUCUAGGACACACGAGGCCUAGGUGUCAUAAGCUUGACAAUAAAGGUAGAGGUCACGAUAUUUCUAGCCAUGUUAACUUCCUAUUGAAUUAGGUUAGUCACUUGACAGAGAUGCUAACUAAAUUGACUUGGAUUAUCUCAACUUCUAGGAACGUUUGGUUUAAGAAAAGUGAUCUCAUUAGGAGUAAGGGGAAGUUGAAUUGCUUUGUUGCCCAUGUUGCAUUUAAGGCUCAAAAUAACUUCAUGUGGUACCUUGAUAGUGCUUGAUCUAGACAUGUGUGAAAAUAAGGCCAUGUUCUCUAUUCUUGAUGCAUGUAAUAGUGGUAUAGUUACCUUUGGAGAUGGGGCCACUGCAUCUAUCUUUAGUAAAUGUACCAUCCACAUAUCUGGAUUGCCUGCUAUAUCCAAUGUUCUUUAUGUGGAAGGUCUAAAAUAUAAUUUAUUGAGCAUAAGCCAGAUCUGUGAUGCUGAUUAUGAGGUAAGUUUUGUCCAGAAAAUAUGUACUAUUUAUGACCCUUUAGGUGAUAUUGUCCUUGAAGGAGUCAGGACUUCUAACAAUUGAUAUGGAGUUCUUCCAAAUUCGAACUAUAUGUGUAGCAAUGCUAAGAUUUAUGUAACUGAGCUUUAGCAUCAAAGACUUGGUCAUCUGAACUAUAAGAGUUUGUUGAAAUUAGCUAAAAAGGAACGUAUUGAUGGUUUACCCAAACUUGAAUUAAUUGACAAUGUUGUAUAAGGACCACGUCAACAAGGUAAACAACCUAGGUUACAUCAUAAAUAAAUCUCUAAAAUCUUGACAAAUAGGCCUCUAGAGCUAUUUCAUAUAGACUCAAUGGGACCAUCUAGGACUGAGAGCCUAGAAGGUAAGUGCUAUAUCUUGUUUGUGAUAGAUGAUUUCUCUAGGUAUACAUGGAUUCAAUUUUUGAGAGAAAAAUCUAAAGCAUCUAGUCUGGCCAAAUCCUUGUGCAAGAGGCUUAGUAAUGAACCAAGUCUCACUGUAUGUGGAGUUCGAAGUGACCAUGGAAAGAGUUUGAAAACUCCAACCUUGAAUACUUCUAUAUGGAUGAGGAAAACUAGCAUCAGUUUUCUUUACCUAUCACUCUACGGUAGUCGAGAGGAAAAAUUGAGUACUUCAAGAAAUGGCUAGAACCAUACUUUGCGACAAGAGGCUAGCACUACAUUUCUGGAGGGAAGCCAUUAGCACUGCGUGUCACAUAGUUAACAUAGUAUACCUUAGACCUAAAACUAAUAAGACCCUUUAUGAGAUUUUGAAGGGUAAAAGGCCUACUAUCAAACACUUUUGUGUGUUUGACUAUAAGUGCUACGUUCUAAGGGAUAGAGAGAACUUGGGUAAAUUUGAUUCAUAGAGUGAUGAGGAAAUCUUUCUAGGAUACUCUAGGAACAAUAGAGCCUAUCGUGUAUACAAUUCGCGCACUCAAGUUGUUAUAGAGUUGAUAAAUGUUGUGAUUAACGAGAAUAUCGGUGAGGGGAAGGGUAUGAGAAAUUGGUAUGAGUUGGAUAAUUUAAGAGUUGAUCCGGUAACGAUUACUGAACCUAAAGAACAAACAAUUCUAGAAGCCCCACAUUCUCCUAAAGUCUAAUCAUCCUAAGGAAAUUAUUACUGGGGAUCUAGAAGAAUGAAUGAGACUACGCAAGAGAGUUCUAAACAACCUGACUUACACCAACUAUGUUUCCUAGAUUGAGCCUAAGAACGUUGAGGAAGCCCAUAAACAUGAAUGUUGAGUCAAUGCAAUGCAUGAGGAACUCAAUCAGUUUAUGAGAAAUAAUGUGUGGCAUUUAGUCCCUAGGCUUGAAAAGUGUAAUGUGAUAGGUACCAAGUGGAUAUUUAAGAAUAAAAUCGACAACCAAGGUACCAUAACUAGUAAUAAGGCUAGGUUGGUUGCCCAAUGAUACACUAGGGUGAAGGUGUUGACUUUCAUGAGACAUUUUCUCCAAUUACACGUCUUUAAUCCAUUUGAAUUCUCCUUAUUGUCACUUAUACCCUAGGUUUCAAGCUUUAUUAAAUAGAUGUCAAGAAUGCCUUCUUGAAUGGAAUACUUCAGGAAGAAGUUUAUGUUGAACAACCAAAAUGAUUUAUUGAUCCAAAGUUUUUCUCACUAUGUCUUCAAACUUAAUAAAGCUUUGUGUGGUUUGAAACAAGCUCCUAGAGCUUGGUACGAUAGACUUAAGGCGUACCUCAUGGAACGUAGUUUCUUUAGAGGUGGUGUUGACAGACUUUGUUUAUAUGACAUAUUGAAAAAACCAUCACCAACAUAUAGAUUUAUGUCGAUGACAUAAUUUUUGGCUUUCCCAUUGAUUCUCUUGCUCAUGAAUUUUGCGGGACGCAUGAAACAAUAAUUUGAAAUGAGUAUGAUUGGGAAACUAAGUUAAUUUCUUGGUCUCCAAGUAAAGCAAACAGAUAAUGAGUUGCUUAUCUCUCAAUCAAAGUACGCUGAAGAUCUUGUCAAGAGAUUUGGGCUAAAUAGUAAGAAACACACUAGGACACCCAUGAACAUGAGUGUUAAGUUAGGUCAUGAUCCUAUAGGCAAGAAUGUAGAUCCCACACUUUACAUGAGUAUGAUAGGUAUGCAUCUAUUUCAUCACACUUUGAAGGAGAGUGCGAAAAUAUGGAUGAUGUCACAACCUUUUAGGAGCAUUGUAUCGUGAAAUGACAUGAUUUAAAAAUUUACCAUGAAGUUUUUCCCCCAACUUGAGUUCAUCAAAUCUAGAAUAAAAUCCACACAUUUAAGUAGAAAAACCUCAAAAGCUAUCCAAAAGUAUGGGAAAGGUAUAAAAACUUAUUCAGGAAGUGCCCCAAUCUUAAGAUUCCUAAACAAGCACAAGUAUACAUCUUUUACUAUAGAAUAUGCCAAGAAUUCAAGAAUAUGGUAGAUGCUUUAGCGAGAGGUUAUAAUUUGUAUGAGAGGAUAGCUAAAAAUUAAUCGAUGUGGCAGAGCGAUAGAGAAGUCCAAAGGAAAACAACUGGCAUAUAUAACGUGGACGAUAGCAUUGACAGCACAGAUGGAGGCAAUAACUAGAAAGCAUGACACUUUGACCUAUUCUGUGAAUAUGGUGCAAACUUCAAUUCUGAAGUGCACAGGUUGUGGGGGUAGAUCACAUCACUGCAAGCUGUCCUUUGGCUUCCACCCAUAUAGGUUAGCUAGCAGAGGUCAAUUAUCUGCAGAACUAUCAGAGAUAAAAUGGACCUUACCUACACAACUAUCAUUCGAGUUUGAACAAGAAUCCUAACUACACGUGGGUUGAUAAUUCGAAUUAAGUAAAUCAGAUGAGAGGCAAUCCACCAGCGAUUCAGCAACAAAAAGAAAAGAGAAAAUCACUAAAGGAUCUACUUGUCGAGUACAUCAUCAAAACUGAGAAGGUGAUACCGAAUCAGCAAGCCCCUAUACAUAACUUAUAGAAAUAUGGGGGACAGAUGGCAGCUGCAUUAGCCAACACAGCACAAGGUACUCUGCCAAGUGAUACAGAAAAGAAUCCCAGGGAACAUGUACUAACAAUUGAAGCGGUGAAUUAUACAACUAUUGAGCUCCAAUCACUUAUUCCCACUACCCGUGUCAAAGUUUAUUUUCUACCUAUUCCAUUUCCUCAAAGGCAUUGAAGAAAGCCUAAAGGGAAAAAGGUUUAGACCAUUACAACAAGAAGCAGAGUUCAGUGACCAAAAAUCAUUGCAAAUAUGAAAGAGACACAGAGCACUCAAACUCCCACUAAGGGUAAGGAACCGAUGGAGCAGUCUGAAGAAGCAAUGGAAAAAGAUCAAAUAAUUGUGUCAAAUAGUCCACAGCUUAAGGCAAAUGUUCUUGGCACUACACUGACACAUCUGGUCCCUUUUCCUCAAAGGUUGCAGAAAGCCAACUUGGAGAUGCAAGCUAUGAAAUUCCUGGAGGUCCUCAAAAAUUUUCACGUCAAUAUCCCAUUCAUUGACGCUAUCCUUUAAAUACCAAACUAUUCUAAAUUUUUGAAUGAGAUGCUGACUAAAAAGAGGAAGAUGCAUGAGAAUGAAACAAUAGUACUAUCUGAAGAAUACAGCACAAUCAUCCAGCACAGGAUCCCUCCCAAACUCAAAGAUCUAUGGAGUUUUACUCUACCUUGCUCCAUAAGAAAUUUGAAUGAUAUAAAUUGUUUAAUUGAUUCAGGAGNNNNNNNNNNNNNNNNNNNNNNNNNNNNNNNNNNNNNNNNNNNNNNNNNNNNNNNNNNNNNNNNNNNNNNNNNNNNNNNNNNNNNNNNNNNNNNNNNNNNNNNNNNNNNNNNNNNNNNNNNNNNNNNNNNNNNNNNNNNNNNNNNNNNNNNNNNNNNNNNNNNNNNNNNNNNNNNNNNNNNNNNNNNNNNNNNNNNNNNNNNNNNNNNNNNNNNNNNNNNNNNNNNNNNNNNNNNNNNNNNNNNNNNNNNNNNNNNNNNNNNNNNNNNNNNNNNNNNNNNNNNNNNNNNNNNNNNNNNNNNNNNNNNNNNNNNNNNNNNNNNNNNNNNNNNNNNNNNNNNNNNNNNNNNNNNNNNNNNNNNNNNNNNNNNNNNNNNNNNNNNNNNNNNNNNNNNNNNNNNNNNNNNNNNNNNNNNNNNNNNNNNNNNNNNNNNNNNNNNNNNNNNNNNNNNNNNNNNNNNNNNNNNNNNNNNNNNNNNNNNNNNNNNNNNNNNNNNNNNNNNNNNNNNNNNNNNNNNNNNNNNNNNNNNNNNNNNNNNNNNNNNNNNNNNNNNNNNNNNNNNNNNNNNNNNNNNNNNNNNNNNNNNNNNNNNNNNNNNNNNNNNNNNNNNNNNNNNNNNNNNNNNNNNNNNNNNNNNNNNNNNNNNNNNNNNNNNNNNNNNNNNNNNNNNNNNNNNNNNNNNNNNNNNNNNNNNNNNNNNNNNNNNNNNNNNNNNNNNNNNNNNNNNNNNNNNNNNNNNNNNNNNNNNNNNNNNNNNNNNNNNNNNNNNNNNNNNNNNNNNNNNNNNNNNNNNNNNNNNNNNNNNNNNNNNNNNNNNNNNNNNNNNNNNNNNNNNNNNNNNNNNNNNNNNNNNNNNNNNNNNNNNNNNNNNNNNNNNNNNNNNNNNNNNNNNNNNNNNNNNNNNNNNNNNNNNNNNNNNNNNNNNNNNNNNNNNNNNNNNNNNNNNNNNNNNNNNNNNNNNNNNNNNNNNNNNNNNNNNNNNNNNNNNNNNNNNNNNNNNNNNNNNNNNNNNNNNNNNNNNNNNNNNNNNNNNNNNNNNNNNNNNNNNNNNNNNNNNNNNNNNNNNNNNNNNNNNNNNNNNNNNNNNNNNNNNNNNNNNNNNNNNNNNNNNNNNNNNNNNNNNNNNNNNNNNNNNNNNNNNNNNNNNNNNNNNNNNNNNNNNNNNNNNNNNNNNNNNNNNNNNNNNNNNNNNNNNNNNNNNNNNNNNNNNNNNNNNNNNNNNNNNNNNNNNNNNNNNNNNNNNNNNNNNNNNNNNNNNNNNNNNNNNNNNNNNNNNNNNNNNNNNNNNNNNNNNNNNNNNNNNNNNNNNNNNNNNNNNNNNNNNNNNNNNNNNNNNNNNNNNNNNNNNNNNNNNNNNNNNNNNNAAACUUCUCUUUAAAGCCUUUAUGACUCGAGCAAUUAAGCAUACAAGGGUAUGUUAAAACUUGGUAUCCUAAAGUCAACUAACUUGGGAGUUAUCGGCCUAAAGCUCGUUACAGGGGUCAUUCAGAAAGUAAUCAGAGAUAAAGUGUGGAUGGUGGCUGAAUUUUAUUGAGAGAUACAUACAACUUGGUUGCCGGCAAGGGGAAUUAGAGAAAAACAUUGCAGCCACUAAAAACUCUUACUGAUACCAAAAAGGGGUUGCUUUGGGUAUAUAUAUAUAUAUAUACACAUACAUACCACAUAUGGCAGCCAAGUGGAGAGAAAGGAAGAAUUUUUGGGUUUACUUUGGAGACAAAAAGACAAGCUGCUGGCUGGAAUUGAUUAGUGUUUAUACCCAAAAAAAAAAAAAAUCCUACGGGGAUACCAUUGGGAAUAAAUAAGAGAGAAGAUGGCUGGUGGUUUAUAUCAUAUAUUGAUACAAAGGCAGCUGGAGGAUAGGGAGAGAAGAAGAAAGUGAGGGCUGCUUGGUAGAAGCUGAAUUGAACUUCUCAAACAAUACAAGUGGCGACUGUUGGAAGAAAAACGAGUGGGCAGCUUUUAAGAAUUGGGUGGCUGCAAGAUACAUAAACACGCAACACAAGGCUGGAGUUGAGAAGAAAAAAUAUAUGUUCAAAGAGAAGAUUCGCGGAAGAAAAUGACACACACAGGGAAUAAAUUACGUUCCAUCAAUUUUUCGGUGAUGUCUCUCCAUUUUCACGUGUUUAAUUCCAACAUUAUGUUAGGCUAAGUCUUCUCAUGUACUGGAUGAAGAUGAAACCCUUUGUUAUUUGUUUUUAAUUCGAGACACAUGGCUUAGUUAAAUUUUUGCAAAUCUUGAUUAAUCUUGUAUGCUUAAUUUUAUUGUUUAAUUGUCUGGUCACCAAUUAAAUAUAUGUUCGAUUGUUAUAGUAUUAGGAGGCUCACAAUAGGUCUAGAACACUACUUGAUUAACAUGCGUGUAAUAAAUUUUGGGAAUAAGAUUUAUCACGCGUUCAAUCUUUGAGAUAAUUGUGAAAUUGAAUGCGUUUUAUUCAUUUGAAUUCAGACUAGAAAUAAAUUCGAGUAAUGAAUAGGAUAUAUUUAAUUUGUCUAGGAAAAGAAAAUUAAUUACAACAAAAUUAUCGAUUGUUAAAAAUGCAAGAAGGAAACUAGCUACGUAGUCAAGAAUUAUAAUAGAUAAUAAUAGUUGGAUUCGUACUCUAAUACACUCUUCCCAGAUACUUAUUAAAUUUGCAUUUUACUCGCUUUCAUAGAUUAAUUAAAAAUCACAAAACACUUUUAUUUUGUUUACUUUGAAUCUAAUUAGGACUAGUACACUCAAUUAAAUUUUAUUUCUCAUGGAACGAUACUUUCAACUCAUUAAAUCUAUUACUUGUCAAUGAUCUCAUAUGCUUGCGGGUAUCACACGAACAAGUUUUUGACGCCGUUGCCGAAGAAUAAUUUAUUUAAUUUGAGUUUAUUAUCUAUUUUUAGAUUUGAAGUUUUUAUUCCUUUUUCUUUUUCCUUACUUUACUUGUUUUAGACUAUUCAUUGAAUGAUCUAAAUUUCUCGUUUUCCUCAUUUUAGGAAAUCAUAGUUUAUUCAAAAUUCUAAUGAGUUCGAGCUUCUUCCAAUAGAUUCUAAAAUUGAAAGAGCUUUCAUACAAUGAAGAAGAGGACAGAGACAAACGAGAGACAUUGCAGAAAAUCAACAUCGGAAUCAGGUUUAGAACCCAUUGCCACUAGCUCAAUCAAUUCAGCCAGAUCAGCCGAGGGUAGUGGCAAAUCAUGGAGAAGCUUUAGUGAGAGAUGUAAAUUCAGUGCUAGCACCAAUUCAACAUUCGAUCAUCUAUCCGCCACUGGGACAAGCUAACUUCCACAUUCGACCAGAUUGCAUAAACCUAAUUCAAAAUCAUUAAGAUAUCAUGUUCAGCAAGAAAGCUGCGGAAAAUCCACAUGAACACAUUCAAGUUUUUACCAUGCUGUUUGAUGUAAUUAGCCACGAGGGGAUGUCACGGGACACAUUUCGAAUGCGUCAAUUUUGUCACACGUUGAAGGAAUGUGCGAAAUUAUGGAUGAUGUCACAACCUCUUUGGAGCAUUAUAUCAUGGAAUGAUAUGAUUCAAAAAUUUACCAUGAAGUUUUUCUUGCUAACUCAAGUUCAUCAAAUCUGGAAUGAAAUCCACACAAUUAAUUAGAAAGACCUCAAAAGCUAUCCAGAGGUAUUGGAAAGGUAUAAGAACUUAUUCAGGAAGUGCCCCAAUCUUGACAUUCCUAAACAAACGCAAGUAUACAUCUUUUACUAUGGAAUAUGCCAAGAAUUCAAGAAUAUGGUAGAUGCUUUAGCGAGAGGUUAUGAGCUGUAUGAGAGGAUAGUAGAAAAUCAAUCGAUGUGGUCGAGCGAUAGGGAAGUACAGAGGAAAAAAAUUGGCGUAUAUAAUGUAGACACAGUGACGGCGUUGACAACAUAGAUGGAGGCAAUAACUUGAAAGCAUGAUAAUGUGACCUAUUCUGUGAAUAUGGUACAUACUCUAGCUUCGAAGUACACAGGUUAUGGGGCAAAUCACAUCACUACAAGCUGCCCUUUGGCUUCUAAUCAUAUAGGUCAGCCAGUAGAGGUAAGUUAUCCGCAGAACUGUCAGAGAGAAAAUGGACUUUACCAACACAACUACCAUCCGAGUUUGAACGAGCAUCAUAACUACGCGGGGGCUGAUAAUUCGAAUGAAGUAAAUCAGAUGAGGGGCAAUCCACCAGCGAUUCAGCAACAAGAUGAAAAGAGACAAUCAUUAAAGAAUCUACUUAUCAAUUACGUCAUGAAGACUGAGACGAUGAAACAGAAUCAGCAAGCCUCUAUACAUGACUUAGAGAAACAAGUGGGACAAAUGGCAGCUGCAUUAGCCAACAGAGCAUAAUAUACUCUGCCAAGCAAUACAAAAAGAACCUAAGGAACUAGGUAUUAGCAGUUGAAGCGGUGAAUUAUACAACUAUUGAGCUCCAACCGCUCACUCCCACCACCUCUAUCAAAGCUUAUGUUCUACCUAUUCCAUUUCCUCAAAGGCUUCGAAGAAAGCCAAAAGAGGAAAAUGUUCAUGCCAUUACAACUAGAAGCAGAGUUCAGGGACAAGAAAUCACUACAAAUAUGAAGGAAACAAAGAGCACUCAAUCUCCCACUAAGUGCAAGGAACCGAUAGAGCAGUAUGAAGAAGCAACAGAAAAAGAUCCAAAUAGUUGUUUCAGAUAGUCCACAGUUUAAGGCAAAUGUUCUUGGCACUACACUAACACUUCUAGUCCCUUUUCAUCAAAGGUUGUAGAAAGCCAACUUUGAGAAGCGAGAUAUGAAAUUCCUGGAGUUCCUAAAAAAAUUUCAUGUCAACAUCCCAUUCAUUGACGCAAUCCUUCAAAUACAAAACUAUUCUAAAUUUUUGAAUGAGAUGUUAACAAAAAAGAGAAAGAUGCAUGAGCAUGAAACAAUAGUACUAUUUGAAGUGUGCAGCAUGAUCAUCCAGCAUAGGAUCCCUCCCAAACUUAAAGAUCCAUGAAGUUUCACUCUACCUUGCACCAUAGGAAAUUUAGAUCAUAUAAAUUGUUUAAUUGAUUCAGAAACGAGUAUUAAUUUAAUUCCUUUACCUCUUUAUAGGAAAUUAGGAUGAAGAUAUCCUAAGGCGACAUCUAUUAUCCUUCGUCUUGCGGACUAAUCACUUGAACACCCCUAUGGAAUAGUCAAAGACAUGCUUAUCAAGGCAAGGGAGUUUAUUUUUACAGCUAACUUCAUCAUCCUUGACACAGAAGAGGCAUAUCAGAUGUCAAUAAUCUUAGGAAGGAUGUUCUUGUCUACAAGCCGAGCCUUGCUAGAUUUGGAUACCAAUAAGAUAAUCUUGAGGGUAGAGGAUAAGCGACAACGUUCUACCAUGGAGAAUCCAAUCAAGUAACCAUCAUACUUUGAGGAUUGCCAAUGAGUUGAUUAUUAGGAGAGUUACAAAGGUAAGCCAAUAAAUGUGAAACUGUUGGUAGGGACAGCAAUGGAAACUUAAUUUGUGGAAGAUGAAAGAUAAAAAAAAUGAAGUGCAAUCAGUGCCUAAAAUGCAGAGCUGAAAAUUCUCUCUUUAAGCCACCAUGAAUAGUCAAAACAACAAAAUCUAGCUAAAGACUAUAAAUUAAGCGCUUAUUGGGAGGCAACCUAAUUUCAUUACCAUUUAUUUACCUCAUCUAGAUUUGUUUAGAUUAUUAGUUCGUAUUAGAUUUAGGCACGUUUAAAUUUAUAGGGUAUUAUCAUCCGAUCAUGUUUUCACUAAGGCCCUUAAAUUUAUGUUGGUAAUUUUCGAGUGUUUUGACUAAGUAACCCAUGUUCUAGAUUAUUUGAUCUCUAAUAUUUGAUUUGAUUGAUAUAUGUAGGAAUAUAAUAUCGUGGAACACUCAAACCAAUAUUGACCAAGGGAAAAGCAUGAUGAGAAAGACUGUCUAGCUAUCACCCACAGUACCUUCCACGUUCAACAGAAAAAUAUGGGGAGUACAUUUGUCCUUUUCUUCCCUGUCCCUUUACAUUCUUAAUUAUGGUUUAAGACAUUGAUAACAAUGUAAGGUUUAAAUUUGGAGGUGAGAAAAAUUUUGAGUUUUUGAUUUUCAUAUGGUUAAGACAGUUUGACUAACAAUAAUGACUAAAUUUGAGAUUUUGUAUUGAUUUAUAAACUGUGGAUAGGAAACAUGUUAGAUUGAUUGAAAUUUAAACUUGCAAAAAUUUUUAUUGUACAUGCACUAGAAUUGAGUUUGAUAUUGUGAUGAAAUGAGUUGAUUUAUGUAUUUGAUAUAUUGAUUUAGUUAGAAAUAGAUGCUGUACCCAAACCAUAUUAAUUAUUUAUUCUUAGACCAAAUUUAGCACAGUUUGAGAGUAAUCUUACUGUUGUAGGAUAAUACGAAUGUGAAUGUGGAUUCCUUAUGUGAAAAAGUUUGUGUAGAUUGUCAUAGAUUAACAAGAUAAAAUUGAGCAAAAGUAUUAAAUUGGAGGUCGAUUUGCUUGAAUAGGUGUGUGAUAAGAGACAUUGCAUUGAUCAAGGCAUAUAUUUUGAAAUUUAAAAUUUCUUUCUAAAACUUUUAUGACUCGAGCAAUUAAGCUUACAAGGAUAUAUUAAAAUCUGGUGCCUUAAAAUCAACUGACUUGGGAGUCAUCGACUUAAAACUUGCUACAGGGAUCAUUCAGAAAGCUAUCCAAAAUGAAGUUGCCCUUGAAAAAAAAUUGUUCUCUUCGAAACCUUUUUUACUUGGGUUACAAAGCUUGUAAGGGUGUCUGAAAACUUGGUGCCCUAAAGUCACCUGACUUGGGAGUCAUCGGCUUAAAGCUCGUUUCAUGAGUCAUCUAGAAAGCCUAAGGAAGAGUGAAAAAAGUGAAAAUCAGAAAAAGCAAGUGCAUGAAAAAAGCUAAAGCACUUAUUGCCUUGUUAAGUCCUAAAACUUGUUCGAGGGAAUUUGACUUUCGAUGAAUGAUAAUUAGCCUAGUGAGUCUUGAUGAUCAAAGCAAUCAAAUAAUUGAAGAAUCCUUUAUUCAUUGAUGUAUUAACCUACAACCAAUGACGUCCACCUAAAUUGGAGAGGGUGAGGAUAGUAAUGAAAAAAUUCAAUCUUAAAUUACACGUUGGGAAAGAGUGAAAAGGAAAAAGUUUGGCAGUGUGUGAACCUUAUGAGAGAUGAAAAGAUACAUUUGAUCAUAAAGGGUCAGGAACUGGAACAAUUUGCGAAUUCAUUAAUGUCUACUUAGUCCUUCACACACACACACACACACACACUUCAGUUUUGCAUUGGAAAAUUAGAUAAUGGUUUGCUAUUGUGACUUUAAAGUGGACUCUAGAUUUAAUAUCGUGAUCUCAAAUCUUGAAGUAAAAAGAUAAACUGUCCAAUCAAUUUUUUGUUGCAUGCUUGUGUGUAUGUUGUUAUAGUUUUGUCUGAAAACGAACAAAUUUUUAACUUUGCGGGUAUGAUAAUUGCAAGUUUUGCACUUAUUUAAGCCAUAUUUCUAAAUUCUUACAUCGUCAAAUUAUUAAAUUCUACCUAACUUUGGUUAAUUUUAUUUUUAUUUUUAGUGAUUGACUUGUUUGAAGUAACUGGAAAGGAAGAAGGACAAUAUCGAAUAAAAUCUAUAAUUUGGGAUUAAAUUCCACAAGUUUGAAGUUAAGGAGGACAUUGGAUGCAGAAAUAAAUUUAUAUCAAGGACUAGAUUUCAUUAAAGGGGAAAAGUGGUGCCUUGAUGAGAAAUAUCUUACGAAUUGGGCUUCAAACCAAUUUGAAAAGGAAUGAAAGUAUAUUUGGGCUUGGAUCAUUUUUUUAACUACUUGGUGGAAUUGGAAUCAGCUUCAAAAUAAACUAGAACGAGAAUUUAAGUGGGCUUGUCCAAUGGAUAAAGGGCAGACUUGCUGUUGAAAUAAAGGAGGUUGGUGGCUGAAUUUUAUUGAGAGAUACAUAGGGAUGUCAACAAAUCGAGUCAAGUCGACUCGCGAGUCGAAAUUUUUGGCUCGAGCUCGGCUCGAACUUUUUUAAGGCGGGCUUUUUUUUGGCCUCCGCUUGGCCAAAAAAUUAAGGCUUGACCCUAGAUUUCGGCUCGGGCCUUAACGAGUCGAGCCGUGCCGAGCUUAUUUUCUGGAAUUUUUUAUCCUCAUCUCUUUGCUAAUAGGCAGGAAAACUACUGCCUGUAGGCAGCAAAUCCGCCUGUUAUUAAAUCAAGCUACCUGUUAUUAAAUACUUUUAUUUUGUUUACUUUGAAUCUAAUUAGGGACUAGUACAUUCAAUUAAAUUUUAUUCCUUAUGGAACGAUAUUCUCAAUUCACUAAAUCUAUUACUUAUCAACGAUUCCAUACGCUUGUGAGUAUCACACGAACACUUUGCAAUACUAUCUACCUGAAACUAAAAAUAUUUUAAAUUAAUUUUGCACCACAAUUUAGAUAUGCAUGUCGACACAUUUCUUGUGGGUUGUUUAUUUAUAGUCAUUGAGCUCAUGCAAAAGUAGUGUCUAGAAUAACAAAAUACUCAACUUUCAUUUUUUAGCAAAUUGUUAACCAGACAUUAUUUUUAAAAAAAUGCAGUGUUUCUAUUAUCUAAUUUCAACAAGACAACAGAAGAUUGGGGUAAAUACAUGUAUAUGUCGAAUUAUUUAAAAAAUGCAGUCACUGAGCGAGUUUGGAAAAUGCCCUGUGUACAGGGCAUUUCCUACAGGGGUCUUACCAACCCUUCACUGUAGGGGCGGCCCCACAUGAAAAAAAAAAAGGCCAGGCCCGUGCAUGUGUGUUGUCUGGCAGGACCCCUAUACAUGUAGCACUGUCCAAUGAGUUUUUUCAAGACUUUUUGUCAUCUUGAAUUUUCUUCAUCUGUCAUUAGAAAAUGGCAUCGGCAACCAAUCAGCGUACUUUAUGUGUUUUAAUAAAGAAGAAAAUAUGUGAUUACGAAUAAAAUAAGAAGUAAUAUGCCUUGUGAUCAACGCGAGAAAUUGGAAUACGGAAAAAAUAUAUAUAUUAUUGUGGACUAGAACAAGACAGAAAGGACGAAAGAUUUUAUGCAAAUAUUCUUAGGACAUUUAAGAACGCCAUCAAAAUUCAAAAGGCAUGAUUUCAUAGAUCGAAAAUAUUUCAUAGAACAUUCAAAAGGCAAGAAGUUGACCCAGAGGAAGGAACACCCGGGGUUGGGGGGGUUGGGGACGAUACCUAGUAAAUUUCAAUUUUGUCCUAAUUUAUCUUAUAAAUAUGGAGUUGGUAUUAGACUUUUAUACUACCAUCAUAAAAGAGAGAAAGAGAGGUUAAAGUAUAUAAGUUGUGCGAUUUUCUCUUGUAAACAUUUUUCAUCUUAGUAAAUUAUUGCGUGGACGGAAGAGCAUAUAGUCUCAUAUUGAAGUGAACCGUUUAUAAAUCUUUUGUGUCUUUAUUUCUUUCUACAAUUGAUUAUUUUAUGUAGAAUAGCAUUAUGAUUUCUAAUUCUCACCAAUAAAAAUGUUGAAAAUAAACGUUUCCAGGGAACCAUCGAGAGGGGAGAUUUAUUUACAGUUCUAUUCCUAGUGAGUGAAAGUAGGAAGCGUAAGGAAGAAUGUAGCUAGGUAUUGUGGUCAUCAUUGUGGUCCUUUCUAAUUUCCAACAUUUAACAUGUUGAAAUAAACGUUCCCAAGGUAAGAUUUAUUGGUUAGUGAGAGCUUUAGGUUGAACACAGCAUAGUGAGGGAAUGUAGGAAGCGUUAGAAGGAAUGAAAUUAUCUGAGAGAAAUAAAACAAACAAUAGCCUACAGUGUCCGAAUUUUUUUGACAGAGGGGAUGAUCGACUCUUAUAAGAAUUUUUUUUAAAGACUUUUUUAUUCACGUGGAAACCACGGCAUGUGAGAGGAUGUCAACCAUUCGGGCGAAGCAGCAAAAUUCUAAAACAAAACGCUAUGAUGCAAUGUAAUUUAUUACUUUUAAAUGCCAGUGACUAACAUUUAGCUACAAGUUAGGUAACUUAGAUGACAUUUAGCUAUAAGUUUGGUGACUAAAAAUGAAAUUAUCCCAUUUCAUCUUCUGUGUAUUUAUAAAUAAAAACAACAUACUCUGAAUGCAUUCAUAUCAAUUCUAGAUACCUGUGGAAUGGAAGCAAGAAAGAAAGAGCAUGCACCACAAUUUAGACAUGCAUGUCUACACAUUUCUUGUGGGUUAUUUAUUUAUGGUCAUUGAGCUCAUACAAAACUUGUGUCUAGAUUAACAAAAUACUCGACUUUCAUUUUCUCGCAAAUUGUUAACCAGGCAUUAUUUUUUUUAAAAAUACAGUGUUUCUGUUAUCUAAUUUCAACACGACAACAGAAGAUUGGGGAAAUAGAUAUAUAUGUAGAAUUAUUUAAAAAAUGCAGUCACUGAACGAGUUUUUCCUAGAAUUUUCGUCCUCUCGAAUUUUCUUCAUCUGUCAUUAGAAAAUGGUAUUUAUCAGCAACCAAUCUGACACGACUCGUCCCGACUCAACCUAAUUGACUCGACACGUGUCGUGCGCCGGUAGUAGAUGCCAGCUAAAUUUCGGACCCACCACCAAGGCAAACUUGACCUAUUUUGACUGUGCUAAUUUCUAUGAAAAUUUUGAUAGAAUUUCCCCUGUAACAUGAACAAAACCAACUUGAAAAAUCAUCAAAAUCUCAAAUAGACAUUUAAACCAAAAGUUUUGGAAACCACCACUUCCUCUAGUGCCACCACAACUACUACAAAAUAUAACAAAAUUCAACUGAGUGUUUCUACAACAUCAUCCUGUCAACAUACAAGUAUUACAUCACUUACAAACUCUUCUACAAAUAUGCUUGUCACCCAAAAUUAGACAAUUACCUAAUAAACAUAAGUUUUCCAACUAUUCAUUACAUACUUAUGAAACGGUCUCUUUUGCUUCAGCAGGCUUUCCCAAAUAUCUCAAAAUCGACCUUCUCCUGAUAGGAAAACAUGGUAAAAAGAUAUGAGUUUAUAACUCAGUGAGUGGAUAGUUGAAAAUAAAUAAACUUUUCCAUUUAUGCUAUUUUCUGAAAAUUCUUACACUAUUUAACGUUAAGAACUUCAAAAAAAAUAGUAACACUUUUAAAAGUAUACAUGAUCAUAUCAUAAUUUUUUGGAUAUAAUUCUAGAAAGGCAACUGUAUAACAUAAUAACUAUAAAUACUCUGAUAUCCAUGAAAAAUUAUGAAAUAUUGCUGCCUUAAUACUAUAAGCUGAAAGCUUUAUUCUGAAAGCUGAAUUAACUGAAUUCCAUAAUCUGAAAUCUGAUAAUAGAAUAAAUACUGAAAAAUCACACCAAAAAGAGUACCCAAUGAAUAGAAUAAAUACUGAAAAAUCACACCAAAAAGAGUACCCAAUGAAUAGCCUUACUCAUGUACAGAGUAAUCUCGAUGUACAUGGCAAAGCCAUUCAAAUCUGAUAAUCUGAUAGCUGAUAAUCUGUUAAUCUGGUCAUACGUACGCAGAGCUGCCCCAAAGGCUAAUCACCCUAGUACACGGCCCAAAGCCUAUGUGUGUACGAGAGUGGGUCCCAAAGACCUCUGAUAAUCUGGUCAUACACUAUGGAAACACAUUCACAAUAGUGCAGAGAGGGUAAAAUCACUGUAACUAGUCAUACACUGUGGAAACACAUUCACAUCAGCGCAGACUGGGAUAAAAUCACCUGGGUACUUUCUGAUGGUUUUAAAAUAACUUUAGCUAUACUGAAACAUUUAUAUUCAUAUAACAUGCUAGUCAAAUGAUUUAAUUAAACUGAAUUUAACUUUAAAAGCAAUUGUUAAUAAAAUCCAAUUUAUUCUAAAAAUCAUGCUAUAAAGUCAACUUUAUACAAUAAAUAACUUUAAAAUAUAAUGAAGACUUAUUUAUGAAAAAUAAGUUUUAUCCACUCACAGGGUAUGGGCUACAAGCUAGAUACGCUGAUAGACGUUUCCAAUCGCCUCGUUACCUCCUGAAAUACGAUAACGAUAACCAAUUUAUCCACUAUCAAAUCGAGAAACCUUAAUAUCUAAUAAUAUAACAUAAUUUAAAUGCUCUUGGUACUUAAAUAAAUUCUCAAAUUUUUCUUUAUUAAUUGGAGCUAAUCACACCUUAUAAUCCCUUGGUUAAUCACUAAUUUAUCAACAUAACCAUCAUUUCAAAUUUAAAACUAAUUUUACUCUCCAAUCUAAUGAAACUAGUAAUCACAAUUCCACCCACAUAAUAUACAUUUGUUCCAUAAAAUCAAUUCCCAAGUGAAAUAUUUCAUUUACAUAAUUACUUCACAAUUAAUUAAUUAAAAUCCCCAAAAUCGGAUUCUAGGGUUUUCCCAAAAAUUUGACAUCUCCAUACCUUGCUGAAAAUUUGAAAUGAAUAAAUCCCCACACUUGAGCUCCAAUUUGUGCAAAUAUCCCUAAAAUUCGACAUAUUAUUCAACAAGUUAAAACCCUAAAAAUUUUAACAUAAUUCAUACUUUAUCACCUAAAACAAAUGGAAAAUUUCAACCCAACUUGAAGAUAUCAACCUUACCUCCUUUCCUUUUCUUUUUCCCUUCUUCUUUUCCUUUUUCUUUUCCUUUUUCCCUUCUUCUUUCUCGGUCUCUGCUUUCCGUAACUGUGUGUGUGUGUGUUUUGGUGUGAAAUGAGAAAAAAAUGGGUCAAAGGUUUGAAUUAAUUGGUCCAAAACCCAAAAUUGCACAAUAAAUUCCUUAACUUCACUUUUUAGUAACAUUUAAUCCUUUAACUUCCAAAAGUAUAUAUAUAAAUUCCAAACUUUUAAAUAUAUCAAAUUCAACCUUUAUAUUUUGCAAAUUGCAAAAUAACCCAAAUAAAAUAUUAAAUUUCAUUUUAGUCCUUGAUUGACUUUGACUUUGACUAGUCAAUAUUUGAAUUUUUGACUAUAAAAAAUGGAUUGUAACACAAUCAGUGUAUUCUGUAUAUUUUAAUAAAGAAGAAAAUAUGCAGAAUUAUUGAACUAAAUGUGAUUACGAAUAAAAUAAGAAGUAAUCUGCAUGUUGAUCAAAGUGAGAAAUUGGAAUUGGAAAAAAAAAAAAAAGGUUUAUAUAUUAUUGUGGACUAGAACAAUCUAGAAAAGAUGAAAGAUUUUAUGCCUUGAUUGAAAAUAUUCAUAGGAAAUUUAAGAAUGCAAUCAAAAUUCAAAAGGCAUGAUUUUGACUUGGAGGCAGGAACACAAGGUGGGGGGCUGCGGCAGUGGAGACAGUGAUCACGCCAGGAUUGAAAAUAUUUCAUAGAACAUUCAACCAAUAUAUAUAAUAAUGCAACCAACAUUCAAAAGUCAUGAAGUUGACCAGGAGGCAGGAACACAAGGCGGCUGGGGGUGUUAAAUUUUGAUUUUGUCCUAAUUUAUCUUAUAAAUGAAGAGUUGUCAUUAGACUUUUAUGUUACCAUCGUAAAAGAGAUAAAUAGAGGUUAAAGUAGACAAGUUAUGCGAUUUUCUCUUAUAAACAAUUUUCAUCUUAGUGAAUUAAUGCAUGGACGGAAGACUACUGACUACAUAGUCUCAUAUUAAAGUAAACUUUUUAUAAAUCUUAUGUCUCUUUAUUUCAUUCUACAAUUGAUUGUUUUCAAUGGAAUAGCAUUAUGAUUUCUAUUUCUCACCAAUUAAAACGUUUAAAAUAAAUGUCUUACGGAACCAUCGAGAGGGAAGAUUUUUUAGUUAGUGAGGUUGAACAUAGAAUAGUGACAUAUGACACAAUUCUAAGUAUUGUAGCUAAGUAUUGUAGUCGCUAUAGUUCAAGCUACGUAGGCUUGACAUACAACCUACAGGGUAAUUUAUUACUUUUAAAUUCCAGUGGCUAACAUUUAUUUACAAGUUAGGUAACUUAGAUGACAUUUAGAUAUAAGCUUGGUGACUAAAAAUUUAAUUACCCCAUUUCUUCUUUUGUGUAUUUAUAAAUAGAAGCAACCUAUUCUUAAUGCAUUCAUAUCAAUUCUAGAUACCUGUGGAAAUUCAGAAGCAAGAAAGAAAGAACAGAAAGAUGGAAGUGGUUCAAGUUCUUCAUAUGAACAAAGGAGAAGGGGAAACCAGCUAUGCCAAGAAUUCAGUUGUGCAGGUUCCGUUUCUUGCUAACGUUCGAUUAUUAAUACCAUAAAAAUUCUAAAUUUAUCUUUACAACGAUUCUAGUGAGGCUGUCUUUGAAUUUAUCUUUUGCACUCUAUGGGAUUUAGGAUUCGCAGAGUUAUAGAAUUUCAGAAAUAAAUUUGUUUAUCACGAAGAGAUUAAGUGCUAAUGAAUUUUACCCUAUAGGUAUUUUCAACAAGUAAAUUUUAUUGAAGUGACAAAUCAAAAUCUUAAGAAACUCCAUGGAAACUUGGUUUUUUAGUUGUUAAUAUUGUCCAAUUUAUUCAAACAAAUGAAACAGAACUUUUGAAGACAUAUUUUAGGUCGUUCCCUCACUAAUAAACUUUAACAUUUUCAAAAUAAGGAAGUGAACACAAUAUUAGUGAUACCAUCAAAACGUCCUCAAAUGAAAUAUCUUCUUGCUGCCACCCAUUUACACACACACACACACACACAAAAGUGUAUAAUUUUAUACAAGUUUGUUAAACUUUUAGAUAAGUAGAACGAUUUGAGCUUUUAGAUCUGAGGACAAACUUAAAAAGUUCUUCCUCUCUCUGUUGUUUAGCUUUCUGAUUCUGUAUUUUGAAACGUUUCCAUGCAAUUGCAGAAGAAGAUAAUAUCAAUUGAAACUUCAAUAAUCAAGGAAGCAGUGCAAAAGUGUUUGGAAAAGAAUUUCCCUGAUAGUAUGGGAAUUGCAGAUUUGGGAUGUUCAACUGGACCUAACAGUCUAAUGGUAAUUUCUGAUGUAAUAGAUACAAUAUAUGCCACAAGUAAUCAAAAGGAAAUUCCAUUGCCGGAGAUAAGGGUUUCAUUGAACGAUCUUCCGGGCAAUGAUUUCAAUAGCAUAUUUAUCUCUUUGCCGGAGUUCUACAAUCAACUCAAAAAGGAGAAGAACAUUGGGCAGGAAGGGUGCUUUAUUUCAGGUGUGGCUGGCUCUUUUUAUGGGAGGUUGUUUCCUAAAAAGAGUCUGCAUUUUGUUCACUCUUCUUCGAGUCUCCAUUGGCUUUCACAGGUUAGUAUCAUUGUCUCGAAAAUUUUUCAUAAAUUGAUAGUGACGAGACAAAAACUCAUGACUUAUGUAUGCUUUGAUAUGACCAUCUCAUGUAAAAUCUUAUACACUAAGAAGACACAUUUUUUAAUUCAAAUUUGAUCUAAACUUUGUCAAACACUUCAAAAGUAUGCCUAACUAGACUCACAAAAUAAAUCUUGUAUGAAGAGGAGCCUCAUGUUACUUGAAAAGGGCUCUCCAUCAAGUAAAUCAGUCAGAAGUUUUAAUAGAUAAAGCAAUAAGUUUCCCCUAGGCUAUUAUUUAGAGUAAAUAACAAAUUAUUUAAACAAAUUAUACGAAGAAUACGCAUGCGAAUCAUAAUUUAAAAGUGUAAUUUCAUGUGUUUCUUGUGCAAUUAUUGAGAUUUUAGAGUUUUAAAGACAAUUAAGAAUUGCCUAUAAUUUCUGUCUUUUUCAUCCUAUAAACUUCGCUACAAAAACCUACAGCCCUUCUCCAUCUUUAAUUGGUGGACUACUACACAUCGCUUGUACCUAUUUUAUAAGGAAAUUUCCAAGUAUGGCCUAAACAAACGGUGCUCGAGUUGAAUUUUUUUUUUUUAGCCUAAUCCUUGAUUUGAAAAAAUAAAUAAAUAAAGAAUAUUGAUUGGGCUUCUUUUAUUAUCUAUGUCAACGAAAAGUUCUUGUAUCAACUUACAUCAUUGAAUGUAUAUUAAUCUUCAAUUUGUUUUUCUUCAAGGCUAACACGUACAUAGUUUCUCAUAGACAAGUGACACGAAGACUUAAAAACAUAUAAUUUUUACCGACUCUACCACCAUGCUGAAUUACUCUUGAAUUAAACAUCUAUAAGCAGAACACCCAUCUAUGCCAUUAUUCAUUUUUCUAAAUUUAUCAUUAACCUCAGGUUCCACGAGUUUUGGAUUCAAACAUCCUCAAGCCUCUGAACAAAGGAAAAAUCUAUAUAUCAAAAUCAAGUCCAAGAAGCGUACUGGAUGCAUAUUUAUCACAGUUUAAGAGAGAUUUCACAUUGUUCCUGAAAUCUCGAUCGGAAGAAAUGGUUGUUGAUGGACACAUGGUGUUGUCAUUCAUAGGCAGAGUCUCUGCCGAUCCCGCAUCAGGAGAGAGUUGCAUGCAGUGGGAACUCCUAGCACAAGCUCUCAUGAGUAUGGCCUUAGAGGUAAAUUAUUAUUUGCUAAAUAUUUGGUGCACUUUUUUUGUCCCAUCUACCGACAUUGUGCAACUUGGUUCGCAAUCUUCGGAUUUUGGCAACUUGAUCCCAACUUUUAAGUUUUGGGGUUCACCGAUUCCAAGUAAACAAUUUCAUUCAGUUGACGUUAAAAACUUUGAUUUUCAUUAAAAAGAAAUUUUACAUCUAUUUUAAUUAAAACAAAAAAAAAAAAGAAAAAAGAAAAAGAAAAUUAAGAGAGAAAUUCAGAACGUAGUUCCUUCCCAUGUGCUCCACCAUCACCCUUUCUCCCCAAACCCCUAAACAACUUUUCUAGUCCAUUUAUAUUUCCUUUCUUUUUUAUUAACUAUUUAUUUGGGAAAUUUUAUAAAUUUACUAAAAGGUUGAUGUCGAAGUUAAUAAUUAACUUUAAUCAAACAUUUUAUAAAUCUACAACUUUAUCAAUUUUUCGAUCACAUGUUUUAUUUUUUUAUGAAAACCUAAUAAAAUUUUCAUCAAAAGCUUUUAAACAGCAUUUAAAAUUAUGUAUUUAUAUAUCACUUACAUCGGAUUGUGUAAUCGAAUCAAAUUCUCUUUCAAUGUGUUUCUCAAAGAAUCCAAUUCAUAAGGAUUAUUUCCCAACUAAUGGAGAUAUCUUAGCGGUGAAUUGCCACAUAUGAAAUAGGGAAAUUUUGCAAAGAAAUAGCUCACUUGUUUCUCAAGAAGAAAUGGGAAAAUGAGAUGCUCAUUCUCAUUUAUUUUAUUGUUGAUCAUGCCCUUAGUUGUUCGAAGAAAUCCCUUAACAUCAAUUGGUUUUUUUACAUAAAGCUUAUAUGAGAUACGAAAUGCACUGUUUUUACUAAAAUUUAAAACAUUGAUCUCAAAUUUAAGUUGAUUCUAUUUCAAGUAUUCCUCGAAGAAAAAAGUUGAUCAAAUGAAUGGUCCUUUUAGCAUGUGCGUUUAUAUGCAUGCAUGCAAGUCCUUGAGCUUGAGUUAAAUUGAUGACUUCAGGGUAUUAUUGAAGAAGAGAAGAUUGAUUCUUUCAAUGCACCCAGUUAUGCUCCAUCUGCUCAGGAAGUGAGAUCUGUAGUAGAAGAAGAAGGUUCAUUCACGAUUAAUUGUCUUGAGGCCAUCGAGAUUGAAUGGGAUGGGGGUCAGCAAGCUGUUAAAACAAUUAGGGCUGUGGCUGAAUCAAUGCUGGAAGUCCAUUUUGGAAAAGAAAUCAUGGAUGAAUUGUUUAAAAGAUAUGCUGAGCUGGUUGGUGAUUAUAUUUCCAAAACUAGGGCAAAAUUCUUUUAUUUGGUAAUUUCUUUGACCAAAAAGGGUUGAGUGAAGUAAUCACUAAGGAAAUUAUGCAAAAUGUUAACUAGUUUUACUGAAUAAUGUUUUUGAUUUAUCUGUUAUGAUUCAAAAAGUUUUUUUAUGUAAUAUUUAUGACUAUAAUUUGCUUGCAGCUUUCCACAAAGAAUGAUAAUCUUGAUUUUCUAAUGUUUAUGAUGCAUGUUAUAAUGUGUUUUCCCUCUUACAAAUUUAGCUCUCUCUUGAGGCUAAAUAGACGGAAAGUUUUUCCCUAUAUUUUGCUGAAGUGGCUACUUAUUUAAUUUUUAGCAUUAGUGGCACAUAUCAUUAACAAAGCCACAAAGAACCACCUACAAAGCAAGAGCUCCGAAGAGUUAAUUUAUUUUUGUUUUUGAAAGAAUAGAAAUUUUGAAAGAAAAUAUCUUACCAAGUACAGUUCAGUUGUUUCGACUUCGUUGCUUGCCAGUAAAUUUUUAAAUAAAAUGUGAAUUUCAUUUUUCAACAAGAUUAGGUGUUAGAUGUUAGUAAAACCAUCCUAAACUUUGAGGUUAAUAACAAUCCUGUUUCAAUACAAUAUUAGAUAUCAGGAUAUCUAAUGGAAUGUAUAAUGAGGCCUAUGAUUGGGUCGAAUGUGGUUUGUACUAAGGGCGAUGAUUAUCAGUUUCGAAGAUGAUGUUGACAAAAAAAUUGAGUACUUUGAUUGCUAUGAAUAUUAGUCGAUGCAACGGACUCUAAAAGCAACAAUGUGGCUAUAUAUUUUUCUUGAGUUCAAGUUAGUUUCAACUUCUCGUAAUGUGACGAUACAAAUUUGAAUAACGCUACUCGCCGUCACUCACUAUUAUAGUCGCUCUACGUGGUAUACAUAUGUCGAUUAGUAAUUUGAUAUAUGAGCAAAGAAAAAACUAUUACAUUAAUACAUCAAAUUACAAACCACCAUGUAGAAUGUUAGAUAGGACUACUAACACCGUAAGUGAUUAUGAAUAGCAUUACUUUACAAAUUUUGAAUUAUUUUCCUUCAGACCGAUUAUUUUCUCUUUCUUAACCAAACUCAAGUACACAUUUUUCCAAGUGGGGAAGAUACGGCAAUCCUAUCCAAGAGGAUAUGAAUUAUUUAUUGUCGUUAGACUUUCUUUUUGUAUUAAUUUGUAAUUUUUCAUUCCGUUUAUUUCUUUUUGGUUUGUUAAUUCUACUUCUGUUUGGAUUUUAGUCUUCUUUUCUUUAAUGAUGUUGUUUCCUUACACCAUUAGAAUUAGGAGUUUAGUUAUUUCUUAGCCUAUUUAAGAAGGGGUUUAGCAUUCUUUUGUACUAACCAAUUCAUUAUAAUUAAAUCCUCCAUAAAAUUUUGAGUUUUUCCGUCAUUCUUUUUCAUUCAAGAAUUUUAAUUUCACAUCCACACUAACUUCACAACAAGUUUUGCAUCAACUUUGAUAAGUGCAUUAUUUUCUUGAAUUCUAAAAUAGGACAAACUAAUAGAGUUUGAAAGGGUUGCGUAAUUCUAUGAACAUGACAAAUAUCUUGGUUCACUUUUGCUCGUAGUCGGAAAAAAAUAAAUUAAUAAAACAAUUGCAAGAAUAAACAUAAACCCUAGAGUAAGGUAAAGGUUGGAUCAGGGGUUUGUUUUCAGCCAAGGGAAUAGAGAUCCUUAAAUCUUUUUUACAAUUAGUGUCUACCUGUGUGAUGAGCAUUGAUAAGUGUUACACUUGUCUAGGUCUUCAAAUUGGGACUUUAAUAGUACACUGUUGGGAAUCUACUUAACAAGCAUAACGGAAAAUUAAAACAUAUUUCGAUUCUCAUCAGAAUUCAUCUUUGUGUUUAGAUAGAAAUUGUGAUAAAAGUGAUAUCUUUUCACAAUCUGCAAACUCCUUCGCCUUAUCUUUGUUCCAGCAACUUGGAUUUGUCUCCUACAACUGUCCAAUUGUCCAGCCUCCAACGGUAAUCUACACAGAGAACAAGAUUGUAGUAUUAGGGUUUUACUUGUGCUAGCAAGAAUAAUGAAAAAUCACUACAAUUUUGAAAACCCUAAUCAUAUUUAUAUAAGUCCAAACGGGCUUAGCCUGACCCCGGCCAAUAUUUAAUUAACUCAUUUAAUUAAAUUCGGUCCGUGAAUUAAUUAAUCCAAUUAAUUAAUUCAGGCAUAUAAAUAAGCAACCCAAUUAAUUAAUUUAUCCAACACUUGUUAAAUUAAUUAAUUGACAAAUCACAAUCUUUCAAUUAUCCUUUUGUUUGCGACCUAUCAGGUUUCCGAUCACGAUGCCUAACGACGUGAAAUAUUAUUUUGAUCUAAUCAAAAUAGAUAAAUUAAAACACACUUUUAAUUUAUGACCAAUUACACUCACCGUCCCAUAUUGACAUCUAACAAUGUGUCAGAGCAAUACAUAUGACGAAAAAUGUCACGUGGUAUGACAAAACCAAACUCGUUCAUUUACCGUGAAACUAUAAUCCGUUCUUCAAUAUAAUCCGAUCAAUUACGAGAUGUGGAAGUAUGUCAAUCUCGAUUAUCGAUCAUAUCUUUCACUCCACUAUUAAGUCAAUAUAAGUUGAAAAUUUCUUUUCGACUUAUGAGUACACCUUGACCAAGGAUUUCGUUAUCGACUUAAUUGAAUGAAAUGCUGAUCAUAACAUCUUACUAUCUAAGAGUGAUGGAUCCUCUAUUGGUCAUUCACAACCUUCAUAUGAUUCUUGAUAGACCCGAACAAUGCCGUAUUAGCGACCCUUAGCAGAGCAACAUCCGACACUGUCAAAGCAUGACCGUCCUCAUAUAAAGUACUAUGACGACCUCAAGUCAAAAUGAUCAAUCCCACUACCGAACGUUAGAGAUUAACCACUAUCACUUAGAUAGUUAUCCAUGUGGAAUCUCUCGACGGGUCUUCAACGUUUUGUUCUAUAAAAAAAAAUCCACAUAUUCAUUUAAGUGUCACCACACUUUAGCUUGUGAGAUCAGCUACUUACUUCAUAAGUAAGAAAUGUCACAUGUGAUGCUUUAUCCGUAAUAAUAAUAUCCAUAUCUAUUUAUUAUUUACGACCACAGACGAUUUUAAGAUUCAAUCAUAUGUAAUUUGUAUCUCAUAAUCACAACUCCUUGUGAUUAACAAAUUACGAAGAUUUGAAUCUACGAAUUCUAUUAUUUAAUUUAAUUGUCUAUUAAUUAAAUAAUAGAUUUGUCAUUAAAUUGCAUUAAUUAUAUAUCAAAAAUUAUUUAUGUCCAAAGUUGAUUAGACCUAAGGCAUAACACUUGCACUUGAUCCAAUCACUUAUGUAUCCAAUAUCAUAAGAGUCUGCAUGAUGAUCGUAUUUAAGCUGCGACAACUCUUUGUCAGUGGAUCUGCAAUAUUGUUAAAUGUGGAAAUUUAUUCUUCUUUUUACUUUAUUUCUAUGUGUUAUCUCUUUGAUGAGAUUGUACCGCCUUAAUACAUGUUUGGAUCAUUGAUGAGACCUCAGUCCCUCGCUUUCACGGUGGCUCUAUUGUCACACAAUACAACUGUAUGUGAUCAAUAAUAUUAGAAACUACUCCAAGUUCAUUAACGAACAUCUUGAUCCACAUCACAACUCUUUGCUGCUUCUGAAGCAAUCAUGUAUUAGGUUUCUACCAAUGAACCAAUGGUUGUUUCAUAUUUGGAACAUUUCUAACACACCGUUUAAGAGUAAACCAAUUUUUCCAUAUAAAAUCUUCUCAAGAUUUUAUCUAUAUAGAUUGGGAUAGUUAAGCAAUUUUCUAUAUCUAUCUCUAUAGAUCAAGUUACUUCCCCAUAUAGUCUACGAAUAGAUCCUUUAACAACCAUUAUUUCAACGAUUAAAAUAGAGGGAUGUCGUUUCCUAUAAUAUUAGGAAUGCGACUGCUCCCACUAUCUUCUUGUAAGCACACAAUUCGUCUUUAUAUUUGAUAAAAUCAAACAUUUUGAUUUUUCCAUAAAAUCAAAGAUUUCAGCUCCAAGAGAUUUGUUUUAACCCAUAGUCAUGGUAUGCAACUAUUGCAACCAAAAUUCGAAUGGACCUCAGCAUGGCUACAUGCGAAAAGUUUCAUCAAAGUCAACACAUUGUCUUUGUCUGUUACCUUUUACUACUAGUCUUGCGUUGUAUGUAUGGAUAUUCCCAUCCAUGUCAACCUUUUAUUGUAAACCAUUUACAACCUAUGGAUUUUAUCUCAUCAGAAGGGUCAACCAAGGUCCAAACCUUGUUUACAUACGUCAAGUUCAUCUCGGGUUUCAUAGCUUCCUGCUAUCUCUUUUAAGUCAAAACUUGACUUUAUUUUUGUGCAAUUAGUAAGUCAUCAUCCUAGAUCAGUAAUACGUAAUUAGUAAUCACGGAUUCGCACAUUCUUGAAGGUCGAAUGAUCCUACUAGACUCACAUAGAGCUGACAUGUUCUCAGGAGUCUCUACUCCUUGAUUAAGAGUAUGUCCCAUAUCAGAUAUGGGCUAAAACUCGAAUUCGUCUACUUGAUUAACUAUAUCUGUGGACUAUUGAACUCUUUUAAGUUCUAUUUUGCUCCCACUGUCAUCUCCUAGAGUAAACAUUUUCUCCAAGAGGGCGAUAUGUCGUGAGACGAAGACUUUCUUUUCAAUAGGUUAAUAGAACUAUAUAUAAAUAUCUGCUUUGAAUAUUCCACAAAUAUGUAUUUAUCGGAUUUAGUUUCAAACUUAUCCGAUUCAAUGUUCUUCAAAUAAAUAUCACAGUCCCAAACUUUCAUAUGAGAUAAGUUGUGACUAUUGUCUUUCCAUAACUCGUAUGGGGUUCUGUUAAUCAAUUUAGGUGGGACAUGAUUUAGUGUACAACACGCUGCAAUCAGUGCAUAAUUCCAAAACGAUUUUGGGAGGUUUGCAUGGCUUAUUAUUAAUCACAUUAUAUCUAGUAGUUAACGAUUUAUCUUUUCAGAUACACCACUGCUGCAGUGUAUAUGGAAAAGUCCACUACAAGAGAAUCUCAUUCUCUCUUAGAUAAUCUAAAUUUUAUCUUUAAGAUAUUCUCACUCGAUCAAAUCUUAAUGUGAGGGUAUCUUUACCUAUUUGUUUCUCUGCUUCUAGUUUGAUCCCUUGAACUUUUCAACAGUUUCAUAUUUGAGUUUCAUCAAGUAUACAUGAUCAUUGAUGAAAUAAGAGAAACAUUACCUGACAUCAAUUGACAUGAGUCCAUAUGCAUUAUUAUGCAUUAGACCAGUAAUUAUGCUGACCUUUCUUCUUUUCAAGUAAAAGAAGAUUUGGUCAUUGUUCCAGACAUGCAUAAUUUGUAUUUGUCAAAAUCAAUUAAUCCCAAGUAUACAUCUUUAUAUAACUUUGGAAUUGCAUUUCCUCUGCAUGACAAAGUCUGCCAUGCCAUAUUUAGGUAAUAAUUAGAUUAUCACUUUUAUAUCUCUUAACUUCUAUACUCAUUGUAGAAUGCUUAGUAUUAAAGAAUAUAAAUGUCAUUUUGUAAUUUACCAUAAUCAUUAGGAUCUUUAUCAAGAUAAACAAGAACAACAAUUGUCCUUAACAUUAAAAUAAUUCAUGUUCCAACAUGAAAUUCGUUUAAUGUUCAGCAUUUCUCUAAUUUCAAUACUAAGCCAAGAGGCAACAAUAAGAAGUAUGCUCCUACAAGCAAUGCGGCAACCUUUGCUCAUCUUUAACGUGUAGGUUAACUUUUCCCUCUUGUAGUGGUCUACUUCCAUUUAGUUUCUCCAUAUCUAGUAUCAAAUACCUAAGAAACAAAUGAAGUAGACGUAGCCUUGCAACAUUUCUUCCAAUGACCUUUCAUUCUAUAACGAAGACAAGGGUCAUUAGAUUUGGUAUUUUCCUUUGCUCAGACUGUCUUAACCAUAUUGAAUGCUUUCUCAAAACUCCUUUAGAUUUCCUCUUAACACUCUUAGAGGAAUCAAUGGUUUACCCACUACCAACUUUGAUAAAGGGCGUAACAGUCCUAAGCAUGUUAAGCAACUUACUGAGUAUGCAUUCGAGCUUAUUUAUAUCAUAAUUCAUAAUUAGUAUGAAUAACUCUAUGAUAGAGAUUGCAUAGUUAAGUCAAUACUUAGUUCAUAGUUAAUGAAUGAACUUAAUUGAGACACUUCUCAUGUUAAUCAUCUGUAGUACAUGAGGAUUGACUAAAGAUUCUUUUGUCACUUUGCAUCGGUAUAGUUGUUUGGAAGUCUCAUAUCUUUUCACACAUGAUUAUUAUUAUACAACUCUUUGAAAUGAAAAAUCAUGUGUUAGCAUGUUAGCAUCUAUACUUUCAUGUUGUUUCUGUAACUUAAGUGACAUAGUUGCAAGUAUCACAUAUGUUGCAGUACUAUUGUCAUCACUAUGUUUAUUAUAGCAACCACCUCUUUCUUGAUUGAGUCAUCAGCAGAUGUCUCUAAAAAUGACUACUCAAGGACAUAAUCAAUUUUUCCCAUACCUGAAAACAAUUCUCAGAUUGCAGUACCAAUCAAGAAAAUUCAGUUUGGUUUUUAACAUUCAGUAUGCCAUUCAAAACAUAUGGCUACUCAAAAUUCAAUAUAAAUGUAAAUGACGAAAAGAAAAAGAAUAAUAUAUAAAAUGUAUCAAUUAAUUUAACAUGGACUUUUAUUAAUUUAAUUAUGCUCCCACUGUCUAACUAAAAUUUAUGACCCUCUUGCAUAAAUUUAUGGAGUCCAUAUUUGACUCCCAGUGGGCUGGGAUCCCAUCUAUUAUAUUAAGACCUUGAAUGUACUCAGCAAGCCUUAAUAUAAAAUUUGGGUAAAUAUUAUUAUCAAUUGUAUCUCCAUACAACUUCCAGAUCAUUAAACUGACAACUCUUUAUCUUCACACAUCUUAUGUGUUAGUUUAACAUGCCUCUAAAAUUUAUCUUUUUGAGUGUACUCAACAAAAGAUAAAUUUUAGUUAAGUCAAACUCGUCAUUCAAAAAUAUCAAAUAUUUUCAUAGUGUCAAACAUAUUCCUAAUAGACCAGCCUUGAGUGUAUUCAACAAGUUAAGACGAUUUGGGACUAUGAUUUUUCACUAUAAUGAUGGAAGACGAUUAUAAAUGUGACUUAAUAUUUUAUGGAGGGAUUUUGCAUUCAAGGGUCUCAGCGUAACAAUCAUAUAUAUAUAUAUAUAUAUAUAUAUAUAUGAUUGUUUUACACCUACCAUGCAAAUAAACAUAUAUAUAUAUAUAUAUAUAAUGAAAUAUAUGAACGUUUUCGACAAGAAGUGUCAAAUGUAGGGAUUUUUUUGCUAUUAGACCUUAUAAAAAUAUUGACAAUUCCUAGAGGGUAUAGCAUUGAUUAGUAUCAAUGCACCAUCUCCAUGGUCUCCUCCUCUUCUUGUUUCUUCAACUAGUAUAGCUGCAAUUUGUAUCCUAUACUAGUUGGCACACAGGCCUAAAUGAAAUUUGACUCGUAAGCUUAUAGUAACAAUAACAGACUCCCAGGUCUAAAAUGAUUAAGAGCUCGCAGACCCAUAAUAAUACCAAUAAUAAUGGGCUCACAGCCCCUAACCAAUUAAGAGCUCACAGACUCAUAAAACAAUAAUAAUAAAAUUAACCAUUCAUCACAUAAAUGUAUACCUAUAUAAUAUCUAAUAUUAUAUGCAAACAUAUUUCAAGUUUCUAGCAAUUAAGAUCGUCUAAACCUCUUUAAACAAAUGGAUCGGAACAAUUAAAUAAUGAAUUAAUCAUAUUAAUCAAUUAAUUCAAUUUGCGGACGUAUUUAAUUAAAAUCAAAUUUUAAUCAAAUACCGAACUAGAGUCCAACUCUAAUUCCACAAUUAUAGGGCGAGACUACUUAAUUAAAAUCAAAUUUUAAUUAAAUAUCAAGUUAGAGUCCAACUCUAAUUUUAAAACUUAAAGCGGUUGAAUUUAAUUGAAAACAAAUUUUAAUUCAAUAACAAAAUUAGAGCCCAACUCUAAUUCAAAGAUUUUAGGACGAAUUUAUUUAAUCACAAUUAUAUUUUAAUUAAAUGCCAAAUUAUAGUCCAACUCUAAUUCUAAGAAGAAAUUUAGGGCAAGACAAUUUAAUUAAAAUCAAAUUUUAAUUAAAUAUCAAAUUAGAAUUCAAUUCUAAUAUCAAAAACGUAUUCGGGUGAAAAAUUAAUUAAAAUGAAAUUUUAAUUAAAUGCUAAAUUAGAGUCCAACUCUAAUUUAAAUUGAAUUAAUAUUUUAAUUUAGGAUAUAACUCCCAAAUAAAAUAAAAUUCAAUUUUAGGCUAAAAGUUAAUAUUUAAGUUAAAACUAUAUUUUAACGAAAUAAAUUGAAUUAAUAUUUUAAUUUAGGAUAAAACUCCCAAAUAAAAUAAAAUUCAAUUUUAGGCUCAAAGUUAAUAUUUAAGUUAAAACUAUAUUUUAAUGAAAAUAUAAAAAGUCGUCAAUUUUAAAUAAAACUUUUAAUUUGGGUCAAAAUUAAAAUUAUAGGUCAAACUCGUUUAAAAUAUAAUUUUAAAACCAUUUUAAAAUUCAAAUUCAAAACCAUUUUAGAAAUUGCAAUUUGACCCAAUUAAAAUUUAUUAAAAGGUCCCUCAAUUUCUCAAAUUGCAAGAAGGCCCUUUAUUUAAUAAAUUACACAUUGACCUCGAGUUGAAAUUGCACACAGGGCACGAAAUUUCAGAAAUUUCAGAGUGAGCCGUUGUUCUUAUCAAUCACCCAAUUAUAGAAAAACCCCUAAAAACUCGCCCUUCUUCUUGGCAGUGUCGGUCAAUCCUUUCCCUCAACCAUGCACCGCCUCUCUCAAUCGGUAGCAGUACAUGGCUUGCAGUAGCUCGAACGAGCUGCUGUUCUUCCUGUAGCGUUGUAGCUACUGCUCUUCCUGUAGCGCAGCUACAACGCUAUCGAUGCAAUUUUAUCAGUAGAGUAUGCCGCUGCAGCAUGGUGACAAGCGCCGCUGCACUCUACAGUGGAGCCUGCUGCCCCUGCAUUUCCACGAACGGUGGUGCAGGUCACCACGACGUAACUCCACUGCGACUGCCACCUUUUUAUUUUUUAUUUAUUUUUAUUAUUUUAGAACUAGAGUUACUUUCUAUUCAAAACAAUUUUGAACAUAAAAAAUAAAUCUCUAAUUGCUAGAAACAAGAAACGAGCAAAAUCAACUUUUGAAUGUUCCCAAAAAUUCAAGACAAUCUCUAAUUAACACAAAGUAGACUCUGAUACCAUUGUUGAGAAUUUAUUUAACAUGCACAGUGGAAAUACAAACGAAUUUCGAUUCCUACCAGGAAUCGUCUGUGUUUAGAUAGAAACUAUGAUAAAAAUUGUACCUUUUCGAGAUCUGAAAAAUCCUUUGCUUUUCCUUUUGUUCCAGCAACCUUGAUCUACCACCUACAACUGUCCAAUUGUCCAGCCUCCAACGGUGAUCCAGAGAACAAAAAUGUAGGAUUAAGGUUUUUUCUUGUGUUAGCAAGAAUGAAUUCUCUACAAAUUUUGAAAACUCUAGUCAUAUUUAUAUAAGCCCAAAUGGGCUUAGCCUGAUCCGGUCCAAUAUUUAAUUAACCCAUUUAAUUCCGGUCCGUCGGGCCUAUAAAUAAGAAACCCAAUUAAUUAAUUUAUCCAACGCUUAUUAAAUUAAUUAAUUGACAAAUCACAAUCUUUCAGUUCUCUUUUUGUGUGCAACCCAUCAAGUUCUAGAUCAGAUGCCUAAUGAUGUGAAAUAUUAUUUUGAACUAAUCAAAAUUGAUAAAUUAAAACACCAUUUUAAUUUAUCACCAAUUCACACUUGUCGUCCCAAAUUGACAUCUAGCAACGUGUCUGGGCAAUACAUGUGAUGAGAAAUGUCACGUGGUAUAACAAAACCAAACUCGUUCGUUUACCAUGAAACUAUAUUUUUUUCGUGAAUAUGAUUCGAUCAAUUACGAGAUAUGAAAGUGCAUCGAUCUUGAUUAUCGAUCAUAUCUUUCACUUCAUUAUUAAGUCAAUAUAAGUUAAAAACUCCUUUUCAACUUAUGAGUACAUCUUGGCCAAGAAUUUCGUUAUUGACUUAUUGAAUAAAAUGCAGACCAUAAUAUCUUACUAUCUAAGAGUGACGAAUCCUCUAUUGAUCAUUCACAACUUUCACAUGAUUCUUGACAUGCCCGAACGAUGUCGUAUUAGCAGCCCUUGGCAGAGCAACAUCCAACACUGUCAAAGCAUGACUAUCCUCAUAUAAGGCACUAUGACAACCUCAAGUCAAAGUACCAAUUCCACUACCGAACGUUAGAGAUUAACCACCGACACUCAGAUAGUUAUCCAUGNAUAUAUAUAUAUAUAUAUAUAGUGUGGACGAUUAUGGACUUUUACUAUCUAGUCUUCCCGAGCCAUAUGGAAGACUAGUUGGUCAAUUUCUAUGGGGUAUAACAUUGAGCAGUAUUAAUGCACCAUUUCCAUGGUCUCUUCCUCUUCUUAUUUCUUCAAUUAGUCAGCUACAACCUAUAUCUUAUACUAGUUGGGACGCAGGCCUAAAUGAAAUUGAACUCACAGGCCCAUAGUAAUAAUAAUAAUAACGGACUCGCAAGUCCAAAAUGAUUAGGAGCUCGUAGGCCCAUAAUAAUAACAAUAAUAACGGGCUCGCCAGCCCAAAACACGACAAGAAUAAAAUUAACCAUUAACACAUCCACAUGGUCGAAUCCAUAAUCGUUAACUAGUAAUAUAUUCAUCACAUAAAUGUAUGCAUAUAUAAUAUCUAAUAUUAUAUGUAAAUAUGUUUCAAAUUUCUAGCAAUUAAGGUCACCUAAACUCUUCUAGACAAAUGGAUCAGAAUAAUUAAAUAAUUAAUUAAUUAUAUUAAUCAAUUAUUUUAAUUAGCGGGCAUAUUUAAUUAAAAUCAUAUUUUAAUUAAAUAUCGAACUAGAGUCCAACUCUAAUUCCACAAUUAUAGGGCGGGAUUAUUUAAUUAAAAUCAAAUUUUAAUUAAACAUUAAAUUAGAAUCCAACUUUAAUUUCAAAACUAAAGGGGUUGAAUUUAAUUAAAAUUCUAAAGGGGUUGAAUUUAAUUAAAAUUGAAUUUUAAUUAAAUAACAAGAUUAGAGUCCAACUCUAAUUCCAAGAUCAUAGGACGAACAUGUUUAAUUAAAAUCAAAUUUUAAUUAAACACAAAUUAGAGUCUAGCUCUAAUCUUAAAUAAAAUUUUUGGGAGACACAAUUUAAAUAAAAUCAAAUUUUAAUUAAAUGUUAGAUUAGAAUCCAAUUCUAAUUUUAAAAAUAUAAUCGGGUGAAUAAUUAAUUAAAAUCAAAUUUUAAUUAAGCAUUAAAUUAGAGCCCAACUCUAAUUUAAAUUGAAUCAAUAUUUUAAUUUAGGGUAACACUCCUAAAUAAAAUAAAAUUCAACUUAGGGUCAAAUUUAAUAUAAAAUCAUAUUUUAAUGAAAAUAUAAAAGUCGUCAAUUUUAAAUAAAACUUUUAAUUUGGGUCAAAAUUAAAAUUACAGGUCAAACCUAUUUAAGAUAUAAUUUUAAAACCAUUUUAAAAUUUAAAUUCAAAACACUUUUGAAAAUUGCAAUCUGAUCCAAGAUUUAAAUUAACAACAGGGCCCUCGAAAUGUCAAAAUUGCACAGAAACCCUGUAUUUUAAAAUUACAAAAUGACACCAUUUACAUAAUUGCAGGCGGGGGCUUACAAUUCAAGAAAUUGCAAGACAUACCCCUGCCUCCAAACACCCAACUGAAAACCCUAAUGAAUUCACCCAAAUAUAUUUUUCGUUUUCUUGCGCCACCAGCCAAUUUUGGGACGGCGACCUUUGUCGCCGCUUGCUCCUGCAACGGAAGUCGUCGCUGUCCAAGCGACGACUUCCAGCCGCUUGCAGCAGCAUCCAAUGCUGCUGCUUGUUGGAUGCUGCUGCAACAACAAGCAGCAACGUGGCUUUGCUGCUUGUGAAGGUCAACAGCGACUUCGCCGCAGUUGCAGACGCCAAGCGAAUGCUGCCGUGUUCUGUCGCCAUUGCCGGCAGCAAUAAUGCCGCUUGCAUCCCAUGCUCUUCGACCCCUUUUUUUCCUUUUUUGUUUUCGUUUUUAGAACCAGAUUUCAAAGAAAAAUGAAAAUCAAAUUUUCAUUAAUUUCUAGAAACUAGUAAAUGUAUAAUAACCAACUUUUGAUUGUACAAAAUGUUAAACAAUUUCUAUCAAACACAAACUAAACUCUGAUACCACUGUUGGAAAUCUACUUAACAUGCACAGCGGAAAAUUAAAACAUAUUUCGAUUUCCGUCAGGAUUCAUCUUUGUGUUUAGAUAGAAAUUGUGAUAAAAGUGAUACCUUUUUACGAUCUGCAAAUUUCUUUGCUUUAUCUUUGUUCCAGCAACAUGGAUCUAUCUCCCACAGCUGUCGAAUUGGUCAGCCUCCAACGGUGAUCCACAGAGAGAACAAGAUUAUUGUAUUAUGAUUUUACUUGUGCUAGUAAGAAUAAUGAAAAAUCACUACGAUUUUGAAAACCCUAAUCAUAUUUAUAUAAGUCCAAACGGACUUAGCCUGACCAGGUCCAACAUUUAAUUCAAUUCGAUUCUUGAAUUAAUUAAUUCAAUUAAUCAAUUCAACCCAAUAAAUAAGCAACCCAAUUAAUUAAUUUAUCCAACACUUGUUAAAUUAAUCAAUGGACAAAUCACAAUCUUCCAGUUCUCCUUUUGUGUGCAACCCAUUAUGUUUCCGAUCACGAUAUCUAAUAACGUGAAAUAUUAUUUUGAUCUAAUCAAAAUUAAUAAAUUAAAACAACCUUUUAAUUUAUGAACAAUCACACUCAUCGUCCCAGAUUGAUAUCUAGCAAUACGUCAGUCCAAUACAUGUGACAGGAAAUGUCAUGUGGUAUGACAAAAUCAAACUCGUUCGUUUACCGUGAAACUAUAAUCUCUUCGUCAAUAUAAUCCGAUCAGUUAUGAGAUAUGGAAGUCUAUCAAUCUCGAUUAUCGAUCAUAGCUUUCACUCCACUAUUAAGUCAAUAUAAGUCGAAAACUCGUUUUCAAUUUAUGAGUACACCUUGGCCAAUGAUUUCGUUAUCGACUUAAUUGAAUGAAAUGCAGAUCAUAAUCUCUUACUAUCUAAGAGUGACGGAUCCUCUAUUGGUCAUUCACAAUCUUUACCCGAACGAUACCGUAUUAGUGGCCCUUAGCAGAGCAACAUCCAACACCGUCAAAGCGUGACCGUCCUCAUAUAAGGUACUAUGACGACCUCAAGUCAAAAGGACCAAUCCCACUACCGAACGUUAGAGAUUAACCAUUGACACUCAGAUAGUUAUCCAUGUGGAAUCUCUCGGCGGGUCUCCAAUGUUUUGUUCCAUAACAAAACAUCUACGUGUUCAUUUAAGUGUCAUCAUACUUUAGCUUGUAAGAUUAGCUACUUACUUCACAAGUAAGAAAUGCCACACUUGAUGGUCUAUCCAUAAUAAUGAUAUCCGUAUCUCGUUAUUACUUACGACCACGGACGAUUUUAAGAUUCAAUCAUAUGUAAUUUGUAUCUCACAAUUACAACUCCGUGUGAUUAACAAAUUACGAAGAUUUAAAUCUACGGACUCUAUUAUUUAAUUUAAUUAUCUAUUAAUUAAAUGAUAGAUUUGUCAUUAAAUUACAUUAAUUAUAUAUCAAAAGUACUUAUGUCCAAGGUUGAUUGGACCUAAGGCAUAACACUUACAUACACUACUAAAAAAUAACUUUUCACCAAUGAAAAAUUACCCACUGAUGAUAUCCGAUGUUUAUCAAAAAUGAAUUAUAUGUUGGUAAAAGUACUCCACUUUUAAUUACGGUAAUCAGCAACGUAAUUGCCGUUGGUAAUAACAAUAUCUCUUUGCCAACGGAUAUUCCGUGCCUAGUGUGGUUGUCUAACUUUUGGAUGUUUCACCUACAGAUAUUUCGUAGGAAGUGUAUCGAUAAUCAUCAACGAAUGGUAAUUAGAAAUGGAUUAUCCAUUACUAAGUAAUCCACCCACUGGCUCUAUGAUUCUCGUCCAAUGGCCCUAAAGGAAAAUAGUAGAGUUAGAGAACUACUUCUGAAAGAAUGUGGUGCCAUAUAGAAGCAGUAGGGAACAAGUGGAAGAUAGCAAAAGGAAAAAGUUCUUACUCUGUGCAGAAAUGAGAAGAGAACAACCUUCAAUUUAUUCCUUAUUUAUCGAUCAUAGACUUGGAAAUAGUAUUGAGGGUCAGAGAAGUACCUACUAAUCUGUUUGUGCAAAGCAAGUUCAGGCAAAAAUUAUAUAUGAGGCUCUUUCACCAUGUUGUGUAGAUAAUAACAAAACCGAAUCUCAAUUAUCAGAAUCCAGCACUAAAAUCUAUGAUAUCUAUCCCUGAAGAUUUUGAUACUAGCAGAUUUUUUAAUCCUAGAUCAAGUAAGCCGAGAACUUUAUGGCCUAUAUUUUCUUGUAUAUUAAAUUAGUUUUAAAUAAAUCUACGUAGAACUGAUUUUAUUUCCCUUUUAGAAUAUACAUGGAUUUUAUAUCGACUUUGGAAACCACUGAAUUAUAAAACCAGUGCCUUCAUAUAGGCAUAAUCUCUAAUGUCUAAAAAUCUCUAUACUUAAAACCACCCAAAUGCACUCUUAUGCUUUUGUGACCAUUUAUCCAAAUCACAGCACAUUGGAACGAAAAUAGUAUUCUGAACAGCCAAUAAUAAUAAUAAUAAUAAUAAUAAUUAAAAAACACAAAUUAGAGCACUCACUGACUGCUUUCACAAGCUCUCUCGAUUCUGGACAAAAUUGCAGGUGACCCAUGGUGGUACUGGAUGCGCCUGGUUGAGAGGAGGGGAGUGGUGGUGGGCCGCAAUCGAAACAGUGGCUGAAGGUAGUGGAAAUAUGGUGAAAAUCGUGAUUGGUAGCGCGGUUUUGGGUGGUGAUUAGGGUGUUUUUGGCAACUCCGUGGCCCGGUGAUGACAAGAGGUUGAAGACGAAGGUGAGAGGGUUCGAACGGUAGUGGGAUUUGGUGGUCUAGAUGGCGGUGGUGGUCAAUUGUUGAGGAAGAAGGCGAUAGUUCUUCCAUGGUUCUCUAACGCAUAACGAUGGAAAAAGAGGAAGAAGCGACUAUUUUCAGUGUUCUAAGAUUUUUGUGCGUUUUAAAUUGGAAAAAUUUUCCACUAAUUAUUAGCCUACCAACAUAUCAAAUUUUUUGAAGGCUAAAGACGUAUCUUGCCCUUCAAAUUUUAUUGUCUGAAAAAAUAUAUUUUUUUUUUGUAGGCACAAGUCCUUCCACUAUUAAAAAUUUUGAAUCAAAUCAUAGCCCUACGAAAUGUCUUUUUGUAGGGAAAAGUGAACUCCACCCGCAAAUUUUAAUUUUUCUGCAGAAUUUUUGUAGGGAAAGUAUAUAUUUCUUGUAGUGGUAAAAGAUUUUUUACAAUUAGUGUCUAUGUGUAUGAUGAGGAUUGAUAAGUGUUACACUUGUCUUGGCCUUCAAAUUGGGACUUUGGGAGUACACUACUAAAAAACAGCUUUUCACCAACAAAAAAAUUACCCACCAAUGAUAUCCGUUGGUAAUCAGAAAUGAAUUAUCUAUUGGUAAAAGUACUUCACUUUUAAUUAUGAUAAUCAGCAAUAGAAUUGCCGUUGGUAAUAGCAUAUUUCUUUGCCAAUAGAUAUUCCGUGCCUAGUGUAGUUGUCUAACAUUUGGAUGUUUCACCUACGGAUAUUUCGUAGGAAAUGUAUCGUUAAUCAUCAAGGACGGUAAUUAGAAAUAGAUUAUCCGUUAGUAAAAGUAAUCCACUUUUAACUACGAUAAUUAGCUACGAAAUUGUAGUUACUAAAGGGUAUUCCAUCGUAAGGUAUAUCAUUUUUUGUUAAAAAAAGAUGUUUCAAGCUUUUACCUAAGGAAAUUCCGUAGGUAAAAUUAUUCCACUUUUAACUACGGUAAUUAGCUAUGGAAUUGCGGUUACUAAAGGUGAUAUCAUUUUACCAACGGAUAUUUCAUGUCUAAUACAGUUAGUUAAGAUUUGAAUCUUUCAUCGUCGGGUAUUCCAUAGGUGAAGUAAACCAUUUUUUGUUAAAAAAAGACGUUUCAAGCUUUUACCUACAAAAAAUUCUGUAGGUUAACAUAAUUUCUUUCACCUGUGAAAAAUCUAUUGCUAAUAUUAGGUAUAUAAAUUUUGAAAAUGAUAAAGAUGAACGCUCAAAGAUUAAUGUAAAUAAAGAUAUUCCAUUUAACAUUCGAAGUUUUUGACAAUAAAGUAAUUUAGCCCCUAUUUGAUGGGGAUUAAAAUUAAUUUUUUAAUAAAUUUUGAUAAAAAUUUUGAAAUAUGUGGUCGAAAAAUUGUGGGACCCAUAAAAAAGGUAGUUAAUAUUGAUUAUUUGACUUUGAAUUAGAUUAAGCCCCCCGUUUGGCCCUUAUUAAAUUACAUUUCAUUUUUCUCUCUCAUAUUUUUAAUCAUACAAUCUUUCAUAAAAUAAUAUCACACGUAAAUCGAAAAUUUUUCUUUCUUUUUCAACCACUCAUUUAAAAAAAAAAAUAUUCCACCCAUUUUCAUUUCCAAAAAAUAGGAACUAAACAUGGGCUAAAAUCCGAUUUAAAUCAAUAUCAAUCAAGGGCUUAAUUACAAAAAUAAAAAAAGAUCAAUCUAAUCGCGUUCGAGAAAUACAUGGAUGAACCAGUUUAUAUGCCAGCAAUAUGACAUCAUUCUGUUCGAAAUUCUGUCCUUAAAAUGAAAUCCUAUAAUACUUAACUUCAUUGUUGUCCUGUUUGAGCUCUUUUUUGAAGUAAUGUAUUAUGAAAUAGUGAUCGAUGGAGAAUGUGUAGUUAAAAGUGGAGAAAAAGUUUUUUUAUUUACGUAUAAUAUUAUUUUAAUAAAGAAUGUGUGAUUGAAAAUUGAGUACCGUAGGAAAAGAAUGUCAUAUAGAGCUUGUUUAGUAGAGAUUUUGAGAAUUGAUUUUUUAAACAUUAGAGACAAAGUAGGACCAACUUGUGAGAGAAGAAUUAAAAAAUGAAGGCUGAAAUAGUGAAAUAACAGAAAAAAAAUUUGAUUUUAAUUGACUUAAAAUCGCCCCCAAACAAGCACAUAAUGUAAAAGAAUGGGAUUUAAAUAGGGGCAAUAGUAACUACUACUAUUCUAUUAAUUAAAAUAAAUAUGAUACUUUAAUUGUAAGUUCUCAUGUUUAAAUAUUUUAACACAACAAAAAAUAUUAAAACAAGGUUUUAUCAUUAUUUUUUAAUUACGAGAACUUUCAUUGUAGAUUUUUGUGUUUAGCGUCUUAAUAGGAUAAUUAACUUAUAAUCAGGUACAUGUUUACAUCAAUUUCAGUAUAUUCAUAUCUGUUUACUCUUCGAAUAGACAAUAUAUAUGAUCAUUGUGGCUUUUGAUAAAAAAAUUAUACCAAUUAAAACAUAAUCAAUUUUAAUAUUUAUAUUUUUUUUCAUAAAUUACUACAUAGCUUCUAUAUGAUAACAUAUAUAUGACUAGAAACGACAAUAGAUCGAGGCGAACAUGCGAUGGUCCUCCCCAUUUCUCAUCUCAUCGAAAUUUUACAGUGAGACGAGGAUAUAAUAUCUUCAUUCGUAUCUUUUAGUUAAUUAAUUUUAACUUUUUUUAAAAAAAAUUAAAACGAUUUUGACAUUAAAAAUAUUUAAAUAUAUUAAAAAAAAGAUUCGGGAUGGAAUGGAGAAAUUCGAGGGGGAGAAAAUGUUCCCCUCCUCGUAAUAAAUACUUAAUAGGACGGAACGGAUGAUGAUGAAUUAUUUUGUUAUUCCUCAAUGAAUUAUUUAACUUCGAAGUUGAUACCAAAUUCUAUUUCACUAUUAAGAAUUUAAAACAAACAUCACAAAAUAUAGUAAAUAAAAUAUUUUGAUAACUUUCUAAAUUAAAAAGAUAAAUAACAUAGAAAAAAGUUUCAGUUUCCUCAUAAUUUUCUUUGGCCGUCCACCAAAACAUGUUCCCUAAUUUUAGAGAACUCUUCCUCUUCCUUUUCCUCAACCAAAACCCUUCUCUCUCACAAAUUGCAAAAUCAUUCUAUCAUCCUCUCCAAAAAUCCAACUGUCAUUUAUCUCAAUAUCACCGGCAAAUCAUAAAUUUGUCUCGUCUUCUUCCACGUAGGUACAUAUUCUUGGUGAGAUCUUCCCCUUGUUUUUUCCCUCUUCUUUUUCUCUCUUUUCUUCCACAAUUACUAUUCCUAGUAAGUUAGCGAUAUCAUUGUCAUGGGCUUUUUUCAUUGUGUUAGAUUUCAUUUUCUAUUUUGGGUUUCUUGGGUUCUUAAUUUCUCUGUUUGUGCAAACCUACGUGGGUUUGUGAAAUAAGGAAAGAGAAAUUUUAAUUUGUGUUUGAUAAUGUAGGUUAUAGAGUGGCGUUCGAAGGUAGCACUGAGUUGUGCAUGCUCAGUAUAAUUAGAUCAUAUAAAUUCAAACUAAGAGAAAGACCAAGAAAAUUAGUUUAUGGGAGAGCAAAUUACUGAAUGCAUUAAGCUGUUCCUGUAAAAUGUUGAUGGAGGAGGGUAAGUGUGAGAAGGAGCAAUUUCUAAAUUUAACAAGCAAAUUGUUCCAAUAAUGAAGUAAAAGAAGGAGGUUUCAGUUUAAUUUUCCAUUCAAAUUCAUAUUUAUUCUAUUUUGAUGUGAAAGACGAUCAAGAGUUUUGAAAAUAUACGUAGUCUACUUCUCCUAUUAAGAAAGAUGUGGUUUGAUCUCAAUAUUUUUUAGGAACUUUCUAUUGCAUUUUGAUUUUAAUUAUAUAUUCAUUAGGGAAUAAUAUAUUUUGAAUUUAUUGUAAAUGAAAGAUAAAAUACUAUUAAUGAAUGAAACUUUAUUGACCAUUAUAAUUCAGAAAAUGAAGGAAAUUAAAUAGAGGUCAUAAUUUCUUCAUUAUUUUUGCAGUAGUUGUAUAAAUAACAUUUAUGUGCUGUAAAAUAUGAUAUUCUAAUUUAGAUAAUUGGUGGUGUAAUUUCUACUUUUUGUCAUCCCUACUUCUUUGGGGCUUUUGCUGUGUGCUAGCAGCACAUUAAAAGUUUUAUGCUUCCAGGUCCACAAUUCUUUUGCGGGAACAAGGUAUUAACUAUACACAAUCUCAAUUUUAAAAAACUACAUCUAAACUUUCAAAAAUCAGGUCAUAAUUAUGAAUUUAUUAAUUUAAAAAAUAUUUGUUUAAUAUAAUAUAUUCUGGUCACAACAUUACAUAUUUUUUUGUCACAAUUGCUCGAUUAUAGGUCACAACUUAUUUAUUAGUCACAUAUUAUCAUCACAAUUUUAUAAGUCACAACUUAUUCGUCAAAUUUUCAAAUUAAUUGAUCACAAAUUAUAUAAUUUUUAGAUCACAAUUAAAAGGUUCACGGAUUAUCUUUCGAUCACAAAUCACAAGUUUUAUAAGUCACAACUUAUUCGUCGAUCACAAAUUUUUAAAUUAGUUAGUCACAAAUUAUUUUCUGAUCACAAAUUAAAUAAUUUUUAGGUCACAAUUAAAUCGUUAGUUACAAAUAACCAAAUUGCAAGUAACAAAGUAAUCAAAUUGUUGGUCACAUGUACCAAACACCCCACUUCCACCUCCGAUCUCAGUCUACCACCAAUGCAGAUGGUCACACUCUUUUUUCCUUGCCUCGCCCGCCGCCGUAGCACCACCACAACUGCCACCAACAUCGACUACAACACCACCACCACUGAUCAUGACACACCAACAAUGCACACAACCAUCGUACCCAACCAUCGCACACAAAAAAUUAUCGGAGACGAUGGCUACGAAGCACAGUUCCCAAACCAGCAGCACUAGAUCUAAGCACAAAUCGAUUGUGAUGCACCACCACACCCAUGCAUAUGCCGGUAGAGAUGAAGGAGAAAUGCUGACAUCGACCGCAUCAUACCAACCACCCACUGCACCCAAUCAGAUCUGCAGCGCCCAUGGAGAAAUGUCGUCGGCGCACACUGCCAACACCACUGCACACAACACUGUCAUUGUUGGUUGCUUCAAAUGACAUCAGUACCUUUGUCAGUGACUUGUGCGAAAGAGGAAAAAAGUGAGGGGUCUUCACGGCGACGAUGAUGGUGGCUACGCCUUGUGUGAGAGAGAGAGAGAGAUGUGAUUUGAAGGAUGACAAGAGAAAUGAAAUGAGAAAAUUAGGGUUUGGAAUAUAAUAGGUUGAAUUAAUUUAAUUUUAUAUUAUUAUUAUUAUUAUUUAAAAUACAUAAUCACCUGAUUUUUGUAUUAUGAUACUUAAAUCUUGAUUUAUGAAAACGGAAUCUUAAUUUCCUCUUCUUUUGCUUUUGAUGUAUAUUAGGCUUUUAUUGGGCGCUAAGAGCACAUUAAAAGUUUUAUGGCGUGGAAAGGCCUAUAUAUAUACACGCACACUCACUUACACUUUUAUUGAUUGGUCCGUACAGAGAGAGGGUUGUCAAAAACUAGUUGCUAACAUUCCAUUGAUUGAAUCCUACAAAACGUUUGUCAAGAGCUUUAACUCUCUUCAGGUGUGUGUGUGUGUGUGUGUGUGUGUCGGCUUAUUCUCCUACGAGUUGUUUCUCCUUUUGAUGAUUGGUUUUGCUUCAACUGAUUAUCUUAUUUUUUGGGCAUUGUAUUGGAAAAUAUGAAGCAUUAGUAUAAAUAUUGUGUUGAAAUUAGGUUUUUUCUUAGUUAUUCAAUUUUGAAGCUCUCUUAUGAUUUGCAAUUUCACUCUCAAAAGAUGUAAUACUGGAAGGGAAUAUUUUGAAAGAAACAUUUAUAUUAUUUUUCAUAUUUUGAAAAUAUGAAGCAUUGGUAAAAAUUGUGUUGAAAUUAGGUUUUUUCUUAGAUAUUCAAUGUUGAAGCUCUCUUAUGAUUUGCAAUUUCACUCUCAAAAGAUGCAGUACUGGAAGGGAAUAUUUUGAAAGAAACCUUUAUAUUAUUUUUCUAUUUUCAAAUUUGAAGUGGACAAAUUAGCAAUUUAUUGCCAUGACAAUUUUUAUUUUGUCACGAUGUCUAUCGAUGUGGUAGUUUUUCUUAGUAUAUUUGUUCAUGCAAUGAUGUAAAUACUAAAAUCUACUAUUAUCUAGUUGACUAUACAUGUUUUGCUACUCAAACCAUGUUUGGCAAAGCUUAUUCUUUUACUUUAAUUUUGCAAUACUUCAAUAUCAUGUCUAAUUAUUUACUUUUAGUCAUUAACAGUAUGUCAUCUUAUUGUAGUUGGAUGUGGGGGACAAGUGGAUAAGGGUUAUCUUACAAAUGAAUUUAUUAUGGGAGUUGAAGAGUUUAUUGAAUUUGUGAAUUCACGGUCAGGGGUAUCUGAUAAGAUUAGAUGCCCUUGUCGUAAAUGCAGCAAUAAAGAAUUCCAUAUGCGAUAUGAUGUAAAACUUCACUUAUUCAGCAAAGGAUUUAGCCAUGAUUAUACUGAAUGGUAUGCACAUGGUGAACAAUACAUUAGUCGAUUUAAUUUGGGUGAAUCCUCAAAUGCAAAAGAACAAAGUGAAUGUAGAAAUCAAGCAAUGGUGAUGGAUGCAAUGGGCCCUAAUAUUUACAAUACUCUUUUGAAUUAGCAACAUUCUUUUCUAUAAGAACAUGAGUCGAAUCCAAGAACUGAAAAUUUCUUUAGACUACUUCGAAAAGCUAAUGAACCUAUAUAGCCCGGUUGUACAAAACACUCUAAACUUCCAGCUUUGAAUUUUAAGUCUAAAUUUAAUAUCUCUGCAAUAUGUUAUUGUCAUAUGUUGUCCAUAAUUACAGACAUGUUGCCACAAGGUGCACAAUUAGAGGAUACAUUUUACAAAACAAAGAAAAUUUUAAGUAGUCUUGGUCUUCCUUAUAUGAAGAUACACGCAUGUGAUAAUGUUUUCAUGUUGUACUAUAAAGAAAGUAAGAAUUUGAAAGAGUGUUUGAUCUGUGGUAAGGAACAAUAUAGAGAGAAACCUUCUAGAUUAGGACGUAAGAUGCCAUACAAGGUAUUGUGAUAUUUACCUCUAAUACCUAGACUAAAAAUGUUGUAUAUGUCAAGGCAUACAAUAGAGCAUAUGAUAUGGCAUUCGAAACAUAAAUUUAUGAGUGGAGAGAUGUCACAUCCAGUACAUGGUAAGGCAUGGAAGCACUUCAACACAAUUUAUCCAUAAUUCUUCCUUGAUCAUCAUAAUGUGCGUGUAGGUUUACGCAUUAAUGACUUUUUUGCCCUUUCAGUAGAAAUUCUAAGCUAUACUCGUGUUGGCCAAUAAUUAUCAUUGUGUAUAAUUUCCCACCUUUCAUGUGUAUGAAAAAAGAUAACAUGAUUCUGAGCAUGAUUAUCCCAGGUCCUAAAAGUCCAAGCAAAAGUUUAGAUAUAUACAAAACAAAAUUUUCAAAUCAAAGCAUCUUUGAUGUGGACUAUAAGUGAUUUUCCUGGGUACGGCAUGUUAUCUGGAUGGAGUACUCAUGGUCCAAUGGCUUGUCGUUAUUGUAUGCAUCUAACUAUAAAUCCUUCAGACUUAAACGUAAACGUAAGAUCUCUUUUUUAUUGCCAUUGUUGCUUCUUACCACAAGAUCAUCUGUUAAAAAAACAACGAGGCUAUUUUAUGAAACGUACAAUUGAAAAUGAUACGGCUCCUCCUCGAUUAUCAGGUGAUCUUAUUUGAUGUAUGCAUGAGGACCUUCCCGACAUUCCUUAUGAUAAAGCGUCUAGUAGACAAGAAAUUGAAGGUUUUGGAUGUAACCAUAAUUCGGUAAAGAAAAAUAUAUUUUGGGAAUUACCUUAUUGGCAUACAAAUCUCGUAUGCCAAAACUUAGAUGUGAUGUACAUUGAAAAAAUAUAUUUGAUAAUGUGUUCAACACAGUUAUGGACAUAAAAGGAAAAACAAAGGAUAAUGUAGAGGCAAAGAUUUGGAGAUUCAUUGUAAUCGGGCAGAGCUCCACUUAUUUAGAGAUGAAAAAAAAAUAAAAAUAAAAAAAAUACUUUUAAGCCAAAGGCUGACAAAUGAGCAGAAAAGGAAUGUAUGUGAUUGGGUUAAAGGAUUAAGAAUGCCAGAUAGUUAUUCUUCUAACAUUGCUCGUUGUGUUAAAGGCGAUGGUGAGUUUUACGGGAUGACGAGCCACGAUUGUCAUAUCUUUAUGCAAAGAUUGAUUCCAAUAGCAUUUAGAGAUCUAUUGCCAAAACCAAUUUGGGAAGCAUUAACUAAAACUUAGUCAUUUUUUCAGAGAUAUAUGCUCUACCGUUUUAAGAGUAGAAAACAUGGAAAAACUCGAUGGCAAUAUUGUUGUAACAUUAUGCAAACUGGAAAAGAUUUUUCCACCAGCAUUUUGUGACUCAAUGGAACAUUUGCCAGUUUACUUAGCAUAUGAAGCUAAGGUAGGAGGUCCUGUGCAAUAUCGAUGGAUGUAUCCUUUUGAGAGGUAACGGGAAAAUUAUUAGCAUUACCAUUCCAGAUAUUAAUAUGUGUAUUAACGUAAUACCCAUACAUUUCAAGUACAUAUUUCACCUAAAAAAAGUUUUAAAAAAAAAAUCAAAAUCAUGCUGAAGCAUCUAUAGUAAAAGCAAACAUUGUAGAGGAAAUAUCUAACUUUUGUAGGUUAUACUUUAACACAAAUGUUAAAACACGAUUGAAUCAUCCACUGAGGAAUGAUGAUGACGGGAAUGUUAAUCCGCAAGGAAGACUAUCAAUUUUCACAAAGUUUGGUCGAUUCCUUGGUAAUAAGGCUCCAAAUAUAAAGUUUAUGAAAGAUUAAGAGCUACAAACAGCACCACUUUAUGUGCUAUUAAACUGUGAAGAAAUUAUCCCUUUUGUGUGGUAGGCUAUACUAAUAAUCAAUAUAUAUUUUCUCGAAGCAUAAUUAGUUACACUAACUUUUACAUCAUGAUCUUAUUUAUAGGAAGUUCGAUCAACAUAUGAGAAUGGAUUAUCCUUAGGUGUCUGAUGCACAACUUAUCAAUUAUGUGACAACUGUUUUCCUCAUUAGCUAAAAGAAUAUGUCAGAUGCUCAUUAUUAUACAUAUAACCAACAUAAGCUAUUAGUAAGCACAUUUCAUUUUCUCAAGUUUUGGAUUGUAGGAAUAUGGUGGACUCCGAAGUAAAGAACAUCGGUUUAGGUCUUUCUAGUAAAGUGAAAUGUUACAAUGGAUACUUUGUGAAUGGUUUCAAAUUCCAUAAUUUUGAAUACGGUUUAAAUAAUACGUCUAUUAAUAGUGGUGUGUGCAUUCUCGAAAGUUUUUAUAAUGACUAUGAGCGCGACUACUAUGACAUGUUACUUGAAGUUUGGGAAAUUGAAUAUUUUGGACCUCAAAAUAGGGUUGUCUUAUUUAAAUGCCAUUAGUUUGAGAGCGAGAAUGAGAUUCGUGUACAUCCACGAUUUGCUAUAUGUUUUCGAUUUUAUCCCGCAAGUGGAUGGUUCGUAACAAGUAAUAAAGUGGACCUUUUGAGUCCGGAUUAUCGUUCCCACGAGGACUAUAUUUUAGUACUUAAUUUAUUAUUCCUAACUUCUAUUUACUGAAAAUAAAUAAAUAGAAAUUGAAUGUGAUUCUUAAAUCUAAAUUUUAAAAAAAAAUGCGAAUGGAUGCAAUAGAAAAUGAUUGAGAAUUCAAAUAAUAAAGGACGUUAGGGCGGAACAAUUUCAUCUAAUGGUCACCUUUACUUCGUUAAUCAAGAUUCAUACAACCUAAAGUAAUGUUCGGUCAAAUUCUUCUAUGGUAUUCAACUUACCCUUCUCGAGUUCUCGUUGAGCCUAUUUAGUUAAUUCAAUUUCAUAUCUCUAUGCAAAUUAAAUUUAAUUAAAUGCAACAUUGGUUCUAAGAAUUCAUACACGACCGCAGCAAUCAAUAUAGGUAUCUCUACACGUUAUAUCAAUUUACUGAAUUUUAACAUGUAGUCUAAACAAAUAAUCCGUAUCUCUACGCAAUCAUUGUUCACAAAUCAUCUAAUUAGUGAUUAAGUAAUUAAAUGCAUUAAGAACAACAUUAAAAUCAACACAUAAAAUAUAAAAGCACUAGAAUCUUAAUUCAACGAAAUAAAGGGUUCCAAAAGAUUACGUUGUUCGUCCUAAUUUUGAUUUAGCUACGCAUAAUAAUGAAAGAAAAACACAAAUUUAUUAGGAAAUUCAUCACCGGGUCAAUUGACGGAACGUAAAUAAUUUGCAAGACUGAAUUGCCGUCUUUUGCCGUGUCUGCUUCCUUUCAAUUUCAGCCUCUUGUCUUGUGUGUGUGAUUAGCAGCCGCCAAUUUUAUUAAUUGAAGAAGUCAAGUUGAAGCCACCAUUUCUGUAUCAAUUUUUAUUAAUUGAAGAAGUCAAGUUGAAGCCACCAUUUCUGUAUCAAUUUUUGUGUAUAUUCAGCUUUAGUUUUCUCUUUUAUUCAGCCCAAAGGCAGCCUCAAUUUUUUACUUCAAUCAACCCCAAAGCUGCUGCCAAUUAAUUCCCAGACAAACUCCCAACUGCUGCCCUCAAAAUAUGUGCGUAAAUAAGAAUAAUGAUGCAGCAACCAGGAGCUUUCAAUUCCUCUUCUCUCUGGUUUUCUGUGCAUGUAUAUAGAGAGAGAGUUCAUCCCCCAGCCAAUUUUUCUGUGCUUGUAUAUAUAUCCUCCCAAGAAGAAAAAUUGGCAGCCACAAUAAUUUUCUCCAAAAGGACUUCUCUCUUUUUUCCCAGCGGCCGCCGAAUUUUUUUCUCUCCAGAAAACUCUCUCCCCCAUUCCCCUUAGUUGGUAUGUAUAUAUAUAUUAUAUAUAAAAAACCUAGGGCCACCCUAGUUGACUAAGAAAAGGACUCUCUCUCCUCUCUUUACUUGGCUUGUACGUGUUUAUAUAUAUAAAAUAACCUAGCCACAAUAUGACUUCAAAAUAGACUCUAAUAAUGUCAAUUGCCUGCCACCUUUGUUGACUAAAGAAAACACUAAUUCAUACAUGCAUGUAGGGGUUAAAUCAACACCAAUUGAUACCAUAAUUAUUCUUCAAGCAUUCGACUUUUUAAGUUAAUGCAAUGUAGUCCUUGAGUUCCUCCAUUGUGCAAUCAACGUCCUCUUUAAUUUUUCAAGUGUUGAAUUUGAUCUUCAAUAUUGCAUCAACUAGCCAAUUUGUUCUUCAUCCUUUUCCAUUUGCUCCAAACGAGUCCAUCACUAAAAACAAACUAAAAUUAACUCAAGUUAAAUAGAAAUUAAUAAUUUGACGACAUAAAAACUUAAUAAAAUGGUCUAAAUAAGUGCAUAAUUUGUACUCAUCAAAUACCCCAAAACUUAAACUUUUGUUCAUCCUCGAACAAAAUCAUAGACUAAAUAAUAACCAACACACAAGCAUGCAAAAAUAUUUGGUUGGACGGUUUUAGCUUUUUACUUCAGGAUCAAGAUAUUAGUGUUUACUCUAUAAACAUGAUUCAAAGUCACAGUACCAAACUAAUAUCCACUCUUCCAAUAUAAAAAUUGACUUGUGUGUGUGAAGAAUCGAGUAAUCAACUAUGACUGCACAAGUUGUUUCAAUUCCCAACCCUUAAUGGUCAUAUAUGUCGUUUCAUCACUCGUAAGAUUCACACAUACCCAAACUUAUGUUUUUUUCAUUCUUUCCCAGUGUGUAAUCUAAGGCUAAAUAUUUCAUCACUAUCCUCACCCUCUCGAGUUUAGAUGGACGUUACUAAUUGCAAGUCAACACUUUAAUGAACAGGGAUUCUCCAAUUAUUUGAUUGCUUCGACCUUCAAGACUCAACUAGCUAAUUAUCUUGCAUCAAAAGUCAAAUUCCCUCAAAUAAGUGUUAGGACUUAACCAAUGUAUUUAGUGCUUUUGCUCUUUUCAUGCACUUGCUUUUUUUCUAUUUUUCACAAGUAUAUAUAUAUUUUUAUAUCUCUCCAUUAAGCUUUCUAAAUGACCCAUGUAGUAGGCUUUAGGUCGAUGACUCCCAAACCAGAUGAUUUUAGGGCACCAGGUUUUUAAAUACCCUUACAGGCUUACUGGCCCGAGUAAAAAAGGCUUCGAAGAGAACAAUUUUUUUUUUAGUGUAGCUGUCUCUAAUUUAUUUCUAAAUGACCCACAUAACGAGCUUUAGGCCGAUGGCUCUCAAGUCAGACGACUUUAGGGCAUCAGGUUUUAAGAUACCCUUACAGACUUAAUCACUCGAGUCAUAAAGGCUUCAGAGAAAAGUUCAAAAUUUUCAAAUGUAUAUCUCUUGAUUAGUGCAAUGCCCCUUAUCACACACUUAUUCAAACAAACCGACCUCUAACUUAAGAAUUUCGCAGGGUUUUAUCAUGUUAGUCUAAGACAAUCCACACAUAAAUAUUUCACACAUGGAAUCUACAUUCACAUCCGCAUCUUCCUACGACUAUAAAGUCACCUCUAAACUGUGCUAAAUUUGGUCUAAGGAUAGAUAAUUUAUUCUGGUUUAGGUAAAGCAUCUAUGUCCAACUAAAUCAACCUAUCAAAAGCAGGAAACAACUUAUUUAAUCAUAAUGUCAAACUCAAUUCUAGUGCGCUUGUAAUAUCAAAUUUUGCAAGGUUGAGCUUCAAUUAGUCUAGCAUGCAUCUUAUCCACAGUUCAUAAAUCAACACUAAAUCUCAAAUUAAAUCAUCAUUGUCUGCCAGAUUGUCUAACCCACACAAGCACGCAUCUGAACAAAAGAGAUUAUUAUUAUUAUUUAAAAUUUAAUUAAUAUAUAUUUAUUUUUUUCAAACAAACACACAAAAACAUAUCACCCCAAACUUAAAACUGACACUGUCCUCAUUGUCAUAAAGCAUAAAUAAACACAUAAAGGGGGUAGGGAAGAAAAAAAGGAAGGUACUCCCCAAAUUUUUCUGUUGAAUGUGUGAGGCACUAUGUGUGACGGCUGGAUAGUAUGCUUCAUCAUACUUUCUCUUGGAUCUAUGUUGGUUUGAGUGUUCCACGAUGUCAUAUUCCUGAAAAAUCAAAUCUGACUAAUGAAAUACAGGGAACAAGGGUUACUUAGCUCAAACAAUCAAAAUAACCAACAAUAAAUUCAAGGGCCUGAGGGUAUAAAAGAUAUGGGUGAUGACUCCUAGAAAUUGAAACGUGCCUAAAUCUAAUGCAACCUAGUAAACAAAACAAAAAUGUAUGCUAUGCGAUACGAUAAGAAAAAUAAAAAGUUUGAAAAUUGGAUUGCCUCCCAAUAAGCGCUUCUUUUAAGUCAUUAGCUGGACUUUGUGCUGCUAUUAUUCUGGUACAGCUAGGUAUAUGCUCUCUUUAGCGGUGGGGAAAUCUUCCACGUAGUGCUUGAUAUGUUGGCCAUUUACUUUGAAGUUUCCCUUUGUUGGAUGGUGUAAUUCAAUUAUGCCGUAGGGAAACACUUGAGAGGCCGUGAAAGGGUCGGACCAUCUAGAUUUCAAUUUUCCUGGGAAUAGUUUAAGUCUGGAAUUGUAUAAAAGCACUCGAUCUCCUACUCGAAAAAUUCUUUGCCUGAUGUUCUUGUCAUGCCAUUGCUUCGUCCUUUCCUUAUAAAUGGCUGCAUUCUCAUAUGCUUCUCUUUUGAAUUCUUCCAAUUCAUGUAGCUGAAGUAUUCUUGUUUCUCCAGCCUUGUCGAGGUCCAUGUUUAACUGCUUCAAUGCCCAAUAUGCUCUAUGUUCAAACUCCAUUAGUAGGUGGCAUGCUUUUCCAAAUACUAGUCGAUAUGGGGACAUUCCAAUAGGUGUUUUGUAAGCAGUACGAUAUGCCCAUAAAGCGUCGUCUAAUUUCUUUGACCAAUCCUUGCGAGAUGCAUUCACAAUGAGCUCCAGAAUUCUUUUCAAUUGUCUGUUUGAGGUCUCCACUUGUCUGAGGGUGGUAAGGAGUGGCAAUUCGAUGUUGUACCCCGUACUUAUGCAGCACUACUUGGAAUAACCGAUUGCGGAAGUGAGUUCCACCAUCACUUAUUAUGCCCCUAGGUGAUCCAUAGCGGUUAAAGAUGUGUUUCUUUAUGAAGUCCACCACUACCCUUGCGUCAUUUAUAGGCAAUGCUUUAGCUUCUACCCAUUUAGAAACAUAAUCCACUACUACUAGGAUGUACCGAUUGUUAUAAGAUGAUGGAAAAGGACCCAUAACAUCAACUCCCCAAACAUCAAAUACUUCCACUUCCAAAAUGUUGUUUAGUGGCAUCUCGUGACGCGCUGAUAUGUUACCAGUUCUCUGACACUUAUCGCAUGACCUGUAGAAACUGUGGCAGUCCUUGAACAUUGUAUGCCAAAGAAACCACAUUGAAGCACCUUUGCUGCUGUUUUAGUGGGGCCAAAGUGUCCUCCAUAUGCCGAAGCAUGAACCUGUGAAAGGAUCUGUUUCAUCUCAUCCUCUGGAACACAUCUCCUAAUGAUCUGGUCUGCCCCUCUCCUAUAUAAAUUUGGAUCAUCCCAAUAAUAGAAUUUCGCUUCAUGAAGCAGCUUCUUUUUCUGCUGAUAGGUGAGAUCAGGAUCCAUAUAGCCACUAGCUAGGUAAUUAACAAUGUUUGCAUAUCACGGAGCCUUUUCUAUUUGUAAUAACUGUUCAUUUGGGAAAACCUCAUUAAUAUCCAUGUCAUCUGAAUCAUGAAGUUGCUCUAGCCUUGAUAAAUGAUUCGCUACCUGAUUUUCUAUACCCUUUUUGUCGCGAACUUCAAUGUCAAACUCUUGCAGUAACAAAACCCAUUGAAUCAGCCUAGGUUUAGCAUCCUUAUUCUCAAACAGAUAUUUCAAUAAUGAAUAUAUAUUUUCUCGAAGCAUAAUUAGUUACACUAACUUUUACAUCACGAUCUUAUUUAUAGGAAGUUCAAUCAACAUAUGAGAAUGAAUUAUUCUUAGCUAGCUGAUGCACAACUUGAUCAAUUACGUGACAACCGUUUUCUCCAUUAGCUAAAAGAAUAUGUAAGAUGCUCAAUAUUAUAUAUAUAACCUACAUAAGCUAAUAGUAAGCACAUUUCAGUUUCUCGGGUUUUGGAUGAUAGGAAUAUGGUGGACUCUGAAGUAAAGAACAUCAGUUUAGGUCUUUCUAAUAAAGUGAAAUGUUACAAUGGAUACUUUGUGAAUGGUUUCAAAUUCCAUAAUUUUGAAUAUGACUUAAAUAAUACGUCUAUGAAUAGUGGUGUGUGCAUUCUUGAAAAUUGUUAUAAUGACUAUGAGCGCGACUACUAUGACAUGUUACUUGAAGUUUGGGAAAUUGAAUAUUUCGGACCUCAAAAUAGGGUUGUCUUAUUUAAAUGCCAUUAGUUUGAGAGCGAGAAUGAGAUUCAUGUACAUCCACAAUUUAACCUUGUUGAGAUUAAUCAUAAGAAAAUUGUAUUGAGAAAUGACAUUUUCGUACUUGCCCAACAAGCUCAACAAGUAUACUACACAAUGUUUCCUUCAAAUUCUAGAGAUGACGUGACUGGUGGGCAGUUGUGAAAAUAAAAACUCAACAUGUAAUUGAUAUUCAAGGAAUCCUAUCAGAAAAUGACGAUUGUAAUACAUCGAUUGAACUUCUAUUCUAAAAGGAUCGAUCACCUAAUAUACGACAACUUUCAAUUGCUCUGGAGUUAGAUCAUGAAAAUCUAGUUCGAGAUAAUGUUUUUCUAGAAGAAAUAGAUAUAGAUGAGACUAGUAACAUUGUGAACUCUCAAAUGCUUAAUACAAAAGAAGUUCUCAAGAACAAGAUGAUAUACAUGAGGUAGACGAUGACACUAAUAGCUCAACAUCGAAUCCAAGUGAAAAUGAUAAUGAUGAACAUGUAUGCUUAUAACUAUCAUUAUUUUUGUGUUUCUUAUGUUCUCUUCACUUGAUAAAAUAUUUAUUUAAUUUAGUACUAUUGUAUUUAAUUUGUGUUCCUUCAUAUUUUGAAUUGGCUUUGCUAGCAGGAUGACACGGACUAGAGGAGGUUAUAAAUCUAAUCAAUCAAAUUACAAGAGAUCCACAAGGUAUAGUGGCAGGAGUUUUUCACACUGCGGUUGUCGAUAUUGUGAGGCUAAUAUUUCCAAUGAUGAUAUGGAAGAUGAGGAUAUAGACGAACCAUUGUACCAAGAAGACAUGCCAUCUAGAUCUAAUAAUUGGGCUAAGGGUUAUAGGUAAAUUUUAAAUAUAUGUUUAUUAUGCAUUGUGAAAUAUCUGUGUAAAUAGGUUGUGCCCUAUUUGUUCAGAAUUAUUUUCAAAUAUAAAAUUCAUCUACAUAUUCUUAAGUGAAAGAAAGAGCUAACAAUAAUCAUUAAAAGAAAUUAACAGCUUGGCAACAAAUUUAACUAUUAUUGUUUUCAAUUGGUUUUGCAAGCACUAUGUCACCAACUAAUGGAAUAUAUACAGGUCAAACAAGUCAAUAGAGAUCUAUACAACAUGGUGAUAGGGGAUCUUCGCGUGUUUGAUAUGGUAAUCAUGAGGCUAAUAUUUCCAAUCAUGAGGUCAAAGAUGAGCUAUAACACCCCAAUUUUUAAUUAAGGGUUUGAAUCGCUACCAAAAUUUUCAUGUAAAUUUAAACAGCGUGGCACAAUAACAUAUAUAAUUAUGAAAUGGUAAUUUACUCAAAUUUGGAUAAAAAGUUAUUAAUCUAUAUAAAAGAAAGAAAGAAUAUUUUCCUACGCCAUAUCAUUCACAUGUACAUAAAAGAAAAGCACAUAAAAUUAAUCUUCAAUUUAAUGUUAAAGACAAAAACCACUCCUUUUUAUAUCUUUUUUUUUAACUGUUCAAGUGUGAAACAAUUAUUAUUUGACAUUAUAUGUGUGUGUGUGUGUGCGCGCAGAGAAGAAUUCCAUAUAUUUACAUAAGCAAAAUUCCAAAUCAAAGUUAAUAUGCUUCUCUCUUUCUUCAAAACGUGGCACACUGCUCCAAAAAAGAGAGAAUACUUCCAAAAAUUGCCUUACUUUAUUAAAGAAUUCACACACAACAUCACAAUAUGAGACAUACUUAAUGUAUGGAUAUUAGUCAACGAUGUUUAAAAUCUUCAAUUUACCGUGUAGUAUAUCCAAAGGAGAUAUUGAAGGGUGAUGUGACAAGUGAGGAAUCAUUACUUUGACCAUCAAUUUUCAUAAAUUCUGGGAAGGUCACGAAAAGUACAUAAAAUUAAUCUUCCACACAAACAAGGCAGUAGAAUAUAACCAAUUACUUUUAAAUAGUGAAAUCAAUAGAAAAAAUAAUAUUUAAUUCAAAUUUUAUCUAAACAGCAAACGACACAUGUUCAUCUACAAAUAGAUAUGUACGAAUUUACUAUUAUUAUUAUCUUUUAAAAAAAUAAAUGUCUACUACAAUAACUUAAAAUAAAUAUGAAUCAUGAAGUUGCUCUAGCCUUGAUAAAUGAUUCGCUACCUGAUUUUCUAUACCCUUUUUGUCGCGAACUUCAAUGUCAAACUCUUGCAGUAACAAAACCCAUUGAAUCAGCCUAGGUUUAGCAUCCUUAUUCUCAAACAGAUAUUUCAAUAAUGAAUAUAUAUUUUCUCGAAGCAUAAUUAGUUACACUAACUUUUACAUCACGAUCUUAUUUAUAGGAAGUUCAAUCAACAUAUGAGAAUGAAUUAUUCUUAGCUAGCUGAUGCACAACUUGAUCAAUUACGUGACAACCGUUUUCUCCAUUAGCUAAAAGAAUAUGUAAGAUGCUCAAUAUUAUAUAUAUAACCUACAUAAGCUAAUAGUAAGCACAUUUCAGUUUCUCGGGUUUUGGAUGAUAGGAAUAUGGUGGACUCUGAAGUAAAGAACAUCAGUUUAGGUCUUUCUAAUAAAGUGAAAUGUUACAAUGGAUACUUUGUGAAUGGUUUCAAAUUCCAUAAUUUUGAAUAUGACUUAAAUAAUACGUCUAUGAAUAGUGGUGUGUGCAUUCUUGAAAAUUGUUAUAAUGACUAUGAGCGCGACUACUAUGACAUGUUACUUGAAGUUUGGGAAAUUGAAUAUUUCGGACCUCAAAAUAGGGUUGUCUUAUUUAAAUGCCAUUAGUUUGAGAGCGAGAAUGAGAUUCAUGUACAUCCACAAUUUAACCUUGUUGAGAUUAAUCAUAAGAAAAUUGUAUUGAGAAAUGACAUUUUCGUACUUGCCCAACAAGCUCAACAAGUAUACUACACAAUGUUUCCUUCAAAUUCUAGAGAUGACGUGACUGGUGGGCAGUUGUGAAAAUAAAAACUCAACAUGUAAUUGAUAUUCAAGGAAUCCUAUCAGAAAAUGACGAUUGUAAUACAUCGAUUGAACUUCUAUUCUAAAAGGAUCGAUCACCUAAUAUACGACAACUUUCAAUUGCUCUGGAGUUAGAUCAUGAAAAUCUAGUUCGAGAUAAUGUUUUUCUAGAAGAAAUAGAUAUAGAUGAGACUAGUAACAUUGUGAACUCUCAAAUGCUUAAUACAAAAGAAGUUCUCAAGAACAAGAUGAUAUACAUGAGGUAGACGAUGACACUAAUAGCUCAACAUCGAAUCCAAGUGAAAAUGAUAAUGAUGAACAUGUAUGCUUAUAACUAUCAUUAUUUUUGUGUUUCUUAUGUUCUCUUCACUUGAUAAAAUAUUUAUUUAAUUUAGUACUAUUGUAUUUAAUUUGUGUUCCUUCAUAUUUUGAAUUGGCUUUGCUAGCAGGAUGACACGGACUAGAGGAGGUUAUAAAUCUAAUCAAUCAAAUUACAAGAGAUCCACAAGGUAUAGUGGCAGGAGUUUUUCACACUGCGGUUGUCGAUAUUGUGAGGCUAAUAUUUCCAAUGAUGAUAUGGAAGAUGAGGAUAUAGACGAACCAUUGUACCAAGAAGACAUGCCAUCUAGAUCUAAUAAUUGGGCUAAGGGUUAUAGGUAAAUUUUAAAUAUAUGUUUAUUAUGCAUUGUGAAAUAUCUGUGUAAAUAGGUUGUGCCCUAUUUGUUCAGAAUUAUUUUCAAAUAUAAAAUUCAUCUACAUAUUCUUAAGUGAAAGAAAGAGCUAACAAUAAUCAUUAAAAGAAAUUAACAGCUUGGCAACAAAUUUAACUAUUAUUGUUUUCAAUUGGUUUUGCAAGCACUAUGUCACCAACUAAUGGAAUAUAUACAGGUCAAACAAGUCAAUAGAGAUCUAUACAACAUGGUGAUAGGGGAUCUUCGCGUGUUUGAUAUGGUAAUCAUGAGGCUAAUAUUUCCAAUCAUGAGGUCAAAGAUGAGCUAUAACACCCCAAUUUUUAAUUAAGGGUUUGAAUCGCUACCAAAAUUUUCAUGUAAAUUUAAACAGCGUGGCACAAUAACAUAUAUAAUUAUGAAAUGGUAAUUUACUCAAAUUUGGAUAAAAAGUUAUUAAUCUAUAUAAAAGAAAGAAAGAAUAUUUUCCUACGCCAUAUCAUUCACAUGUACAUAAAAGAAAAGCACAUAAAAUUAAUCUUCAAUUUAAUGUUAAAGACAAAAACCACUCCUUUUUAUAUCUUUUUUUUUAACUGUUCAAGUGUGAAACAAUUAUUAUUUGACAUUAUAUGUGUGUGUGUGUGUGCGCGCAGAGAAGAAUUCCAUAUAUUUACAUAAGCAAAAUUCCAAAUCAAAGUUAAUAUGCUUCUCUCUUUCUUCAAAACGUGGCACACUGCUCCAAAAAAGAGAGAAUACUUCCAAAAAUUGCCUUACUUUAUUAAAGAAUUCACACACAACAUCACAAUAUGAGACAUACUUAAUGUAUGGAUAUUAGUCAACGAUGUUUAAAAUCUUCAAUUUACCGUGUAGUAUAUCCAAAGGAGAUAUUGAAGGGUGAUGUGACAAGUGAGGAAUCAUUACUUUGACCAUCAAUUUUCAUAAAUUCUGGGAAGGUCACGAAAAGUACAUAAAAUUAAUCUUCCACACAAACAAGGCAGUAGAAUAUAACCAAUUACUUUUAAAUAGUGAAAUCAAUAGAAAAAAUAAUAUUUAAUUCAAAUUUUAUCUAAACAGCAAACGACACAUGUUCAUCUACAAAUAGAUAUGUACGAAUUUACUAUUAUUAUUAUCUUUUAAAAAAAUAAAUGUCUACUACAAUAACUUAAAAUAAAUAAAAUUAUGUACUAAAUUAGUUCUUUAUUGAACGAAACGAGGUACAACCACACCAUAGAAUCACCACGUUCUAACACAAACCGUUCUAACGUGUGAGGCGUAGGGAAAAAGGUGAGUAUAAGAGAAUACUCAGUAGGAUAUAAAAAUUAAUGGUGCAUUCUCGUAUAAAAAAAUUAAACAAAUGUGUCAAAAUAUCAUACAGUCUCAUAUCUUUAAAAUUCCGUAAGAGCUCAUAUCAUAUCAUUGUACUGGAAAUGACCAUAUCAUUUAUAUCAUAGAAUUUUAUAUCAUAAUUUUAACUUUCAUGAGUACAAAAUUCAUCAACAUGUGGAAAAAAAAUUGAACGGGACAUAAAAUAAUGCAUCUUGAUAUCUUACCUUAUUAGAUCGUUUUAAUUAUUUGAAAGACAAAACCAAAGAAAUCACGCUCCAAAAUCCUUCUCGCUGCUUCAAGGAUUUAUAUUAUUUAAAUUGACUUCCUUAUUAAAAUUUCAAUACCACAAGUAUUUGUAUCUUUAAAUUUUUUUAGGGUACAAAGUAAGAAUCCUUUUACACUUCAUAAAGUAUAAAGUAUGUAAUUUACCUGAUUCCAACACUUUUCUCUCUCUACAACUGUGUACUUAUGCAUAUGUCUUCUUUGAUAUACAUAUAUAAAUAUAUCACCCCAUGAUCUAGUCUAACAAAGUGGGUGUGCAGUUGGCGAAACGUGUAGAAGUAGGAUAGGGGUAUGAAUAAGAACUGGGAAACAGACUUUUGAAAUAAAAUAAUUGACCAAGUUUUGCCAACCAACUAUACCACUCAAAUCAAUAUAUUUCAUACACUUGCUCUUGCAACAAUUUGACAGGAAAAUCAUUAAAGUCUCUCUCUCUCUCUCUUUCUCUCUCUCUCUCUCAGGUGGUUUCCUCUUCCAUCUCUCUUCUAUUUUUUUUAUUAAUAAAACAUCAAUCACUACCCUAUUGAGAAUCUAGUUUUAUACACGUCAACCAUAUAUAAAUUUUAAAUUCGUUAAAUAAUCAUUUAAAAUAUAUUUUAAAGUUAUAUCUUUCGACCUCGAUAACUCGGGCUCCGCUAAUCCAAAUUAACUUUUUCUCAAGCCUAAUGGGCAUGAUUAAUUACGAUCUUUCCAACGAGCCCCAAUCAAAUUACAAGAGAUCCACAAGGUAUAGUGGCAGGAGUUUUUCACACUGCGGUUGUCGAUAUUGUGAGGCUAAUAUUUCCAAUGAUGAUAUGGAAGAUGAGGAUAUAGACGAACCAUUGUACCAAGAAGACAUGCCAUCUAGAUCUAAUAAUUGGGCUAAGGGUUAUAGGUAAAUUUUAAAUAUAUGUUUAUUAUGCAUUGUGAAAUAUCUGUGUAAAUAGGUUGUGCCCUAUUUGUUCAGAAUUAUUUUCAAAUAUAAAAUUCAUCUACAUAUUCUUAAGUGAAAGAAAGAGCUAACAAUAAUCAUUAAAAGAAAUUAACAGCUUGGCAACAAAUUUAACUAUUAUUGUUUUCAAUUGGUUUUGCAAGCACUAUGUCACCAACUAAUGGAAUAUAUACAGGUCAAACAAGUCAAUAGAGAUCUAUACAACAUGGUGAUAGGGGAUCUUCGCGUGUUUGAUAUGGUAAUCAUGAGGCUAAUAUUUCCAAUCAUGAGGUCAAAGAUGAGCUAUAACACCCCAAUUUUUAAUUAAGGGUUUGAAUCGCUACCAAAAUUUUCAUGUAAAUUUAAACAGCGUGGCACAAUAACAUAUAUAAUUAUGAAAUGGUAAUUUACUCAAAUUUGGAUAAAAAGUUAUUAAUCUAUAUAAAAGAAAGAAAGAAUAUUUUCCUACGCCAUAUCAUUCACAUGUACAUAAAAGAAAAGCACAUAAAAUUAAUCUUCAAUUUAAUGUUAAAGACAAAAACCACUCCUUUUUAUAUCUUUUUUUUUAACUGUUCAAGUGUGAAACAAUUAUUAUUUGACAUUAUAUGUGUGUGUGUGUGCGCGCGCGCGCAGAGAGAAGAAUUCCAUAUAUUUACAUAAGCAAAAUUCCAAAUCAAAGUUAAUAUGCUUCUCUCUUUCUUCAAAACGUGGCACACUGCUCCAAAAAUGAGAGAAUACUUCCAAAAAUUGCCUUACUUUAUUAAAGAAUUCACACACAACAUCACAAUAUGAGACAUACUUAAUGUAUGGAUAUUAGUCAACGAUGUUUAAAAUCUUCAAUUUACCGUGUAGUAUAUCCAAAGGAGAUAUUGAAGGGUGAUGUGACAAGUGAGGAAUCAUUACUUUGACCAUCAAUUUUCAUAAAUUCUGGGAAGGUCACGAAAAGUACAUAAAAUUAAUCUUCCACACAAACAAGGCAGUAGAAUAUAACCAAUUACUUUUAAAUAGUGAAAUCAAUAGAAAAAAUAAUAUUUAAUUCAAAUUUUAUCUAAACAGCAAACGACACAUGUUCAUCUACAAAUAGAUAUGUACGAAUUUACUAUUAUUAUUAUCUUUUAAAAAAAUAAAUGUCUACUACAAUAACUUAAAAUAAAUAAAAUUAUGUACUAAAUUAGUUCUUUAUUGAACGAAACGAGGUACAACCACACCAUAGAAUCACCACGUUCUAACACAAACCGUUCUAACGUGUGAGGCGUAGGGAAAAAGGUGAGUAUAAGAGAAUACUCAGUAGGAUAUAAAAAUUAAUGGUGCAUUCUCGUAUAAAAAUUUUAAACAAAUGUGUCAAAAUAUCAUACAGUCUCAUAUCUUUAAAAUUCCGUAAGAGCUCAUAUCAUAUCAUUGUACUGGAAAUGACCAUAUCAUUUAUAUCAUAGAAUUUUAUAUCAUAAUUUUAACUUUCAUGAGUACAAAAUUCAUCAACAUGUGGAAAAAAAAUUGAACGGGACAUAAAAUAAUGCAUCUUGAUAUCUUACCUUAUUAGAUCGUUUUAAUUAUUUGAAAGACAAAACCAAAGAAAUCACGCUCCAAAAUCCUUCUCGCUGCUUCAAGGAUUUAUAUUAUUUAAAUUGACUUCCUUAUUAAAAUUUCAAUACCACAAGUAUUUGUAUCUUUAAAUUUUUUUAGGGUACAAAGUAAGAAUCCUUUUACACUUCAUAAAGUAUAAAGUAUGUAAUUUACCUGAUUCCAACACUUUUCUCUCUCUACAACUGUGUACUUAUGCAUAUGUCUUCUUUGAUAUACAUAUAUAAAUAUAUCACCCCAUGAUCUAGUCUAACAAAGUGGGUGUGCAGUUGGCGAAACGUGUAGAAGUAGGAUAGGGGUAUGAAUAAGAACUGGGAAACAGACUUUUGAAAUAAAAUAAUUGACCAAGUUUUGCCAACCAACUAUACCACUCAAAUCAAUAUAUUUCAUACACUUGCUCUUGCAACAAUUUGACAGGAAAAUCAUUAAAGUCUCUCUCUCUCUCUCAGGUGGUUUCCUCUUCCAUCUCUCUUCUAUUUUUUUUUUAUUAAUAAAACAUCAAUCACUACCCUAUUGAGAAUCUAGUUUUAUACACGUCAACCAUAUAUAAAUUUUAAAUUCGUUAAAUAAUCAUUUAAAAUAUAUUUUAAAGUUAUAUCUUUCGACCUCGAUAACUCGGGCUCCGCUAAUCCAAAUUAACUUUUUCUCAAGCCUAAUNNNNNNNNNNNNNNNNNNNNNUCUUCCUUAAAAUAUUUUCGUUCUCGAAAAUUUACCUUGGUUAAUCGAAGAGCUCUGGAUACUUGAUUCUAAACUCCUUUUCUUUCUCCCAAGUUGACUCAUCAUGUCUAUGAUUCUGCCAUGGGACCUUGACUAUGAGAACUUCCCUGUUUUUGAGUUGAUGCACUUUUCUCUCCAAAAUCAUUGUCGGGGUUUCUUCAUAUGAUAAGUCUUUUUGUAUAUCCAAUAUCUAAUAACUUACCACAUGAUUGGGAUCAUGAACAUAUUUUCGGAGCAUUGAUACAUGGAGCACGUUAUGCACUGCUGGAAGUUCAGGUGGUAAGGCAAGUCGAUAAGCCACAACACCAAUCAUUUCAAGGAUCUCGAAAGGUCCAAUAAAUCGCUAUCUCAACUUUCCCUUCUUACUAAAUAUCAAUAUACCCUUCAUGGGUGCUACUUUAAGAAAAACUUUGUGGCCCACUCUAAAUUCCAAAUCCUUUCUUCUACUAUCAACAUAACUUUUCUUUUGGUCUUGUGUUGUCUUUAUUCUGGCUCUAAUAUUAUCAAUGCCUCAACUAUUUGUUCAAUGAUUUCAGGACCUAAAAUUCUAUUCUCUCCGACCUCGUUUCAAUGGAUAGGGGAUCUGCACUUCCUACCAUAAAGAGCUUCAUAUGGGGCCAUACUUAUAGUGACUUGAAAACUAUUGUUGUAAGCAAACUCCACUAAAGGCAGAUGUGUCUCCCAACUACCUCCAAGAUCCAAAACACAUGCCCUCAACAUAUCUUCCAAAGUUUGGAUGGUUCUUUGUGAUUAUCCAUCUGUUCGAGUAUUAUAAGCAGUGCUAAACUUCAGUUUCAUCCCCAUGGCUGUUUGCAAACUUUUUUAAAAUUUAGAUGUGAACCUCGGGUCUCUAUCUGAAACAAUGGUGACUAAGACUCUAUGUAGUGUGACUAUCUCUUUGAUGUAUAACUGUGUGAGCUGAUCCAUGUUGAAGUUUACUUUGAUUUGUAGAAAAUGGGCUGACUUCGUUAGACGAUCUACCACUACCCAGAUAGCAUUGUGACAUUUUGCUGACCUUGAGAGGCCUACCACAAAUCCAUCGUUAUGUAUUCUCAUUUCCAUUCUUGAAUAUCCAACGGUUUUAGUAGUCCUGAUGGUCUUUGAUGUUCUGCCUUGACCUAGUGACAGAUAAUGCAUUUUUCAACGAAUAGACUAAUUCUUCUCUUCAUGUUUCUCCACCAAAAUGUAUCUCGAAGAUCUCGAUACAUUUUCAUACCACCUAGAUGUGCCGAAUACGGUGUAGAGUGAGCAUCUUCCAAUAUCUCCUUUCUUAUACUUUCAUCCUUAGGUACACAUAACCUUUCUUUGAACGUCAGUGCAUUAUCUGUAGAUAUUUCAAACCCUAUACGUCUGUUUGAACCAAUCUUAGUCUUUAUCUUCUAUAGAAAUGGAUCUUUAUCUUACACUUCCUUAAUUCGAUCCCGAAGUGUAGGUUGAAUCACGAAUGCUUUAAUCCUCUCUGUAGUCUAAGUCGGCGUUAUGAUAACUUCCAAUCUUAGUUUCUCAUUAUCAGGCAUUCCUACAUCAUAGGUAGAACUGCUAACUGUGACCCUAUCUUUCUGCUUAGGGCAUCAGCAACUACGUUAGCCUUACUCGGAUGGUAAUGAAUCGUGCAGUCAUAAUCUUUCACUAAUUCCAACCAUCUCCUUUAUCUCAUAUUUAGCUCCUUCGGUGUGAAAAAGUAUUUGAGACUUUUGUGCUCUAUAUAGAUUUCACACUUCCUACCAUAAAGAUAAUGACGCCAUAUUUUUAAGGCGUGAAAGACCGCUGCAAGUUCCAAGUCGUGUUUUGGAUAGUUUUGAUCAUAUUGUUUCAACUGUCUCAAGGCAUAAGCAUCCAAUUUUCUAUGAUGCAUCAGUACACAACCCAAACCCUGCUUGGGGGCAUCGCUAUAAAUCAUAAAUCCCUCUUGUCAAUACAGGAGCUGAAACUUGUCUCCGCUUGAGUUUUUGAAAACAUUUUUCACAUUUUUCCAUCCACUGAAACUUCACACCCUUUCUCGUCAACUGAGUCAUUGACCCUGCUAUUUUUUAGAAGCCUUCAAUGAAUCUUCUAUAAUAACUAGCCAAUCCCAAGAAACUGUGAACUUCACCCACACUGGUUGACCUUAGCCAAUUUGUUACUGCUUCCACUUUAGCAGGGUCUACUUCCACUCCUUGGGCGGUAACCACGUGACCAAGGAAACCUACACGAUCAAGCCAAAAUUUCACACUUCUUGAAUCUGGCAUAUAAUUUCUCAUUCCUCAAUGUUUCAAGUACUACUCAGACUUGUUCCUCAUGUUGUUUCUUGUUUUCGGAGUACACGAGUAUGUCAUCCAUAAAUACUAUAACAAAUUGGUCUAACUAUUGAUGAAACACUCUGUUCAUGAGAUCCAUAAAUAUAGCUGGAGCAUUUGUCAAACCAAAUGGCAUGACAGUGAAUUCAUAGUGUCCAUAACGAGUCAUAAAAGUAGUUUUUUGUAUAUCGCUUGCCCUGAUUUUUAGCUGAUGAUACCCUAACCUCAAAUCGAUCUUGAAAAUAUUGUAGCACCCCUUAAAUGGUCAAACAAAUCUUCUAUUCUUGACAAUGGAUACUUAUUUUUUAUGGUCAGAUGGUUCAAUACCCGAUAGUCAAUGCACAUCCUCAUACUCCCAUCCUUUUUCUUGACAAAAAAUAUAGGAGCUCCCCAAGGAGAUAUACUUAGUCGAAUGAAACAUUUCUCCAACAACUCCUCUAAUUGCAACUUCAAUUCUUGAAGUUUUUCAGUGUCAUUAGGUACAAGGCUUUGGAUACUAGUGCUGCUCCAUAAACCAAAUCAAUUGUAAAUUCCACUUGCAUAUCUUGUGGAAUGCCUAGUAAUUCUUUUGGGAAUACUCUGCAAAGUCUCGCACAAUGUUAAUAUCAUUAACAGUCGUUUAUGUAUGUUGGGAACUGAUGAUAUUAACUAGGAAUAUUUGACAUGACUUCUUUCUCAACAUCUUUUCCGCUUAUAUAGCCGACAUAAGAUGAGGUAGAGACUUGAACUUUGCUCAAAAGAAGCAGAACUCUUCCUCUAUUUGUCUGUGAAACAAUAUUUUUUUCUCAUGACAUCGAAUGGUCGCACGAUUAAAUCCCAACCAAUCCAUGACCAAGAUAAUAUCGAAAUCUUUCAUCUUCAAAAAGUAUGAGUCCGCUUGUAACAUUUUCCCCUUAAAUCUCUAACUUUAUGGACUUAGUAAUUUGAUUUGUAUAAAGAGUUCUUCCUGAAGGAUGCUAACUUUUAAUUCAUUAUUCGUUUUCAUACAUGAAAAGUUAGAUCUAGCGAUGAAGGAUGUAGAGAUAAAAGAAUUGGUAGCCCCAGAAUCCAAAAGUACGUAAGUAGGUACAUUAAAUAAUAACAAAAUACAUAUUUUGUAAUUAUAGUGUUAGACUAGCAACCAAGGGACAGAGAUGAAAUAAUGUGUAGUUCUAGGUAAAAAAAUGUAAGCAUGUACAUUGAGUAUAUUAAUAAUAAAAUACCUCCUAUCACAUUCGGAUCCUACUCUGCUUCAUGCUAAUUCAGUGUAAAAACUUGAGCCUUUCCUUUCUUGUUCUUGUCCUGAUCAUCAUUCUUCUUCUUUGGAGGCUUUGUACAUUUAAGAGCGAUGUGUCCAAGUUUUCCACACCGAAGGCACACGUUCUUUCCGAGCAAGCAUUCACCCUUAUAGAGUUUAUUAGACUUAGGACAAGGUGUAAUACUCCCAUUCGUCCCACCGAUACGAACUCCUGUGCUUGGUCUUUUAUUUUGCCAGUGAUGUCUGCUCUUGCUCUGAUCGCCCCAUUUUCUUUUUCCUAACGACUCCUUACUCUAUUAAGCAUACUAUCCAAAUGUGGUCCUUUGAUAUGAAAUAGUGCGGCGCUCUCCAACAUCUCACAAUAUGAGGUAAAACGAUGUGACGUAAUGACCAUGCUGAUCUUUGGGUGCAAUCCAUUUUCAAACCUCCUAAUCUUCUUAACUUCAGUAUCCAUAAGUGUAGGGGCAUAUCUUGAGAGAUGCUUAAACUGCCUCUCGUAAUCAGUAAGCAACAUGUAUCACUACCUGAGCUAUAGACACUUUGGUUCCUUGAAGUCUCUCAAAACCUAUGAAAAAUAUUUUGCCACCACUUCAUCCUUAAACUGCUUCCAAGUCAAAUUACAUUGCUGCUCUUAUGUCUUAGUGCAUGAGACAGAUUCUCACUAGUGACUAGCUACUCCAACAAAUAUAAAUUAUGCACAUAGCAUUUUCCGUGCAUUCGUACAAGCGAUGUGUCGAAAGAUGUGCUCCAAACCUCUAUCGACUCCUCAAUGGCCAGUGGGUCGGAGGCUUGUAUCUACAAAACUGCUCAACCAUUGAGAUGGCUCCCAUGACAAAUGGAGGUGCAUUUUGUUGUGGAUGUGCAUUCCGUGGCGAUGGUAUUUGGCUCUGUCUGCUCAAUUCUUAUACCGCUCGUAGUAAAUUGCGCAUCAAGUUCAUGUGCGUAGGUGGUUCCAUUUCCUAAAAUUUAAUAUGAGUUACCGGUCACAUUCCAGUACUAAGUCUAACAAGUUAUACUUAUUUUAUUGUAAUACAUAUCAUAAAUUUAGUGGGGAAAUAAACGUGUAUCUAUAAAAAAAAUUUAAAGAUAUGAAAUUUAAAAUAUUUAAAUUAUGCAAAAAUGUCUAAGCAUAUUCAUCUUCUCACCCCUUUACCUACCUUAGGGUCGUCGGAGGGUGGCCGAUUGGUGGUCGUUGAGUGCCAAAGAUCAUUCACAUAUUUAAUAACUUUAAAUUGACCUUAUUGUUAAAUUCAUAAAUCUUUAAAAAAAUGUUAACCUUUAACAUGUAAAAUCCAAUGUUUACAUAUAUCAUAAAAAAAUAUUUACUUUAUUUACAUAGGGAUUAUAUCGAAAUUUUAGCUACUAGAAAAUAUCACAUACUAGUGCAUGGACUAUUAUAAAAUUUCACCCAUUUAAAAAAGCUAUUAACUAAAUAAUUUAGUGAUUAUUGUGGCUAAACAUAAAAUAAAAUUUAUUCUAAGGGACUAUUUCUUAAAAAAAAAAAACCUACAAAUAUAAAUACAUACACAUAAAAACUAUUUAAACAAUCACCGUUUUUUUUUAUCCUAAUUCACAUCAAAUAAAAAGGGUCUAUAGGAAACUAAACCUAAGCUCUGAUACCAAACUAUAACGUCCCAAUUUUUAAUUCAAGGUUUGAAUCGCUACCAAAAUUUUCAUGUAAAUUUAAAUAACAUGGCACAAUAACAUAUAUAAUUACGAAAUGGUAAUUUACUCAAAUUUGGAUUAAAAUAAAUAUAUAUUAAUCAAUAGAAAAGAAAGAAAAAAUAUUUUCUUAUGCCAUAUCUUUCACGUGUACAUAAAAAGAAAAGCAUAAAAUUAAUCUGCAAUUUAAUGGUUAAAGACAAAAACCCCUCCUUUUUAUCUCUUUUUUUUUUAAACUGUUCAAGUGUGAAACAAUUAUUAGUUGACAUUAUAUAUAUAUAUAUAAAAUUCCAUAUAUUUACAUAAUCAAAAUUUCAACUCAAAGUUAAUAUGCUUCUCUUUCUUUAAAACGUGGCAUACUGCUCCAAAAAUGAGAGAAUACUUCCAAAAGUUGCCUUACUUUAUUAAAGAAUUCACACACCACAUCACAAUAUGAGACAUAUAUUUAAUGUAUGAAAAUUUGUCAACUACGUUUAAAAUCUUCAAUUUACCGUGUAGUAUAUCCAAAGGAGACAAUGAAAGGGUGAUGUGACAAGUGAGGAAUCAUUACUUUGACCAUCAAUUUUCAUAAAUUCUAGGAAGGUCAUGAAAAGUAAAUAAAAUUAAUCUUUCACAUGGACAAGGCAGUAGAAUAUAACCAAUUACUUUUAAAUAGUGAAAUUAAUAGAAGAAAUAAUAUUUAAUUCAAAUUUUAUCUAAAGAGCAAACUACACAUGUUCAUCUACAAAUAGACAUGUACGAAUUUACUAUUAUUAUUAUCUUUUAAAAAAUAAAUGUCUACUGCAAUAACUUAAAAGAAAUAAAAUUAUGUGCUAAAUUAGAUCUUUAUCCAACGAAACGAGGCACAACUGCACAAUAGAACCACCACUAUUCAACACGAUCCGAUCUAACCUGUGAGGUGUAGGGAAUAAGGCGAGUACAAGGAAAUACUCAAUAGGAUAUAAAAAUUAAUGGUGCAUUCUCGUAUAAAAACUUUAAACACGUGUGUCAGAGUAUCAUACUGUCUCAUAUUUUUAAAAUCCAGUAAUAGCUCAUAUCAUAUCAUUGUACCGGAAAUGAACAUAUCAUUCGUAUCAUAGCAUUUCAUACAUAAUGUUAACUUUCAUGAGUACAAAAUUCAUCAACAUGCACACAAAAAAAAAAAAAACAAUUAAACAGAUAUAAAACACUACACCUUGAUAUCCCACGUUAUUAGAAAAUAAUAUUUAAUUCAAAUUUUAUCUAAAGAGCAAACUACACAUGUUCAUCUACAAAUAGACAUGUACGAAUUUACUAUUAUUAUUAUCUUUUAAAAAAUAAAUGUCUACUGCAAUAACUUAAAAGAAAUAAAAUUAUGUGCUAAAUUAGAUCUUUAUCCAACGAAACGAGGCACAACUGCACAAUAGAACCACCACUAUUCAACACGAUCCGAUCUAACCUGUGAGGUGUAGGGAAUAAGGCGAGUACAAGGAAAUACUCAAUAGGAUAUAAAAAUUAAUGGUGCAUUCUCGUAUAAAAACUUUAAACACGUGUGUCAGAGUAUCAUACUGUCUCAUAUAUUUAAAAUUCAGUAAUAGCUCAUAUCAUAUCAUUGUACCGGAAAUGAACAUAUCAUUCAUAUCAUAGCAUUUCAUACAUAAUGUUAACUUUCAUGAGUACAAAAUUCAUCAACAUGCACACAAAAAAAAAAAAAACAAUUAAACAGAUAUAAAACACUACACCUUGAUAUCCCACGUUAUUAGAUCGUUUUAAUUUUUUGGAAGACAAAACCAAAGAAAUCAUGCUCCAAAAUCCUUCUCGCUCCUUCAAGGAUUUAUAUUAUUUGAAAUUGACUUCCUAUUUUAAAUUCCAAUUCCACAAGUAUUAAUAUCUAUAAAAAAUUUUAGGGUACCAAGUAAGAAUCCUUUUACACUUCAUAAAGUAUGAAGUAUGUAAUUUACCUGAUUCCAACACUUUUCUCUCUCUCUCUACAACUGUGUACUUAUGCAUAUGUCUUCUUUGAUAUACAUAUAUAAAUAUAUCUCCCCAUGAUCAAGUCUAACAAAAUGGGUGUACAAUUGGGAAACAUGUAGAAGUAGGAUAGGGGUAUGGAUAAGAAUUGGGAAUGGACUUUCGAAAUAAAAUAAUUGACCAAGUCUUGUCAGCCAACUAUACAACUAAAAUCAAUAUAUUUCAUACACUUGAUAAGACAUGUACAAUUGAGGAUACUAAAAAACAAGUCACAUUCUUCUAUUUGAAACAAGUUGAACCAUAACCUUUUAAGAAUAAAGGAAAAAAAUGCCCCCUCGGACCCCAUGACAAGGCGGAUUUUUUUGCCCCAUUCGGGGUGGAGCGGGGUGGGGCAAAUUGCCAUCACUAUCUCUCUCACGUGGUUUCUUCUUCCCCACUCUCUCCCUCUCUCUCUCUCUCUUUUUAUUAAUAAAACAUCAAUCACUACCCUAUUGAGAAUCUAGGUUUAUACAAGUCAACCAUAUAUAAAUUUUAAAUUCGUUAAAUAAUCAUUUAAAAUAUAAUUUAAAUUUAUAUCUUUCCAUCUCGAUAACACGGGCUCCGCUAAUCCAAAUUAACUUUUUCUCGAGCUUAAUAUGCAUAAUUAAUUACGAUCUUUCCAACGAGUCCAAUAUUCGUAUAAUUAUUUUCGCUCCAUCAACAUCUACAUUUUAACAUCCGAUAAUAUUGAAAUUUACAUUACAUAUAUUUUAGUCCCUAAACUUCCAAAAUCUUAAAAUAUAGCACACAUAAUUAAAUUCUAAUCUAUGAAAUUUUGUUACAUUACAUGAGCAUAAGGAUGAACUUUAUCAAGAGAAUAUGUAAGAUAUAACAGACCCAAAGGCGACAAGUAUAUUUAAUUAUCCAUCUUUCAAAUAUAUUUGAUGUCGCUUAGUAAGAUAUAUGGACGAAACUGGACUUACUGAAGGAAAUAUUUUUAACCAACAAGGAAUGAUGAUGGGGAAGCAUUCUUGUCUGCACAAUUUCUUUCAUCUUAAUUAAAACAAUGGAUGAGAUUUCAUCAACUACAAGUUGCUUCUCUUCAUACUGGUAGCUGACUGCAAUCACUGUUUAUAAACAGAACAUUGUUCUUUGUAUAUAUAAAAACUAAAACAUUGAUCAAAUACAUAUCUAAGGACAAACUUCAAUAAUAUUAAAUCAAUUUGCUUGGCAUGCAGGAUAUCACUAACUAGAGGAGGAAAUACAUCUAGCCGAACCAGGCAACAUAAAUCAACACGUGGUGGUGAUACAAGGUCUAUAUGUAGCAAUAACGAACAUCAUAAUCCUAGUACUCUCAAUGAUGAGUUGGGAGCUAAGCUUACAAAUGAUUUACCUAAAGCUAGUAACAGGAACAUGGGUCUUAAUCGUGGUACUCCUAUGCCUGCUGAUUGAGCACAACGUAUCGAAAUAACUAUUAAAAAUAGCACAUAAGUAUACAUUUAUUUUCAAUUGAUUUUAUAUAUUUAGAAACAUACUUAUUGGCAUUUUCCAGUGUCCCAAUUAGAGUUUUUUAGUCAAGUUUAUAAGAAGAAUCAUGGACUUGGUGAUUUUGUUAAUAAAAAAUCCAAGUGAGUUUAUAUACUUCAUAGUUUGUUCAUAUAGUUAGUAAGCAUUAUUUUUUUUUCAUAGGAUACUUAUAAGACUUCAAUCAAGUCCAAGUAUGGUAAUGUUAGGGAUAGUUAACCUAAGUUCAUCCUGAUUCAUGGAUCAAUGCUGUCAACUGUUCAUCUAAGGGUUGUGUUUAUGGGUUUUGUCCUAGACAACCUGCUUCACUUGUUCUCGGUACACCUAUUUCAUCUAGAUGUUCAAUACUUGCACAUGAUGAAAAGAUGAAUAAUUUGAAGUUAGAACUAGCUAUUGCACGUAAUACAAUAGAUGAGAACAACGAAAGGAUUGAUAAUCUCACUAUAUGUCUUGAACAAGUUUAAAGAAAUCACAGGAUCAAGAUGCGAGUAAUACUGCGAAGCAUGCAUAGGAAACUAAAUAUUCCUAAUUUUCAAUUUCCUUCUUGCUCAGGAUCACGAAAUGAUGAUAUGUGAGACAUGAUAUUUAUAUUUCGGAAUUUCGAUGUAAUAGUUUAAUCUAUUAAAGCUUUUGUAUGUUUUGAAAAGUUUAAUUAUUUAAUACAUUUUGAAAUUAAUAAUUAUUAAUUAGUGGGUUGUAUAAAUUUUGAAAAAUAAUAAUUAAAAUUCACCAAUGGAUUUUUCAUUGGUAUUGAAGCUGUAUUAGAAAAUAAUUUUAGCAACGAAUAGUUUGUUGGUCAAAUAUUCAGUUUGUAAUAUCCAUAUUUUAUUAAUUAUGACAAAGUUUUUACCAACAAAAUUUUCAUUGUUAAUGAAGACUUUCUACCAACAGAAUAUCCAUUGACAAUUAGAAGGUUUUUACCAACAGAAAUUCUGUUGGUAAUGAAAAGACUUUUACCAAUGAAAUUUCCAUUGGCAAUUAUAAGGUUUUUAAGAACGAAAAUUCCAUCGGCAAUGAAAGAUUUUUCCCAGUGGACUUUCCAUUUGAAAUGAUGAGGUUUUUACCCAUGAACUUUCUGUUUGUAAUGGAAAGACAUUCACAAACAAAAAAUGUGGUUGGUAAAACUAAUACACUAUCAGCAACCUUUAAAAUAGUAGCGGAUUUUUAGUUGAUCUUUUUCUGUUGGUGAAGACUACUAGCAACGAUAUCAUGACUUUAGGAAUGGAAAAUCCAUGUGUGAAGCAAUGUUUUUUUAGUAAUUGUACUUAUGUUAUUAUUUCGAUACUUAUUUUUUGAUCAAUUUAGGAAAAACUUGGAAUAAACAAGUUUGGAUAAACUCGGUUAAAAGUUAUCCAAAAUUGAGGUUUAUAGGAGAAAGUAAUAAAGUCUUGAAGUUGAGGAUCUGUAGUGCAAAUAAAAUGGACUUAGGAUGGACAAUAAAUGAAUGUAGUGGACCAAAGUGCACGAAACUGAAAGACUUGUCAACUUUGUUGUUUGCUUAUUAUGCUCGAAUUCUACAUGAAACGUAUUUUAGGAUGCUAUGAAAAGAGAUAAAAGAGAAAAGAAUACAAAACUCAAUAGACUUGUGUAUAUUUUAUUAAAAAUCAAAGCCCUAUUAUUUAUAGGGAAAAAUCAUGGAUACAACGAUAAUAAUUUCUAGGGUUAUAGGGAUACAAUUGUUAUUCAUUAAUAAACUUACCAUUUACAACACUCCCCCUUGAAUAACACAUUACAAAAUAAUUGCCUCGUUAAAACAUUGUUUGGCAAAAAUCCAAUGGAACAAAGAAAAUCAAAUGAAGGAAAAAUACUAAAGUUAUUUUGAAAUAUUAAAAAUAAAUGUUGCUUCGUUAAAACUAUGCUAGAAAAACCUAGUGGAAUAAAGCCUAAGCAAAGGAAAAUAGUAUAGCUACUCUUCCUAAUGUUGAUUACUGAAAUUUUUUGAGUGGAUGCAUUCCAAUCUCAUGAACCAAUUUUUUGAAUGUAGAUGUCGACAAUGCUUUUGUGAAUAAAUUGGCCACAUGUCACUUGAACAAAUUUGUUGGAUAUCGACAUCGCCAUUACUCUGAAGUUUAUGUGUAUGAAAGAAUUUUGGAAAAAUAUAUUUCGUUCUGUUACAUUUGAUACAACCUUCAUAUAAAAUUGUUAGAUUAACUAUUGUUUAAGUUAAUCAUCAUGAUGUUUGAAUGUGAUGGGUUAAGUUCUUCAACAAUACACAAUCUUGACUUGCUCAUGGAUUGCAAUAAUUUCAAAAUGAUUUAAGGAUAUUGCUCUUAAGGAUCGCUUCAUGGAUCUACAUGAUAUAGUUAUUCCUCCACGUGUAAAAAAAUAUCUUGUUUGUGAUUUAGCUUUAUGUAGAUGAAAGAGAUAACCUGCAGUUGUAUAUUCCACAAAAACGAAUCCUGACUUUUAAGAAUAUAAUAAUCCCAAAUCAAUAGUACAUUUCAGAUAAUAAAAAAUGUGUUUAACAUCAUUCCAAUGUCUUUGAGUUUGUAUAGAGCUAUAUUUAGCAAGGAGAUUUACCAAAAAAAAAAAAAACAAAAAGUUACAUCAGGUUGAGUUCAGUUUGCAAGAUAAGUUAUUGCUUUAAUUGUACUAAGAUAUGAUACUUGAGGACCAAGAACCUUUUUUCCAACUUCAAGUGGACAAAAUGGAUCUUUUCCACAUUAAGUGAUCAAAUAACCAUAAGUGAUGAUAAUGGAUGUACAUUAUCUAUACAAAAACAUUUUUAGACAAUUUCUGUACAUGCAGACUACUGAACAAAUAAUUCUUCUAUGAAACGUUAAAUUUACAACCCAUAACAAAAUUUGGUUUUUCCUUAUUUCUUCAUCUCAAAUUCAUUUUUCAAUUAAUUUGCAAUCUUGUUGAGCUCUUCAAGAAUUUCAAUUAAAUUUAAAUUAUCAACAUAAACUUCCACAAUCACAAAUCUAAUAUUUGGGGCAGACGUCGCCAUUUUUAUAACACAUCUUUAACUAAUAUUCUCUAAGGUAAUUAUAGCACAUGUUUUUGGAAUGUUUCAAUCCAUAUAAUGAUCUUUACAAUUUAAUUAAGACCAUGGUUCUUGGGCAUGUAUCUUUUGUUCCUGGCACUCUAAGUCCUUCGGAGAUUUUUAUAUAUAUGUCACUAUCAAGUUAUCCAUAAAAAUAGACAGUUACUACAUUCAAAAGCAUGCAUAUCGAGCUUUUAUAACACAGUCAAGCUCAUUAAAAAUCUAAAAGUAAUAGUGUUCAUUAUAGAAGAAUAUCAAUUCCAGGUCUUUGUGAGAAAUCUUAAGCCAUGAGUUGGACUUUGUAUUUUGUAAUUUUAUUAAUUUCAUUUAUCUUUCAUACAAAAAUUCAUUUUUAUCCUACAGGGAUUACAUUUUCAAAUGUUCAAAUUACAGGUCUAAACACUUUUCAUUUCUCUAAAAAAUUCAAUUCCAUCUAUAUGACAUCUUUCCAACUUAUCCAAUCAUUUUCAUUUUGACAAUCUUAAGCAGACUGUAGUUCAGGAUCCUCAUUUUGUAUAAUAUCAAGAGCCACGUUAAAAAUGAAAAUAUUAUCUAUAAUAACAUCAUUUCGUUCCAUAAUUUAUGCAAUAACUAUAACUUAUUGAAAUAUCAUUAUUUUCAAAUACUUGUGGUUUUUCACGAAUCAAAUUUUCAAUAUUUGAUUGACAAAUCUUUUUUUAAUGAUACUUCUUCCUAAAUUUUUGGUUGGUUUUUCUCAUAUAUUUUUCUUUUUCAAGGUACGAAAUCUUUUGAACCAACUGGUCGACCAUGCUUUUGUGUACUUGAGAUUCAUUUGUUAUAGCAAAUUGUCCUAUAGAAACAUCAAUUUUUACUUAAAUAUUUUUUACUAGAAUAUAUAACUUUGUCACUUUUCUUGGGUCAACAAAUAUAUCAGAUAAUUGAUUUACAAUUCUUCGCAGAUGAACUGAUUUACAAUUGUUGCAAGAAUUAAAGUGAGAUAAAGUCCUUUAAUUUUAAUAAAUUUUACCUUAUUUUUUAAGAUGUAAUUUUUCUCCUCCCAAAGUUGGAAAAUUUAUUUCAUCAAAAUAACAAUUUACAAAACGUGGAGUAAAUAAGUCACUCGCUAAAGAUAUCUAAUAAUAGAUGGUGAAUCAAGACAAUACAAAUCCCAAGUUUUCAUUAAAGACCUAUUUUAGUACAUUGUGGGGGUGAAAUAGGGACUUGGACGGAGUAACCAAAGCCCCGUAGGUGAUAGAUAUUAGGUUCAUGAGCAAAAUCCAAUUGUAGAAGUAAAUAUAAUAGGCAGUUGGUUUGAUGUAAACCAAUAGCGCAACAUGUAAUAUGGAAUGACCCUAAAUAGAAGUUGAGAGUUCUGUUUUUAUAAGUAAUGGUCUAGUAAGAAGUUAUAGACGCUUAAUAAAUGACUUCGCAAAACCAUUUUGUGUAUAGACAUAUGCAACUAAAUGUUCAAUAAUAGUCCCAAUUGGCAUACAAUAAUUAUCGAAUGCUAGAGAUUUAAAUUCACCAGUAUUAUCAAGAUGAAUAGUUUUGAUUGACUAAUUAGAGAAUUGUGCUAGCAAUUUUAUGAUUUGAGUAAGUAGUCUAGCAAAUACUACAUUCCUAGUAGAAAGUAGGCAAAUAUGUGAUCAUUUAAUAGAAGAAUCAAUUAACAACAUAAAAUAACGAAAUGGUCCACAUGGUGUAUCGGCCCAUGUAUAUAUCCAUGAAUUAUAUCUAAGAAAGUUGAAAAUUUAAUAUUGACCUUUGUAAUCGAAGGCUAAUGAUUAACUCGCCUUGCAAAUAAACUAAACAUGGAUAAUCAAUAGGUAAAAGAAUCUUCUAGUUCUUUAAGAGAUGUCUGUGUGAAUUGUUUAUCAUUCGACUCAUCAUAAUAGCUCAUGGAUGUCCAAGUCAAUCGUACUAAAGUAUAAAAAUUUUUGGGUCAACGAACUUCUGGUACAUGAUAAUAUUUGAUUCAACCAUUUUUUCAAAUGUAUAAUACAUGCUAGAUGGAAGUGGAUGUAGUUUUUAUUUUAUCUACUUCUAGCUAAAUACAAAAGAAGUUAUGCAAAGAUAUUCAACAUUAUUUUCUUGUAUCGUUGCAAUGUGAUAUUUAUUGUAGCGGAUGUAUUUAAAACUAAGCAAAUUUUUUCUGAAUUUUCUAGAAUAAAGUGCAUCAUCAAUAUAUAAUGUUGCAUUAUUUGAUGAAAUAGUAUAGGCUCUUCCAGAGCCUUCAAUGAUAUUCGAUACACCUAAUAUCAUAUUAACAUUAUUUUUUGCUAAUGUUAAAUAAAUAAAUAAAUAAAUCUUGAAAUAUAGUAUGUGAAACUACACUAUCAAUCAAGUAGGUAUCUUAAUAAUCCGUCAUGAAUAUUCACUAGACUUUGAAAAAUUAAGUUUUCACGCUGACAAAGUGCCAUGAAAAGAGAGAAAAAGGGGAAGUGAAAAUAAAAGUCAAUAGACUUCAGUGUAUUUUAUUAACAACCAAAGUCUUAUAUUUAUAGGGAAGAAUUAGAGAUAUAAUAAUAAUAAUUUCUAAAGCUGUUGGGGUACAAUUUACAACACAUGAUUAUUUUUUAGAGUUAUUUUAGACAUCCGUUUAUGGUCCACACUAAUAUAAACAGAAAAACACAUAGAAAUUCAAUAUCAAAGAGUAAAAAUCUAGGUUUUUCAAAAUUUUCACGAAUCCUUACAGAAUAAGUAACAAAGUCACUUUUUGACCAACUGUUACCAAAUCACCACCCCCAAAUCAUGAAGCCAUUGCGAGAGGUGCUAAACCACAAGUGUUUUGUAUCCAUUGAGCAAAAACUGGGUUUGGAGAAGAAGAUUUUUUAUUUUUUUGCAGCAUUCGAUUCUUUUUCUUUAUAAAGAUAUUCAAAUCCAGUGAUGAGUACUAAUUAUUUUUUUUUCACAAAUAUGAGUACUUAAAUCAUUAGUUAUGGCAAAUUAUAUGUAUGAUCAUUUUUUUCGAUGUUAAGAUUCUAGUAGUUUAAUUUCAUGUGUUACGGUGUGGUACUAACUAAUCCUUUUUGUUCUAACUCUUAUCUCUCUCUGAUUUUUUAAUAUUAUGUACCAAUUUUAAUGGUUUGUAAUAAUUGUCCAUUAACUCAACAAUUUGCUAAAAAAUCAAGAGACAAGUUGUAGAUUUUGACCAUAUAGUAAAAUUUGGUAAUUUGGAUAAAUGUAUAGAGAUAAGCUUUUAUGGUUAUUGUGGUCGUUAAAUGGAUUCUUAGAAAGUGAAUGCUUUAAUGAAAGCUUAUUUGACUUUUCAUAGAGAUAUGAUUAAUUGACUUAGUUAAAUAUUAUUAAUUCAGACUCGAGGGGGUAAGUUAAUUAGUUUAGAAGAUUAAACCAAAUACUGCAAUAAGUAAUUAAUUUUGAUUUGUGAAUCAAAGGUAAUUAUUAGAUGAAAUUGCAAGUUAUAAAAUUCACAUUCAUACUUUAAAAAUCCUAAUUUGAUUUAGUUUUGUGCUUUUAGAUAAAAUUUAGUAUAAUUAGAUAAUUUAAGUAAUUAAUUUAAAAUUAUUACUUGUAUUUCUUCAACUCAAAGUUAAAAAUAAUAAGUUAUGAAUUAAAUAAUAGUAUUAAUUGGAAUGAUCAUUCAAACUCAUUGAUUCAUUAUAUAACUUGCUACGAUAUCAUACACUUACAACAGCAAAAAAAUAAAAAUAAAAAAUAAAAAAUAAAAAAAAUUCACAAGAUUUGGGUGCCGUUGUUGAAAACUAUUUACACUUAGUCUUGAUUUAAUUUAUUUCUAGAUAUUAUUGGAAUUCUUUUUCUUCUUGUUUUAACCGUCCACUUUUUUCUUUGUUUCAUUGACAGUGACAGAAAAGAGGCAAGAGACUCACAACAAUAUUCAAUGAUUGAUCCCAUCUUCGAUGAUAGUGAUCAUAUGAUUGUAGGAGAUGUCUUUUUCAUGCAAUAAUUUAAAAUAAUGGAAUAUAAACUACUUGCUAAACUUGAUAAGCAUGAAUUGCCAAUGAGAUUAUUUCUCCAAUGUAAAAUUUAAUAUAAUUAGAUAAUUUUUAGGAUGAUCCACAUUUAGAAUAUGAUGGCAGAAUCAUGCUCGUGAAACAUGUUUUCUCCAUGGAAAAAUUUAAAGGAAUUGAAUCCUAAAUAAUUCUGGAGGAAACAAUGAAAUGGUUAUGGGGGAUCUCUUCGUCAAUCAACUCGAGGAAUUAACAACUAAAGAAGAAAAGCAAGUAGGAACCUAAAAAUUAGUCAUUUCUGAGCCUGACAAAUCAGUAACAUUCAACGAAGAUGCAAUUAGCAUACAAUCACUUGUGGUUAAGCUGAUAAGAAUCCCUUACUCUCACCUAAGAGUAUUUGCUUGUUUAGCAUUUAGUCAUAUAUCCAAAAAGCUAAGACAGAAGCUCGACACGAGGAAUACUCCAUGUACUUUUAUAGGCUAUGAAGAUGAGAAAUUUGAUUAUCGAUUAUGGGACCCAGAGAUAAAGAAGGUCAUUAGAAGCAGAGACAUAAUGUUUCGUGAAAAUCAGUCAUUAGAAGACAUUGAAAAGCCUACAAUGUCUCCUAAUCCUAAAUUCAGUGCCCAAGAUAUUGCUCUAAAUCUAGCACCAUAAAAAUUCACCAUAGAUAAUGAUAAUGUGCAUGAAAAGAUCUUAGAAGCAGAAUAGGAAAAGGAAGAAGAUGAUAGUCAUCAAGGAAGUCACAACCCUUUCCAACAGAAAUUGUCGGAUCAUCACAUCAACCAAAUGAUGGUGUACCUCUUGAAACCAAUAAUCUGCAAGUACAAUGAUCAAAACAAAGACCAACUCCAUCAGUGAGAUAUAUAGAGUUUACACUUUUCUUACUGAUGAAGAAGAGCUAGAAAGCUUCCAGGAAGCACAAUCUCAUGUAGACAAAGACAAGUGGAUACAAGCAACGUAGAAUGAGAUAAAGUCACUAUAGAAGAAUUAGACAUAUAAGUUGGUUGAGCUUCCGAAUGGAAAGAAGACACUGAGUAAUAAAUGGGUUUUCAAGCUCAUGAAAGAUGGCAAUGGAAAUGUGGUGAAACAUAAUGCCCGUUUGUUAGUCAAAGGAUUUUUACAGAAAAGGGAAUUGACUUUGAUGACAUUUUUUCUCCUCUUAUAAAGAUGGCCUCAAUUCAUGUUAUAGUUGGAUUAGUAACCAAUUUGAAAAGUCAGAGCAAUGUAUUGGGCAAGGAAAAAUAGUCCAAUUUAUUUAUUAAAAAAAAUUAAAGUCAACGACAUUUCAAAAAAUUUGGUAGAAUAAAAUAAUUAUCCAUAGCAAAUUAGCAAUUAACAAAUAAUUAUCUGCUAUGUGAGUCUAUCCCAUGAGUGAUGUAAAGUUAGGUAUAGUAUUCGAGCAACAAGAAAUGCACAAUCAAGUUUGAAAUCUACAAAAAAAGUAGACUAGAAUUUGUGUUAAACAAAUGUUUGAUCAAGUACAUUAAUUCGACAAUGUUGAACUUUAAAAGUAUUCUAUGAAUCUAUAAUUUGGUUAUAAAUAUUGCAUUUUUCAGCCUUCAUGUAAACUAUGUUUUUUUUACUAAACUAAUUGUACAAACUUGGUGUACAUCAAGUUUGACUCACCAAAUAUAGUUAAAAUCUGUGCCAUUAAUUGAUUGAAGUAUUAUGAAGAUCAAUGUCAAAAAAAAUGCUACAAGAAUGUCAAACUUAUUGUAAAACUUUGUACGUGUAGCUUGAUUGCCUUUUUUUCCCCUUUUAAAACAAGUAACUAAUAACUAAAUAUGUAACCAUAUGUAUAUGAUGAAAAUAAAUUCAACGAAUGAGUUUCAAGCUCAACUUUUGUCAAUCACCUAACUAAAUAGAAUUGUACAUUUGCAUGACGCUAUCCUUCUUGCUGGAUUUUUAAUUAAACUCGAAGCAGAUUGACCAAAGCCAAUGCUGAUGCCACAAACAAUAUCCGCAUUAUUUGAGAAGGAGUCGGUUCAUUUGUGCCUACCAAAUGUUCAGGCUGAAUCUUAUUGACACUCACAACUUUUAUCUAUUUUGCAGAUGAACAGUAAAUGAUGACACCAGCAAUAUACUUAACAGCUAUUUUAGCCAUAAUUUGGAGCUCAUGAUAGCAACUUUAUUCAUCCUCUUCUUAAUGCUCCAUGUCUAAAAUCUUUAAUUCUUCAACGAUAACUUUUAUUAAUAAACUUUUAUCGGGUUUCCUUCUACUAGUCUUAAUAUGAUAUCAAAACUUAUUAAUCUCAAACAGGCAAGUUGAUCUAACCAAUACUCAUAUAAUUGAGCACGUGGAUUUCGAAAUUGAUGUUCUGAAAUGGAGCACCAUCUCACUAUAUCAUUGUAGCCACAUUUUAAAUGAAUUUUCAACUUUUAAUAUAAUUUAAUUUUUAAAUAAAAAUAAAAAAUUUAAUUUUAUAGUAAAUAGAUCAUAGACCAAAUUAAUUAUAUUCAACAACAAAUCAAGGAUAAUUAAAAUGCCUAGAACACGCGGUUGAAUUAUUUGACAUAUUUAGUUGACUUUGCUAUACUAUCUACCUUAAACUAAAAAUUCUAAAACAAAGGCUAUGAUGCAGGGUAAUUUAUUACUUUUAAAUGCCAGUGACUUACAUUUAGCUGCAAGUUAGGUAACUUAGAUGACAUUUAGCUACAAGUUUGGUGACUAAUGAUGAAAUUAUCCCAUUUCUUCUUCUUUGUAUUUAUAAAUAGAAACAACAUACUCUGAAUGCAUUCAUAUCAAUUCUAGAUACCUAUGGAAUAGAAGCAAGAAAGAAGAGCAUGCACCACAAUUUAGACAUGCAUGUCGACCCAUUUCUUGUGGGUUAUUUAUUUAUGGUCGUUGAGCUCAUACGAAACUGGUGUCUAGAUUAACAAAAUACUCGACUUUCAUUUUCUCGCAAAUUGUUAACCAGGCAUUUUUUUGAAACAAAAAAUGCAGUGUUUCUGUUAUCUAAUUUUCAACACGACAGCAGAAGAUUGGGGAAAUAGAUAUACAUGUUGAAUUAUUUAAAAAAUGCAGUCACUGAAUGAGUUUUUCCGAGACUUUUCGUCCUCUCGAAUUUUCUUCAUCUGUCAUUAGAAAAUGGUAUUUAUCAGCAACCAAUUAGUGUAUUCUGUGUAUUUUAAUAAAGAAGAAAAUAUGCAGAAUUAUUGAACUAAAUGUGAUUACGAAUAAAAUAAGAAGUAAUCUCUGCAUGAUGAUCAAACGUGAUUAAUUGGACUUGGAAAAAAAAAAGUUUAUAUAUUAUUGUGGUCUAGAACAAGACAGAAAGGAUGAAGGAUUUUAUGGCUUGAUUGAAAAUAUUCAUAGGACAUUUAAGAAUGCAAUCAAAAUUCAAAAGGCAUGAUUUUGACUUGGAGACAGGAACCCAAGGUGGUGGGGUGUGUUGUGAUUCCCCGAUCAUGAAAAAAAGAAGAUAAAAGAGGAAAAAUAAUUCUAUUUCUAUCUUGAAUAGAAUUUACAAUAGAGUAUUAAAAAAAAAAAAAAAAACCUCUCUAAUCUCUCUUUUUUAUCUCUUCUCCACACUCUAUUUUUUCUUCUUUUCAUGGGACAUCUUUUUCAUUGUGGUAGCACAUAUUUAUAGAAAAUUUUUGGUUGCAAGAACCGCCUCGAUUUGUGGCCAAAUUUCUGCCAAUUAAAUGAUAAAAUGGAAGUCAACAAAGGUGGCUGCCUUCAUACAUGUGGAAAUUGGUUUUGAUCAGUUUUCUUACAUGUUAAGAGACUUCUUCAUUAAGUAAAUAAUUGUGGUUGAAUUUCAAGAUUUUCAACUUGGAGAAUGUGGCUGGACUUAUCAAUUCUCCCCCUCCAGUCACAUCUAACUCAAUUGUCAUUUGACAACCAUCACAGUCAUGUCUCCACACAGGUCUAGCUUCUCUCUUGAAACCACCCUUGUUAACAUAUCUACUGGAUUCUCAUUUGUGUGAAUCUUUACUAGCCUUAGCAAUUGUUGAUUCAUCACUUCUCUUAUUCAAUGAUAGAGGAUGUCGAUGUGCUUUGUUCGAGAAUGGCACGUUGAAUUCUUGAUUAAGUCAAGAGCACUCUCGCUAUUACAAUGUACUUUGUAAUCUUUUUGCUUGAUCCCUAUUUCUUGGAGAAAUCACUUUAACCACAACAUUUCUUCACCAGCUUCCGUCACUAUAAUAAAUUCAGCUUCUGUUGUAGAUAAAGCAACACACUUUUGUAGCCUUGACUGCCAUGAAAUAGCUCCCCUUGCAAAAGUAUCGAGAAAUCUUGAAGUGGAUUUUCAAUUAUUAAGGUCUCCAGACAUAUCUGAAUCGUAUAACCUUCCAAGAUUGGAUCAGCUUCCCAUAGCACAAAUAUAUCUUUGUUACAUCUUUAAGGUACCUGAGAAUCCACUUGACUGUUUCCCAAUGUUCCUUUCCGGGAUUAGAGAGAAAAUAAUUGACCAUGCCCACUACAUAAGCAAUAUCUAGCCUGGUACAUACCAUUGCAUACAUCAAGUUUCCAACAGUUGAAGAGUAAGGUACCAAUAACAUCUCCUCUAUCUCUUUCUUGGAUGAGGGGCAUGAGUUCUUGCUCAACUUGAAGUGGUUGGCGAGUGGAAUGCUAACAGGUUUGGCAUUAUGUAUGUUGAAUCUCUUGAUCACUCAUUCAACAUACUUUUCCUGCUAUAGCUAUAAUCUUUUAUUCUUCUUAUCUCAAGUUAUGUUCAUUCCCAAAAUUUGUUAAGCUGGGCCUAAUUCCUUCAUGUCAAAAGACUUAGAAAGUUCUUUCUUCAACUGGGUGAUUUUUGUUGCAUCUUGUCCAACGAUUAACAUGUCGUCUACAUACAAUAGAAGAGCAACAAAGUUGUCACCUGGAAACCUUUGGAUAUAAACACACUAAUCUGCAGCAAUUCUUUUAAAGCCUUGGCUUACCAUGAACGAGUCAAACUUUUUGUACCACUACCUUGGUGUUUGCUUAAGACCAUACAAGCUCUUCUUUAGCUUGCAAACAAAGUUAUCUUUUACUGAAACUUCAAAACCUUCUGGCUAUUCCAUAUAAAUUUCUUCAUAUAAAUCACCAUGAAGAAAUGCUGUUUUGGUAUCCAUCUGUUCAAGCUAUAGAUUCAAACUAGCUACUAAUCCAAGAAUAACUCGAAUUGAGGCCAUCUUUACAAUAGGUGAAAAAAUCUCAUCAAAGUCAAUUUCCUUCUUCUGAAGAAAUCCUUUGACUACCAAACGGGCUUUAUGUUUUACCACAUUUUCCCUGUCAUCUUUCUUAAGCUUGAAAACCCAUUUAUUUCUCAAUGCCUUCUUUCUCUUCAGAAGCUCAACCAACUAAUAUGUUAGAUUUUUCUGUAGUAACUCUAUCUCAUCCUACAUUGCUUGUAUCCACUUGUUUUUGUCUGCAUGAGUUUGUGCUUCCUGAAAGCUCUCCAACUCCCAUUCGUCAAUAAGCAAAAUGUACUCUGAUUCUGGAUAUCUCGUUAAUUGAAUCCGUCCUCGUUCGAAUCUUCUUACAUGUGGAUCGUUGGUUUCAAGAGGUGAAUCAUCAUAUGGUUGAUGUGAUGGUCCAACAACUUUUGGUAAAGAGGAUCGUGAUUCUCCUUAUCAAUGUCCCCUUCUUCAUCCUUUCGUUCUGCUUCUGGCAUAUUUCCUCAUGCACAUCGUCAUUAUCUACGGUGAAUUGUGUUGGUGCUGGAUCUGGAGUAAUAUUCUAGGCACCAAAAUUAAAAUUAAGAGAUAUUGUGGGCUUUUCAAUGUCUUCUAAUAUCUGGUUUUCAUGGAACACUACGUUCCUUCUUCUGAUGACCUUCUUUGUCUUUGGGUCCCAUAAUCUGUAUCCAAAUUCCUUAUCUCUAUAGCCUAUAAUGAUGCAUGGAGUGGUCCUUGUAUCUAGCUUUUGUCUUAGUUCCUUAUGUUAGGAAAAUGUGUAAUUGGCAAUCUGUGACCAAAGGAGCUAUUUGUCAAAUUGUAAAGUCAAGGACUAAAUUGUACAGGUCAAAUAGUUCAGGGACUAAAGUGGCAAUUUAGUAAAGGUCAUAGCAUAGGUCUAGGGUAAAGUGGGAUGCUUUGAAGAUGCAAACGGCGUGUUGAUGUCGCAGGAGUUUCGCCCUGACCUUACUAGAGCCAAAAUUGCAGAACUGACCUCGCUGAAGUUUCGCUGGUCUAUCGCCUGAGCGAAGGUACGUCGCUCGAGUUUCGCCAGGACCUCGCUCGAGCGACUAUGGUAUCUGGCCUUUGAUAAUUUUAAUGCCUCGCGAAUUUUUAACGCCCUAUAUUACCAAAUUCGACUUACUAUAUAAACAAAACGUCCGAUUUUCUUAUUGCACCUUUGGCAAACAUUAAAACAACAAUUCCUCUCAACUUCCAAAGAAUCAAGAACCAAAAUAAAUUCAUCUUUUUCAUAUUUGAUUCUCAUGGUUCUUUGAAUAAAAACAUCAACUCUCACAAAACCAAAACACCUUUUCAUAUCUCCAUAUAAACUUCCAGAAGAUCAUCUGUUUGAAGAUCCGGAAAGGAAAUUGCUUGAAGAACUGGAGAGCUUGGUGAUUCACAGGAGGUAGAAGAUAUUCAAAGCUGGGAUUUUGGCACAGAUCUGCAAAAUCCAGGAUAGCUAUGGUUGAUACAGUAAGGAGGUCAGAAUAUUGUUAGAAUCAAUAAUGUCUGACGUACUGUAAGUCAAUAUCUUCUAUAGUGGAUCUCUACUGGCUUGUGCCCGGAGUUUUUACCUAGUUGGGUUUUCUCCGUCAACAUUUUGUUAUAUUUUUACUGCUUUCUGCUAUUUAUUUUUCAACCGAUAAUUCAACUUAGAUAGAUAAAGUAUGUGAAUGAAUCUAGGCAAUGCAUAAUUGAUGUGACUUGUUGCAUCAGUUAAUUAAUUGUUUUAAUUCCGCAUAAACACCUAUUCAUCCCCCUCUAGGUGUUGGUUGGGUCGAACUAUUGCUUUUUCAUCUUAGAUACAUGUGCAAAGGCCAAACAACCAAAUACUCUCAGGUGAGAGUAAAAGGGAUAUUUACCAACCAUACUUUCUCUAGAAUUUCAAAAUUCAAUAGUACUGAUGGUGUUCUGUUGAUCAGGUAGCAAGCGGUUUGAACAACUUCUCCCCAAAAUAGCAUUGGCAGUUUAGCUAUAUUUAUCAUACUUCUAAUUUUUUCCAUGAUCGUCCGAUUUAUCCUCUCGGCUACUCCAUUAUGCUGUGGGCUAUAUAGGACUGUCUUCUCAUGUCGAAUGUCGUGUCUUCUGCAAUAGGCAUUGAACUCUUUAGAAGUAUACUCACCUCCAUUAUCUGUGUAGAGAGACUUCAGCUUCUUUCCUGUUUCACGCUUUACCAUGGCAUGAAACAAUUUAAAUUAAUCCAAUACUUGGUCCUUCGUCUUCAAGAAAUAUACCCAUACCUUUCGACAAGCAUCAUCAAUGAAUGUUAAAAAAUAUUUGUUGCCGCCUAGUGAUUCAAUCUCUAAGGGACCACAAACAUCAUAGUGUACCAUAUUGAGCAACUCUAAUCGUCUUAUCAAAGAGAAAUUGAAGGAGAUUCUGUAUUGCUUACCAAAUAGACAAUGACUGCAAGGAUCAAGCACAGCUUCCUUGGCAACCGUAAUUAGCUCAUUCUUUGUCAAAGUGGACAAUCCUUUCUUACUCAUGUGACCAAGUCUCUGGUGCCACAAAUUUUGAGAUGCUUCAUGUCUACUAUGUUUAGGCUAUUCAUAUGCAUUUUCACAUGAGUCUUGUGUAAAGUGCUACAUAUAUGUCCUCGAGCGACAUCAUAGAACCUUUCAUCGUUUUCAUGUGUCAUUGCUAAAAUGAUUGACGUAGCCAUGUUUAUCAAGGGCUAUCCCCGAAAGUAGAUAUAGCCGAAGAUCAGGAACAUGUGAACAUCGUUUAGGGUUAUUUUACACCCGGAGGUUCAUUUGUAUCUAAACAUCACCAAUUUCUACGAUCUUAGAAGAACUAGUAUUUUCCAUCUUCACUAAACCAAAGUCGUCGGCUUUGUAUGUUGUGAAGAAAUCUUUGCUUGGAGGAUGCUAAUGUGUCUAUUACCCACUCAAUAUCUUGGUUUGAGACAUGAAGACAUGUCUCCUUAUGGAUGGAGCAGAUAGCUGCCUUCCUAGAAAUAGCUCUCAUUCCUUAUUCUUUAGUCACGAAUUGUUCUGGCCUUGCUCUCAUAGCAAUUUUUGAUAGCACUUCUUCAAGUGGCCCUCCAUACUACAAUAUUUGCACUUGCAAGUAGGCUUCCUUCCAUCUAUGGAUCUAUUUCUACUUUUGCUUCUACCUCUCCCCCUGCCUCGAACACCUCCUUACUAUCUUCUUCGGUUCUCUGUGACAAGGGCAUGUGACUGGUCUGUGUCGACAUCCUUUUUCCUGGCCUCUUCAUUAAAUAAGGCAUCCUUGACCAUAGACAUGGUAAGUUUGCCAUUAGGGGCUGAGUUGUUGAGAUAAUACUAGUGUCUCCCAACUAUCAGGAAAAGAACUUAAAAGUAAUAAGGCUUGCAUUUCAUCCCCGAGCGACAUCUCCAUAGAUGACAAUUGGUUUACCAAGCUCUAAAAUUCACUAGUGUGCUCAGCAACUGAAUUUCCACUUUUUAAUUUCAUCUUUACCAAAUGUCUCAUCAACAGGGCUUUGUUCCGAGCGGUCUUAGCUUGGUACAUGUCCUCCAGAAUCUUCUAGAGGGCAUAUACAUCUAUCUCCUUUGCCAUAAGAUGAAAGACACUAUGGUUAAUCUAUUGUCGAAUUUGAUCGAUAGAUUUCCUAUUUAGCUUCUUCCACUCUAUCUCCUUGGUAGGAUCAAGGUAUAUGCCUUUGGUUUCUAGGCGAUCAUACAAAUCCUUACAACUGAGGAUGUCUUCCAGCCGAGACCUCCACAGUGUAUAAUUGGUGGCGAUAAGCUUGAUCAUAGCUCCCGAUGAAGAUUCCUCCAUUGACAUCUUGGCUUACAAAUACUUUAUCAAAAUUGAAGCUAUAUCAAAAAACUAUUAGGGUCAAUUGAUAAACCUUGCUCUAAUACCACUUGUUGUGAUCCUCUAAUCACGAAAAAAGAAGAUAAAGGGGGAAAAACAAUUCGAUUUCUAUCUUGAAUAGAAUUUACAGUAGAGUAUUACCAACUCUUUUAAAAAAAGAAACUCUCAAAACUCCCUAAUCUCUCUUUUUUUCUCUCUUCUCCACACUCUAUUUUUUCUUCUUCUCAUGGGACAUCCUUUUCUUUGUGGUAGCAUAUAUUUAUAGAAAAUUUUUGGCUGCAAGAACUGCCUCAAUUUGUGGCCAAAAUUUCGCCAAUUAAAUGAUAAAUGGAAGUCAACAAUGGUGGUUGCCUUCAUGCAUGUGAAGGCUGGUUUUGAUAAGUUUUCUGGCAUGUUAAGAGACUUCUUUAUUAAGUAAAUAGUUGUGGUUGAAUUUCAAUAUCUUCAACUUGAAGAAACUGAAAAAAUGCGGCUGGACUUAUCAGGGUGGAGACUGCGGAGGUGGAGACAGUAAUAUCAUGCUUGGAUUAAAAAUACUUCAUAGAACAUUUAACCAGUGUAAAUAAGAAUGCAACCAACAUUCAAAAGGCAUGAAGUUGACCGGGAGGCAGGAAAAUGAGGCGGUUGGGGGGUGUAAAUUUCGAUUUUGUCCUAAGUUAUCUUAUAAAUAGGGAGUUGUCAUUAGACUUUUUGUUACCAUCGUAAAAGGGAGAAAUAGAGGUUAAAGUAGAUAAGUUAUGCGAUUUUCUCUUAUAAACAUUUUUCAUCUUAGUGAAUUAAUGCAUGGACGGAGGAGUACAUAGUCUCAUAUUAAAGUGAACUUUUUAUAAAUCUUUUAUCUCUUUGUUUCUUUCUACAAUUGAUUGUUUUCAGUGGAAUAGCAUUAUGAUUUCUAAUUCUCACCAAUUGAAAUGUUUAAAAUAAAUGAUUCCAGGGAACCAUUGAGAGGGAAGAUUUAUUAGUUAGCGAUGUUGAACAUAGCAUAGUGACAUAUGUUACAAUUCCAUUCCUGAGUGAAUGUAGAAAGCACAAGGAAGAAUGUAGCUAAGUAUUGUAGUCAUUAUAGUUCAAGCUACGUACGCUUGGCAUACAACCUACGGGUUUCUUAGCCGAGAGAAACAAAACAAAAGACUAUGAUGCAGGGUAAUUUAUUACUUUUAAAUGCCAGUUACUAACAUUUAUCUACAAGGUAGGUAACUUAGAUGACAUUUAGAUAUAAGCUUGGUGACUAAAAAUAUAAUUUCCCCAUUUCUUCUUCUGUGUAUUUAUAAACAGAAGCAACAUAUUCUUAAUGCAUUCAUAUCAAUUCUAGAUACCUGUGGAAAUUCAGAAGUAAGAAAGAAAGAGCAGAAAGAUGGAAGUGGUGCAAGUUCUUCAUAUGAACAAAGGAGAAGGGGAAACCAGCUAUGCCAAGGAUUCAAUUGUGCAGUUUCCGUUUCUUGCUAGUGCUCGAGUUGAGUUUUUGAGCCUAACCCUUGAUUUAAAAAUAAAAUAAAAUAAAGAAUAUUGAUUGGGCUUCUUUUACUAUCUAUAGCAAAGAAAAGUCCUUGUAUCAACUUGCAUCAUUGAAUGUAUUUAGUCAUAUUUAAUCUUCUAUUUGUUUUUCUUCAAGACUAACAUGUACAUAGUUUCUCAUAGACAAGUAACACAAAGACUUAAAACAGAUAAUUUUUAUUGACUGUGCUACCAUGCUGAAUUACUCAAGUGAAUUAAAUAAGCAGAACACCCAAGUAUGCCAUUUUCAUUUUUCUUAAUUUUACAACUUGAUAAGGUAAAACAAGUAAUCAUUAACUUCAGGUUCCACGAGUUUUGGAUUCAAACAUACUCAAACCUCUGAACAAAGGAAAUAUCUAUAUAUCAAAAACAAGUCCAAGAAGCGUACUAGAUGCAUAUCUAUCACAGUUUAAGAGAGAUUUCUCAUUAUUUCUGAAAUCGCGGACAGAAGAAAUGGUUGUUGAUGGACACAUGGUGUUGUCAUUCAUGGGCAGACUCUCUGCAGAUCCCUCAUCAGAAGAAAGUUGCAUGCGAUGGGAACGCCUAUCACAAGCUCUCAUGAGUAUGCUCUGAGAGGUAAAUUAUUAUUUGCUAAAUUAUUGGUGCACUUCUUUUAUCCCAUCUAUUGACAUGGUGCAACUUGGUUCGCAAUCUUCAGAUUUUGGCAACUAGAUCCCAACUUUUAAGUUUUAGAGUUCAUCGAUUUCAAGUAAACCAUUUUCUUUCAAUUGACCUUAAAAACUUUGAUUUUCAUUAAAAAGAUAUUUUACAUCUAUUUUUAAUUAAAAAAAUUAAGAGAAAGAAAUUCGGAACGUUGUCCCUUCACAUGACUCCACCAUCACCCUUUCUCCCCCAACCCCAAAACAACUUUUCUCAUUUAUGUUUCUUUUCUUUUUACUAACUAUUUAUUCAGGAAAAUUUAAAAUUUUAUUAAAAGAUUGACCUCAAAAUUAAUAAUUAAUUUUAAUCACAUUUUAUAGAUCUACAACUUUAUCAAACUUUCAAUCACACAUUUUAUUAUUUUAUCCGAACCUGCUAAUUUUUUUUUUAUCAAACUCCCUAAAAUUAUGUGUGUAUAUAUCGCUUACAUCGGAUUGUGUAAUCAAAUCAAAUUCUCUCGCAAUACAUAUCUCAAAGAAUCCAAUUCGUAAGGAUUAUUUCCCAACUAAUGAAGAUAUUUUAGUGGAAUUGCCACAUAUGAAACAGGGCAAUUUUGGAAAGAAAUAGCUCACUUGUUUCUCAAGAAGAAAUGAGAAAAUGAGAUGCUCAUUCUCAUUUAUUUUUUUGUUGAUCAUGUCCUUAUUUGUUCAAAGAAAUCCCUUAACAUCAAAUUUUUUUUUUUUUUAACAUAAAGCUAAUAUGAGAUACGAAAUACUGUGUUUUUACUAAAUUUCAAACGGUGAACACAAAUUUAAGUUGAUUCUACUUCACCUAUUCCUCAUAGAAAAAGUUGAUCAAAUGAAUGGUCCUUGUUGGGUUUUUUUAUACCCAAAAAUCCCAGGCAACAAUAUUAAACAGUGUCAGAUAAUAUUUCGUAGGCCGAGGCCGAUGAGUGAAAUAUUUAUCAACCAGUCAACUUAUAUACUCGACCCGAAAACAAUAUGGGCUAUUAGUUGCAACUUAAUUGAGUUUAAUGUUGCCUUGGUCCAAAUCCACUUAUAGGAGGGCUUCCUUGUGUCUUGGCCCAAUUGGUAAUAUACCUAAAAGUAUAUAUAUCUCAUUUAUCUUGCAAGAGCCGUGUGCUUUGCCCUAUUGGGUGAGAAGAGAGACUUUAGCUACCUCUUGCAAUCUUCUUUAAGUUCUUGCAUCUUCUUAUCUUCUCUUGGCAUUUGUGGCUUGCAAACACCAUCAUAUCAUUGUCCCUUUGUGGGUGAGAAAAAGGGGAAUGCAACCAUAAAUGGAUUGAGGCUGUGGGUUGGAGAUUUGAUUGAUUGGUUGAUGUAUAGAUUGGUAAGUUUGAUUUGAGCCAAGAAAAUCCACCAUUGAAGGUCGUUUAUUCAACAUUCCUUUUAGUAUGUGCGUUUGUAUGCAUGCAUGCAAGUCCUUAUGCUUGCACAAAAUUGGUGAUUUCAGGUUCUUGUUGAAGAGAAGACUGAUUCUUUCAAUGCACCCUAUUAUGCUCCAUCUGCUCAGGAAGUGAGAUCAGUCGUAGAAGAAGUUUCAUUCACCAUUAAUUGUCUUGAGGCCUUUGAGUUGGACUGGGAUGGGGGUGCUCCUAGCAAAAAUAAUUUCUAAAAAUACAUUGAUAUAAUUUAUCAAAGGGUCAGCAAGCGGCUAAAACAAUUAGGGCAGUGAUUGAAUCAGUGCUGGAAGUCCAUUUUGGAAGAGAAAUCAUGGAUGAAUUGUUUAAAAGAUAUGCUCAGGAGGUUGGUGAUUACUUUUCUAGAACUAGUGCAAAAUACAUUGACUUGGUAAUUUCAUUGACCAAAAAGGGUUAAUUGAAGUAAUCACUAAGGAAAUUAUGCAUAAUUUUACUAGUUCUACUGAUAAGUGGCAUGAACAUGUUCUUCGGUAUCUUCUCGAUACUCAUAUGAUUCGAAAAGUUCCUCGUUUUAAUUGAUUAUGCUUUCUCUAAUCUAGAAUGUUGAUGUAAUAUUUAUGACUAUAAUUAGUUUGCAACUUUCCCCAAAGAAUGAUAAUCUUGAUUUUCUAAUGUUUAUGAUGCAUGUUAUAAUGUGUUUUUCCUUCAACAAAUUAUUGGGUUUUUGAUAUUCAAUAAAUCUCGGGUUAUAAUGUUAACGUGGGUUAGUAUUAGGGAAAAUUACAUAAUUCCAGGUUUUUGAACAUCACAAUUCAAACAUCAGGGACCAAGAUUCAUAACUUAAAUAUCAGGUACUGAUAUAAUAAUCAAAUAUUAAAUAUUGAAAUUUAAUUCACAAACCCUAGUAUUUUCAUCCCUUUUGUUCUCUCGCUUCUCUCUCUCUCUCUCUCUCUCUCUCUAGCUAGCUUUAUUCCAUCCAAUCGCCAGUCACCACCCCUCUUCGGUGCGGUCUCCGUAGUGGCGGGUCGAGUGUGGUAGUGGUGGAGGCUACUUAUGGUGGUGGUCGGUGGAGGCUAUGGUUUCAGCUGGCAGCUUGUGGUGGUGUUGUUCGGUAGAGGCUGCUGUAGUUUUCAGCUUGCGGCGUCGGGGUGUGGUGGUGGCGGUUGUCGGUGGAGGUUGCUAUGAUUCUCAUCUAGUAGCAUCGGGGUAUAAGCGUUGUGCUGCCAAUUGCCAAAAUGUCGAUUGAAGGCACAACCGGCGCUUCGUGCAACUCCAACGUUGACGCCUCGCACGCGGAUCUGUAGUUUUGUCGAUAAACACGUGGGUGGUGUGUUUUGUGGUUUGGGGAUCUUUGUUAUGUCAUGGCCCCUGGGUGAUGUGUUUGGUGGUGGUUUUGUGGUGUGUUGUGGUGGUUGUUGUGUGGCUUGGUGAUGGCGGCGAACGGGGAUGGUGGUGGACUAGUAAAUUUGGCGGAGACGACGAGGUGGAGUUGGUGGGGGGUGUUGGGUUUGGAGUUUUUUGCUGGAUGGUGGUUGUGGUGUUGUGCAGUGUGGUGAUCUCCGUAUUGUUGGCGACGACGGUGUUGGUGGUGGAUCUGGCGGCGGUGAUGGUGUGGUUCAGACAACGAUAGUGGUUUUUUUUUUUUGUGCUGUGGUGGAAUUGAAUCAGGUGCGGUGUUGGGUGGUAUAGUGCAAUCGACGAUUGGAUGGUGGUGGUUUGUGAUCGAGAUUGGUGCUGGAUGGGAUCGGUGGAAGGGGUAACCAUAAAGUUUGGUCUGAGACCUUAAAAUUUGACGAUCUAUUACUAAAACAAUAAUCUGUGAACUCAAUGAUUUGGUUCGUGACCUUAAAAUUUGACAAUCUGUGACCUCAACGAUUUCGUCCGUGACCUUAAAAUUUGAUAAUCUGUGACUAAAAAAAUUUGUGACCUAUAAAAUUUUCGAUUUAUGACUUCGAAAUAAUCCAUGGCCAAUUAAUUUGAUGAUAUGUAACGGAUAAAUAAAUCUGUAAAAUUUGUGACCAUUAAUUGUUUAACUGUGAUUUUAAUAUAUUUAUUUAAUAAAUAAUUUUAAUUAAUUAAAUACAAACUUGAAUUUUGAAUUUUCAAACUUCUUACCUGGCUUUUGAAAUGGUGUAAAGAAUACACCUUAACUAAGAAUUUUUCCCUUAAUAUUAUUUUAUAGGUAUAGGCCAAUGAAUGAAAUAAAUCCAACAACCAAGUCCAUAAGCUAUACCUGGCCUAAUUGUGUUCCCUCUUGGAUGACUUCAAUCUUAGCAUAUUUACCUUUUUAAUGGUCAAACUUAAAGCCUAUACCUAGAGUAUAUAUGUCGCUAUAACCCUUGCCACUUUCUUGUGAUGUUUUGUGUGGUUUUGUGAGAAAAAUAAAGAAAUCCCAGCUACCAACCUCUAGAAGUGUUCAAAACGCUUGUUUACGUUGUGUAACUAGUGGUUCCUUCAUAGUACACCUUUGUAGUGUCUUCUCCUAGCCUUUGUGGCUAAAUAUCAUCAUCUUUUCUUGUCCUAAGAGUGAACUUAUUUUUGUUUUUGAAAGAAUAGAAAUUUUUAAAGAAAAUAUUUUACCAGUUCCAGUUAAGUUUUUUCGACUCGGUUGCUUGCUAAUAAAUUUUUAAAUAAAAUAUAAAUUUAAUUUUUCAACAAUAUUUGGUGUUAGGUGUUAGUAAAACCAUUCUAAACUUAAUAACAAUUUUGAUGUUGCAAUACAAUAUUAGAUAUCAGGAUGUCUAACGGAAUGUAUAAUGAGGCCUAAGAUCCGGUCAAAUGCGGUUUGUACUAAGGGUAAUGAUUAUCAGUUUCGAAUAUGAUGUCGACAAAAAAAUUGAGUACUUUGAUUGCUCUGAAUAUUAGUCGAUGCAAAGGACUCUAAACGCAACAAUAUGUGGCUAUAUAUUUUUCUCAAGUCCAAACUAGGUUCGACUUCCCACAAUGUGAGGAUACAAAUUUCGAAGUAUUUUCCUUCAAAAUGAUUAAUUUUCUCUUUCUUAAUCAAACUCAAGUGCGAAUUUUUUCAAGUGGGGAAGAUACGACAAUCCUGUCCAAGAGGAUAUGAAUUAUUUAUUGUCGUAAGAUUUUCUUUCUUGAUUAAUUAGUAAUUUUUCUUUCUGUUUAUUUCUUUUUGGUUUUUUAAUUCUACUUCUCUUUGAAUUUUAGUUUUCUUUUCUUUUAUGAUAUUGUUUCCUUACACCAUUAGGAUUAGGAGUUUAGUUAUUUCUUUGCCUUUAUGAGAAGGGUUUUAGCAUUAUUUUGUACUAACCAAUUCAUUAUAAUUAAAUUCUCAUAAAAUUUAGAAUUUUUCCAACAUUCUUCUUUCAAGAAUUUUAAUUUCUCUUCCACAACAAGUUUUGCAUAUUCAGGAGGUAGGCUUCAGGACACAUCAACUUUGAUAAGUUCGUUAUUUUCUUGAAUUCUAAAAUGGGACAAACUAAUAGAGUUUCAUUAAAAGGGUUGCGUAAUUCGAUGAACAUGACAAAUAUCUUGGUUUACUUUUGUUGGUUAGUCGAUCGAAGGGGAAAAAACCACUUUUGCAAGAAUGAACGAUAAACCCUAGAGUACGGUAAAGGUUGGAAUAGAGUUUUUGUUUUCAGCCAAGGGCAUGGAGAUUAUAGUAAAAGUUGUUUUACAAUUUUUGUCUAUCUGUGAGAUGAGCACUUAUAAGUGUUACAGUUAUCUUGGUCGUCAAAAAGGGACUUUGGGAGUACUUAUAUUAUUUCGAUAAUUAUUUAUGAUUAAUUUGGGAAAAACUUGGAUUGAAUAAGUUUGGAUAAAUUCGGUUUAAAGUUAUACAAAAUUGAGAAUUUGGGAACAAAAUAAUGAAGUAUUGAAGUUGAAGAUCCGUAAUGCAAAUAAAUGGACUUAGGAUGGACAAGAAAUUAAUGUAGAGGACCAAAGUGCACAAAACUGAAAGACAUGUGAACUUCGUUGUUUUCCUUAUUAUGCUCAAAUUAUACAAGGUACAUAUUUUAGGAUGUUAUGAAAAGAAAGAAAAGAGAAGAGAAAAUAAAAGUCAAAAGAUUUGUAUGUUUUAAUAAGAUCCAAAGCCAUAUAUUUAUGGGAAAGAAUAAGGGAUACAAUGUUGAUAAUUUUUAAGGUUGCAGGGGUACAAUUUUGUCAUUCACUAAUAAAAUUUAGAUAUACAACAUUCCUCCUUGAACAGCACAUUACAAAAUAUGUCUCAUUAAAACAUUAUUUGAUAAAAAUUAAAAGGAACAAAAAAAUAAACGAAAGAAAAAGAGUACAAUUAUUUUGGAAUAUUAAAAAUAAAUGCUGCCUCAUUAAAACCUUGCUAUAAAAACUAAGUGGGAUAAAGCCUAAACGACAGAGAAAAAGUACAACUACUCUCCCUGAUGUUGAUUACUGAAAAUUUUUGAGUCGAUUUUGUUUGAUAAAAGUCCAAAGGAACAAAAAAAUAAACGAAGGAAAAAUAGUAUAUUAUUUUGGAAUAUUAAAAAUAAAUGUUAGACUCAUUAAAACCUUGCUAGAAAAAACUCAGUGAGAUAAAGCUUAAGCAAAGGAAAAAAGAGUACAACUACUCUUCCUGAUAUUGAUCACUGAAAAUCUUUAAGUCGAUUUAUUUUAAUCUCAUAAACCAAUUUCUUUAAUGUAAAUAUCAGCAAUACUUUUGUAAGAUGGUCACAUUUUUACUUGAGUGAAUUUGUUAGACAUUGAUGGACCAUUCUUCUAAAACUCAUGUAUAUGUAAGAAUUUUAGAGAAAUAUGUUACGUCCUGUCACCUUUGAUAUAACUUCCAUUGAAUUGUGCAAUACAAGUAGCAUUGUCUUCGUACAAGAUUGUUAGAGUGUCUUUUGUUAAAAUUAAUCCGCAUGAUGCUUGGAUAUGAUAGGGCAUGCUCCUCAAAAUGAUUUGAGAAUGUCGCCAUCAAAUAUUAUUUCACAGAUUUUCAUGAUAUAGUUAUUCCUCCAUGUGUAAACACGUACCUUAUUUGUAAUUUAACUUAUGUGGAUCAAAGAGAUGUAUUUGCAUAUCCUAUUAAAGCAGAUCCCGACUUUUGAGAAUAUAAUAAUUCCAAAUAUAUAGUACCAUUUAGGUAACAAAACAUAUGUUUAAUACCAUUCCAAUGUCUUUGAGUUGGUGUAGAGCUCUAACUAGCAAUGGGAUUUAUAGAAAAAGCUAUGUCGGUUGAUAAGUGUGUUUUUGUACACUUAUUUAGAUCACAAACAUGACUUAAUUACGAGCAAAAUGUUUGAAUUGUGACUUAAUAUCGUUGAAUUCAUGCAAUGUAGGUGUUUUUAUGAAAAUAGUGGAAUUCAAAAGAAAAGAGCCGAAAAAAAUGACUAAAAUGGAGCAAAGUGAUAGUUUAAGGACUAAGGAUGCAAAUAUUCAAAAUUUGAACUCAAAGGCAAACCUGGAAUGCAAAUAUACUAAGUAUGAACUCGAAAGCGAUACAAGAUGAUUAGAAGAAGAAGGAAUUGCAAAGGGACUAAAAUGAAGAAAAAUGAAAGUUGAAGGACCAAAAUAGACAUUUUGCAUAGUUGGAAGCAUUAUGCGACUGCAUAGUGCUACCCUCUAUGCGGUCGCACAGAGGCCCCCCGAGAAUUUUUUCUCAAAUUUUUUUACUCUAUGUGACCGCAUAGAAAUAUACUAUGCGGUUGCAUAGAAGUUCUGGGGUCGAUUCUGUAGUUUUCUUAUACGACUGAAAUUAUUUUGGUAACCUAAUUUUCACGCAAUAUAAAUACCAAAAGAUGUCCAGAAAGAGGCAGGACGUAUUGGAGGCAAAAAAACACUUCUUGAAGAGGAUUUUGAGCGCAAGAACGAAGAUUUACACUAAGAGUUUCAAGAUUUCUCAAGAUUUCAUAAUCCGGUGGUGUCUUUUAUCCAAAAUAUGAUGUAUUCUUUUAUUUCAAUAAUGCUAGGCUAGAUUUUUAUGUGCUAAGAGAUCGAUGUACCAUAUAAUUUGAUCUUUAAUUUUCUAAUUUUGCAAUUUGACAUUAAGACAUAUUUCUAUUGUUUUGAAUGAUUUAUAUGCAAUUAUUGUUUCCGUAAUUAAGAGCCCGUAAUUGUGUGAGUUUGGGUGAUUUAUUCUUGUAUUUGAGAGAAUUGGAAUAUGUUCGAUCUAAUAUAAAUCAUCGUAGGAUCUGAUAAGGGAUAGAAAUAUAUUGCUAUGCCCUACGUGAAUCUUUAAGUGUUCAUAAAACUGCAUGCAUUUUUACAUAUGCACUUGUAAUAGAAAUAUAAGUCGGUGGUAUGUAGAAAUAAGUUCGAUACAUAUCGAGAGAGAGUAUUGGAUAGACUUAGGAACAUUGAUUUGUCACAAUUGAAGUGUGUUGUCACAUUAUGAAAUUAGAGUUUUAAAGUGAUAAUUGUAUAAAAAAUCGUGAUUCUAGUGUGUUUAAUUUCUAUUGAUUACAAAAAACAUGUGUUCUCAACAUUUGAUUUCAUUUUAGAGUGUUAAAAAUAUUAUUUUGCAUAUUUAAUUUAAUUCAAUCAUAAAAAUUGCAUAAUUAGGUUUUCUUUCCAAAAUUAGGGUUUUAAUUAGGUUCACAUUCACUUUAGUAAUUUAGUUUCGGUUAAGGUGACGAUAGGUAAAAUUGAACUAAUCAAUCUCUGUUGGACGAUAUUCGGACUCAUUUAAUUCACUUUAUUACUUGCUAACAAACCGUACACUUGCGAUAGUUUUAAAUCGAAAGAAAUAAUUUCGCGAACAAGCUUUCGGUGCCGUUGCCGAGGAUUGAGUUUAGUUUAAUUUUAUUUCUCGAGUCACUAAUUCGAAUUUCAAUUUUUAUUUUGCUAGUAUAAUUUUGUUUUUAUUUUUAUUUUAGGUUAUUAUCCUUUAUUUGUGUUUCAGUUAUUUAAAUUGUUUGAAUCUCAAUGCUCGUACUGAUUUUAUUUCUUAGAUUUGCAUGCCACGAUUAACUGGAGGAGAAUUGAAUCGAGCACACCUUCAUCGACUACAAAGAGAUCACCGAGAAGCAUAAGUACAAAUGGCAAACGAACUAAACAAUCACAUUAUUCAAGUUAAUGAAUGAGAGGCAAUGGACGAAUGAAAUGAGAUUUUGGGAGAUUUCUUGACUUCUCAAGUAAUUCAAAGUCAAUUCAGCAUAGUGUAUCUACCGUUUGGGCAGCCAAAUUUCCAGUUGACAACCAAUGUGAUACAGCCAAUGGAUGUGCAUGAUCUAUAUAAAAAUGUUUUAAAACUUUUUCUAUAUAUAGAUUGAUGAACAAAUAAUCCUUAUGAGAAAUGUUAAGAAAAUUUAAUUUUUCCUAAUUCUUUUAUCUCAAAUUCUUAUUUUAAAUAAUCUACAGUCUUAUUGAGCUCUUCAAGAAUAUCAAUUACAUUUAAAUCAUCAACAUAAACUGUCAUAAUUCUAAAUCCAAUAUUUGUUUUCUUUAUGAAACACAUGGGUAGAUAUCGUCAUUUUUAUAACCAUCCUUCAAAAAAUAUUCGCUAAAGAAAUUAUACCACAUUUUUAUAAUGAUCUUUGCAACUUAAUUGAGAACAUGGUUUUCAAGCAUGUAUUAUUUGUUCUAGGCACUUUAAGUUCUUCGGGGACUAUCAUAUAUAUGUCACUAUUAAGUGAUCCAUACAAAUAGACAAUUACUACAUCUAAAAGGCACAUAUCAAGCUUUUGUGACAAAGUGAAACUAAUUAAGAAUCAAAAAGUGAUAGUGUCCAUUAAAGAAGAAUAUGUUUUCUGAUAAUCAGUUUCAGAUCCUUGUGAGAAACCUUAAGCUACAAGUCAAGCUUUGUUUCUUACAAUUUCAUUCUUUUCAUUUUUCUUUCAUUAACUCUUUCCAAUUUGGCCAAUCAUUUUUAUUUUGAUAAUCUUUAGCAGACUAUGGUUCGAGAUCUUCAUUUUACAUAAUAUCAAGAACCACGUUAAAAAUAAAAAUACUGUCUAUAAAAACGUUAUUCCAUUCUCAUAAUUUAUGUAAUAACAUAUAACUUAUUGAAAUCUCAUUAUUUUAAGAUACUUGUGGUUCUUCAAUAAUCAUAUUUUCAAUAUUUGAUUUAUCAAUCUUUUAUAACGUUACUUGUUGAUUUUUCUCUUGUACUUUUCUUUUUCGAGAUACAAAAUCUUUUGAACCAACUGAUAAACCACGCUUCUGCCAUAUUUGAGAUUCAUUUGCUACAGCAAAUUAUUUUACAGAGACAUCAAUUUUCAAUGAAAAUGUUUUGUACUGGAAUAUAUAACUUUUGUCACUUUUCUCAUAUCAAUAAAUACAUUAGGUAGUUGAUUUACAACUUUUUGCAAAUGAAUAUUUUUUUUUUCAACUUUUUUCCUCAAGUUGAUUAUUGCAGGAUCAAAGUGAGAUAUAGUCAUUUUAUUCUAAUAAACUUUACCUUAUUUUUCAUAAUGUAAUUUUUCUCCUCAAAAAGUUGAAAAAAUUUAUUGUAUCAAAAUGAUAAUCUUCAAAACAUGUAGAAAAUAAGUCAUCCGUUAAAAGUCCAAGAUACCUAAUAGUAGACGGUGAAUCAAAAUCCACAUAAAUCCAAGUUUUCGUAUGGGACCUAUUUUAGUACAUUGUGGAGUGAAAUAGGGACUUGAAAAAUACAACCAAAAACUUGUAGAUGAUAAAUAGAAAUGCCAAUUGUAGAGGUGAAUAUUAAUAAUAAACAGCUGGUCUAAUAUGAACAUAUUACACAACAUGUAAUACGGCAUGACACCAAGUAGAAGCUGGAAGUUUUAUUUGUAAGUCUAAAAAUAAGUUAUAGACGUUUAAUAAAUGACUUCGUUAAAUCAUUUUGUGUAUGGACAUGUGCAACUAAAUAUUCGAUAAGAAUCCUAAUUGACAUACAAUAAUGAAAUGGUCCACAUGGUGGGUGUAUUGGCCUGCAUAUAUCUCCAUAAAUUAUUUUCAAUAAAAUUGAAAAUUCAAUAUUGACCUAUGUAGUCGAAUGUCUAAUGACUAAUUUGCCUUGUGAAUAAGCUACACAUAGAUAAUCAUUAGGUAAAAGAAUCUUCUAGCCCCUUAAAAGAUGUCCAUGUGAAUUGUUUGUUAUUCUAUGCAUUAUUAUAGCUCAUGGAUGUUCAAGUCAACCAUGACAAAUAAAACUUUUUGGGUUUACGAACUUCUGGUUUGUAACAAUAUUUGAUUCAACAAUUUUUAUUAAUGUAUAAUGCAUACCAGAUGGGAGUGCAUAAAGUUUUUCUUUUAUCUACUCUAGCUAAAUACAAAAGAAGUUAUACGAAGAUAUUCAACCUUAUUUUCUUGUAUCCUCUCAAUGUGAUAUCCAUUGCAUCAGAUAUAUUUAAAGUUAAGUAAAUUUCUUAUGAAUUUUCUAGAAUAAAGUUUAUCAUCAAUAUAUAAUUUCGUAUUGUUUGAUAAAAUAAUAUAAGCUAUUUCAGAGCCUUUAACGAGAUUCGAUGCACCUAAUAUCGUAUUAACAUUUUUUUCUGCUAAUGCUAAGUCUAAAAAUUAUUUUUUAUCUUGAGAAAUAGUAUGUACAGUUACACUAUCAAUCAAGCAAAUAUUUUGACAGUUCAUCAUAAAUCUUCACUAAACUUUGAAAAAUUAAACUUUCGUACUGAUAAUAUUUUUUGAAAAGAUAGAAAAGAGAAGAAAAAUUAGAAGAGAAUAGUUUUGUAUAUAUUUUAUUAAGAAUCAAAGCCUUAUAUGUAUAGAAAAAAAUUUGGGAUACAACGAUAAUAAUUUCUAGGGCUGUAGGGGUACAACUGUAAUUCACUAACAAACUUACAAUUUACAGCAUGGGAUUCUUUUUUAUAGUUAUUUUAGACUUCCAUUUAUGGGACACACUAUUGUAGAUAGAAAAACACGUAGAAAUUCAAUAUCAAAGACUAAAAAUCUAAGUUUUUCAGAAUUUUCACGAAUCCUAACAGAAUCCGUAACAAAAUCACUUUUCCACACACCGUUACUAAAUCACUAUCCCCAAAUCAUGAAGCCACUAUGACAAGUGCUAAAUCUCAAGUGUUUUGUAUCCAUUGAGCAAAAAUUUGGGGUUUGGAGAAGAAGAUUUUUUUGUGCGACUUCGAUUUUUUUCCUUAUAUCAAGAUCUUCAAACCAAGUGAUGAUUUUAUUUUAUUUUUUUCACUAUUAUGAAUACUUAAUUCAUUAUUUAGGGCAAAUUAUAUAAUCUAUGUAUGAUUUUUUUUUCAAUGUCAAGAUUCUAGUAGUUUAAUUUUCAUGUGGUACGGGGGUGGUACUAACUAAUCCUUCUUGUUCUAACUCUUAUCUCUCUCUGAUUUUUUGAUAUUAUGUAUGGGUUUUAGUGGUUUGUAAUAAUUGGCCACUAGCCCAAUAAUUUUGCUAAAAAAUCGAGAGGCAAGUUAUAGAUUAUGACCAUAUAGUUAAAUUUGGUAAUUUGGAUAAAAGUAUAGAGAUAAGUUUUUAUGGUUAUCGUGGUCGUUAAAUGGAUUCUUAGAAAGUGAACGCAUUAAUAAAAGCUUAUUUGACUUUUCAAAGAGAUAUGGUUAAUUGACUUAGUUAAAUAUUAUUAAUUCAAACUUGAGGGGGUAAAUUAAUUAGUUUAGAAGAUUAAACCAAAUACUACAAUAAGUAAUGAAUCUUAAUUGUGAAUUAAAGGUAAUUACUAAAUGAACUUGUAAGUUAUAACAUUCACAUUCAUAUUUUAAAAUCCUAAUUUGAUUUAGUUGUGUACUUUUAAAUAAAAUUUAGUAUAAUUAGAUAAUUUAAGUAAUUAAUUAAAGACUAUUACUCGUAUUUCUUCAACUCAAAGUUAAAAAUAAUAAGUUAGGAAUUAAAUAAUAGUAUUAAUUUGAAUGAUCAUUCAAACGCAUUGAUUCAUUAUAUAACUUGCUAUGAUAUCAUUCACUUACAACAACAACAAAAAAAACUAACAAGUUUCGGGGGCUGUUGUUGAAAACUAUUUAUAUUUAGUCUUGAUUUAAUUUAUUUCUAAAUAUUAUUGGAUUUCUUUUUAUUUUUAUUUUAGCCAAUUCACUUUUUUCUUUGUUUCAUUGGCAGUGAAAGAAAUGAAGCAAGAGACUGACAACAAUAUGCAUUGAUUGAUCCCAUCUUUGAUGACAGUGAUCAUAUGAUUGUAGGAGAUGUAUUUUUAAUGAAAUAAUUUAAUAAAAUGGAAUAUAAACUACUUGCUAAACUUGAUAAGCGUGAGUUGCUAACGAGAUUAUUUCCCCAUGUAAAAUUUAAUAGAGUCAAGAUAAUUUUCAGGAUGAUCCACAUGUAGAAUAUGAUGAUAGAGACAUGCUCGUGAAACAUGUCCUCUCCAUGUAAAAAAUAUAGAAGAAUUGAAUCCUAAAUAACUAUGGAUGAGCCAAAUAAGAUGGUUAUGGGGGAUUGCAUCGUCAAUCAACUCAAGGAGUUAACAACUAAAGAAGAAGAGCAAGUACGAAACCAAAAAUUAGGCAUAUCUGAGCCAAACAAAUCAAUGACAUUCAAUGAAGAUGCAAUUAGCACGCACUCAUUUAACUCCAUCGAUUUUGUGGUUAAGCUUAUAAGAUUCCCCCCUACUCUCACCUAAAAGUAUUGGUUGUUUAGCCACUUAUAUCCAAAAGGGUAAGACAAAGGCUUGAUGUAAGGAAUACUCCAUGCAUUUUUAUAGGCUAUAGAGAUGAGGAAUUUGGACAUAAAUUAUGGGACCCGAAGACAAAGGAGGUCAUUAGAAGUAGGAACAUAAUGUUUCAUGAAAAUCAGUCAGUAGAAGAUAUUGAAAAGUGUACAAUGUCUCCAAUCCUAAAUUCAGUGCCCAGGAUAUUUUUCUAAAUCUAGCACCAUAACAAUUUAACAUAGAUAAUGACGACGUGCAUAAUAAAAUGUCAGAAGUAGAGCAGGAGGCCAAAGAAGAGGAUAAUGAUCAGGGGAGUCACAACUCUCUCCAACAAAAGUUGUCAGCCCAUUACAUCAACCAGAUGAUGGUGCACCUCUUGAAACCAGCAAUGUACAAGUACAAAGAUCAGAAUGAAGACCAAUUCCAUCAACAAGAUAUUUAGAUUUUGAGUACAUUUUGCGUACUAAUGAAGAGCUAGAAUGCUUCCAGGAAGCACAAUCUCAUGUAGACACACAAGUAGAUACAAGCAACGCAGAAUGAGUUGGAGUCACUGUAGAAGAAUUAGACAUAUAAGUUGGUUGAGCUUUAGAAGGGAAAGAAGACGCUGGAGAAUAAAUGGAUUUUCAAGCUCAUGAAAGAUGGCAACAGAAAUGUGAUGAAACAUAAAGCCCAUCUAAUAAUCAAAGGAUUUCUACAGAAAAAGGGAAUUGAUUUUAAUGAAGUUUUUUCGCCUGUUCUAAAAAUGGCCUCAAUUCGUGCUAUAGUUGGAUUAGUAGCCAAUUUAAAUCUAAAACUUGAACAGAUGGAUGUUAAGACAACAUUUCUUCAUGGUGACUUAUUUGAAGAAAUUUAUAUAGAGCAACAAGAAGAUUUUGAAGUUUCAGAAAAGGAGAACUUCAUUCACAAUUUAAAUAAGAGCUUGUGAAGAAACAUUCUGUCAAACUACCAUAACUGUUCACAAUCUAAAGAUAAUAGCCAUUUGCUCUUAUAUAGAUGUAUCUUGUGCUUCAUCAACAAGAAUGCAAAAGCAUUCAUUCACAACUUCCACUCAAACCAUCCAUCGUACUCUUUUGGCCAAAGUGUGCAAAUUUUCUUUUUGAAAAGUUAAAGCAAUGUAUUUGACAAGGAAAAAUUGUCCAAUAAAAAAAAAUUCAACAAAACUUCAAAAAAUUUAGUAGAAUAAAAAAACUUAUCUAUAGCAAAUUAGCAAGCAAAUAAUUACCUGCUAAUUGAGUCUAUACCAAGAGUGAUGUAAAGUUAAGUAUGGUAUUCAAGCAGCAAGAAAUGAACAAUUAAGUUUGAAAUCUACAAAACGAGCAGAAUUUGUGUUAAAAAAUGUUUGAUCAAGUACAUUAACUCGGCGAAGUUGAACUUUAGAAGUAUUCUAUGAAUCUAUCAUUUUGUAAUAUAUUUUGCGUUUUAAAACCUUCAUGUAAACUAUAUUUUUUUUAUUAGACUAGUUGCACACACUUGGUGUACAUCAAGUUUGACUCUCCAAAUAUUGUCAAAAAUCUGUGACAUUAAUUAGUUGAAGUGUAGUGAAGAUCAACGUCUAAAAAAAUGCUACCUCAAAAGAAUCCCAAACUUAAUGUAAAACUCAGUGUACAUGUAGCUUGGUUUUUUUUUAUUUUUCAUUUUAUCUGCUAUUUUCAUAGCUCCACAUAAAACAAGUAAAUAAUAACUAAAUAUGUAACCAUAUGUAUAUGAUGAAAAUAAAUUCAAUGAAUGAGUUUCAAGCUCAACUUUUGUUACUUUUAAAACUGCAGAAUCAUAAGGCAGCUAAUUCUCUUUAAUUCAUGAGCAAUCAAUUUUCACACAUACACUAUAUUAGUUUUUAUAAAUUGAACUAUUUUGAAGAGCUUUAUUUUUUCUAUUUGGGUAUCCAUUGUCAAUCACCUAACUAAAUAGACUUCUACAUUUUCAUGACGUUAUCCUUCUUGCUGGCUCGUUUAAUUAAACUCGAAGGAGAUUGACCGAAGCCAAUGCUGAUGCCAUAGGCAAUGGCGGCAUUAUUUGAAAAGGAGUCGGUUCAUUCAUUCCUUACCAAAUAUUCAGGUUAAAUCGCAUUAGAACUCACAAUUUUUAUCAAUUUCGCAGACGAACAAGAAAUGAUGACACCAGUAAUAUAUUUAACAGAUAUUUUAGCCAUGAUUUGAAGCUCAUGAUGGCAAUUUUAUUCAUCCUCUUCCUAAUGCUCCAAGUCUAAAAUUUUUAAUUGUUCAACAAUAACUUUUAUUAGCUAACUUUUAUCAAACAUGUUUCCUUGUACUAUUCUUGAUAUGAUAUCAAAACUUAUUAAUCUUGAACAAGCAAGUUGAAAACAUUGUGAUUGAGCAUGUGGAUUUUGAAUUGAUGCCAUCUCACUGUAUCAUUGUAGUCACGUUUUAAAUGAAUUUCCAACUCUUAGUAUAUUUUAAUUUCUAAAUAAAAAUAAACAAAUCAAUUUUAUAAUAAAUGGAUCAUAGACCAAACAAAUUAUAUACAACAACAAAUAAAGGAUAAUAAAAGUACUGCAUAGAACAUGCGUUUGAAUUAUUUGACAGAUUUAGUUGACUUUGCAAUACUAUCCACCUUAAACUAAAAAUAUUUAAAAUUAAUUUUGCACCACAAUUUAGAAAUGCAUGUCGACACAUGUCUUGUGGGUUAUUUAUAUAUGGUCAUUAACAAAGUACUCGAAUUUCAUUUUCUCGCAAAUUGUUAACCAGGCAUUUAAAAAAAAAAUACAGUGUUUCUGUUAUCUAUUUCAACACAACAACAGAAGAUUGGGGAAAUAGAUAUAUAUGUAGAAUUAUUUAAAAAAUGCAGUCACUGAAUGAGAUUUUCCGAGACUUUUUGUCCCUCGAAUUUUCUUCAUCUGUCAUUAGAAAAUGGUAUUUAUCAGCAACCAAUCAAUGUACUCUGUGUAUUUUAAUAAAUAAGAAUGCAGAAUUAUUGAACUAAAUGUGAUCAACGUGAGAAAUUGGAAUUGAAAAAAAAAAAAAAAAGACUGUUUGUUUUUGUAACAACCGACUAACUGCCAUUAAAACACCCACUACUCAGUCAUUAAAAUUCUGCAUUAACAUGGUGAAGACUGUUACCACCAUCCUACCUAUAAUGUGAUCAACGUGAGAAAUUGGAAUUGAAAAAAAAAAAAAAAAAGUUUAUAUAUUAUUGUGGACUAGAACAUGACAGAAAGGAUGAAAGAUUUUAUGGCUUGAAUGAAAAUAUUCAUAGGACAUUUAAGAAUGCAAUCAAAAUUCAAAAGGCAAGAUUUUGACUUGGAGGCAGGAACACGAGGUGGUGGGGUGGGAGGCUGCGGAGGUGGAGAUAGUAACAUCAAGCCUGGAAUGAAAAUAUUUCAUACAACAUUUUAAAUUUCGAUUGUCCUAAUUUAUCUUAUGAUAGGGAGUUGUCAUUAAGCUUUUAUAUUACCAUCGUAAAAGAGAGAAAUAGAGUUUAAAGUAGAUAAGUUAUGCGAUUUUCUGUCAAAACUAUUUUAUAAUUAGUUGCCAUGUCUGCUGUAGAGAUAUCUGUUCCUAAGUAUUCUGAAAAACCUGAGUUGUUUGAUGGAAAGAAAGCCUGGAAUGAAAAUAUUUCAUACAACAUUUUAAAUUUCGAUUGUCCUAAUUUAUCUUAUGAUAGGGAGUUGUCAUUAAGCUUUUAUAUUACCAUCGUAAAAGAGAGAAAUAGAGUUUAAAGUAGAUAAGUUAUGCGAUUUUCUGUCAAAAACAUUUUUCAUCUUAGUGAAUUAAUGCAUGGACGGAAGAUUACAUAGUCUCAUAUUAAAGUGAACUUUUUAUAAACCUUUUGUCUCUUUAUUUCUUUCUACAAUUGACUAUUUGCAGUGGAAUAGCGUUAUGAUUUCUAAUUCUCUCCAUUUAAAACAUUUAAAAUAAAUGUUUCCGGGUGACCAUUGAGAGGGAAGAUUUAUUAGUUGGCGAGGUUGAAUAUAGCAUAGUGACAUAUGUUACAAUUCUGCUCCGAGUGAAUGUAGGAAGCGUAAGGAAGAAUGUAGCUAAGUAUUGUGGUCAUUAUAGUUCAAGCUACGUAGGCUUGGCAUACAACCUAGGGGUUCUUAGCCGAGAGAAACAAAACAAAGGGCUAUGAUGCGGGGUAAUUUAUUACUUUUAAAUGCCAGUGACUAACAUUUAUCUACAAGUUAGGUAACUUAGAUGACAUUUAGAUAUAAGCUUGGUGACUGAAAUUGUAAUUAUCCCAUUUCUUCUUGUGUGUACUUAUAAAUAGAAGUCUGAAGAUUGGGGAAAUAGAUAUAUAUGUAGAAUUAUUUAAAAAAAUGAAGUCACCGAACGAGUUUUUCCGAGACUUUUUGUCCUCUCGAAUUUUCUUCAUCUGUCAUUAGAAAAUGGUAUUUAUCAGCAACCAAUCAGUGUACUCUGUGUAUUUUAAUAAAUAAGAAAAUAUGCAGAAUUAUUGAACUAAAUGUGAUCGACGUGAGAAAUUGGAAUUGAAAAAAAAAAAAAAAGUUUAUAUAUUAUUGUGGACUAGAACAUGACAGAAAGGAUGAAAGAUUUUAUGGCUUGAAUGAAAAUAUUCAUAGGACAUUUAAGAAUGCAAUCAAAAUUCAAAAGGCAAGAUUUUGACUUGGAGGCAGGAACACGAGGUGGUGGGGUGGGAGGCUGCGGAGGUGGAGAUAGUAACAUCACGCCUGGAAUGAAAAUAUUUCAUACAACAUUUUAAAUUUCGAUUGUCCUAAUUUAUCUUAUGAUAGGGAGUUGUCAUUAAGUUUUUAUAUUACCAUCGUAAAAGAGAGAAAUAGAGGUUAAAGUAGAUAAGUUAUGCGAUUUUCUGUCAAAAACAUUUUUCAUCUUAGUGAAUUAAUGCAUGGACGGAAGAUUACAUAGUCUCAUAUUAAAGUGAACUUUUUAUAAACCUUUUGUCUCUUUAUUUCUUUCUACAAUUGACUAUUUGCAGUGGAAUAGCGUUAUGAUUUCUAAUUCUCUCCAUUUAAAACAUUUAAAAUAAAUGUUUCCGGGUGACCAUUGAGAGGGAAGAUUUAUUAGUUGGCGAGGUUGAAUAUAGCAUAGUGACAUAUGUUACAAUUCUGCUCCGAGUGAAUGUAGGAAGCGUAAGGAAGAAUGUAGCUAAGUAUUGUGGUCAUUAUAGUUCAAGCUACGUAGGCUUGGCAUACAACCUAGGGGUUCUUAGCCGAGAGAAACAAAACAAAGGGCUAUGAUGCGGGGUAAUUUAUUACUUUUAAAUGCCAGUGACUAACAUUUAUCUACAAGUUAGGUAACUUAGAUGACAUUUAGAUAUAAGCUUGGUGACUGAAAUUGUAAUUAUCCCAUUUCUUCUUGUGUGUACUUAUAAAUAGAAGCAAUAUAUUCUUAAUGCAUUCAUAUCAAUUCUAGCUGUGGAAAUUCAGAAGCAAGAAAAAAGAGCAGAAAGAUGGAAGUGGUGCAAGUUCUUCAUAUGAACAAAGGAGAAGGGGAAACCAGCUAUGCCAAGAAUUCAGUUGUGCAGGUUCCAUUUCUUGCUAACGUUCAGUUAUUAAUACUAGAAAAAUUCUAAAUUUAUAAUUACUACGAUUCUAGUGAGGCUGCAUGCACAAAAUCAUUUUUAACAUAAAUAUCUGUGAAUUUAUCUUUCGGACGUAAAUGUCAAACUUCAAAAUUUCUUAGUUUGCAAGUUAUUAACUGAUCAAUAUUAGUGAUACCAUCAAAAAGUCCUCAAAUGAAAUAUUCAUUUACAAAAAAAAAAAAAAAAGGGUGUAUAAUUUUAAACAAGUUUGUUAAACUUUUAGAUAAGUAUAACGAUCUGAGCUUUUAGAUUUGAGGAUGAACUUAAAAAGUUCUUCCUCUCUCUGUUGUUUAGCUUUCUGAUACUGUAUUUUGAAACAUUUCCAUGCAAUUGCAGAAGAAGAUAAUAUCAGUUGCAACUUCAAUAAUCAAGGAAGAAGUGCAAAAGUGUUUGGAAAAGAAUUACCCUGAUAGUAUGGGAAUUGCAGAUUUGGGAUGUUCAUCUGGACCUAACAGUCUAAUGGUAAUUUCUGAUCUAAUAGAUACAAUAUAUGCCACAAGUAAUCAAAAGGAAAUUCCAUUACCGGAGCUAAGGGUUUCAUUGAACGAUCUUCCCGGCAAUGAUUUCAAUAACAUAUUCAUCUCUUUGCCGGAGUUCUACAAUCAACUCAAAAUGGAGAAGAACAUUGGACCGGAAGGGUGCUUUAUUUCAGGUGUGCCUGGCUCUUUUUAUGGGAGGUUGUUUCCUAAAAAGAGUCUGCAUUUUGUUCACUCUUCUUCGAGUCUCCAUUGGCUUUCGCAGGUUAGUUUCAUUGCCUCGAACAACUUUCAUAAAUUGAUAGAGACGAGACAAAAACUCAUGACUUAUGUAUGCCGUGAUAUGACAAUCUCAUAUAAAAUCUCAUACACUAACAAGACACAUUUUUUUAAUUCAAAUUUGAUCUAAUGUUUGUCAAACACUUCAAAAGUAUGCCUAACUAUAUAAAACAAACCGUGUAUGAAGAGGAGCCUCAUGUUACUUGAAUUGGGCUCUCCAUCUGUCAGAAGUUUUAAUAGAUAAAGCGAUACGUUCCCCCCAGCUAGGUUAUUAUUUUGAGUAAAUAACAAUUUAUUUAAAUAAAUUGUAUGAAGAAUAGGCAUGUGAAUCAUAAUUUAAAAGUGUAAUUUCGUAUGGUUCUUGUGCAAUACUUGUCCUGGUUUACAUGUGCCCAAAAAAAAAAAAAAUGAAAUUUAGAUGUGACAUUAUAAUCAAACAAAACCACACAAGGAGAAAAACCAUUUGGUCCCCAUAAUCAAUACGAGGAAGAAGAAUAAUGAGUGGAAAGAAAAAGACAAUGGCGAUUGACAAUUUGUUUCUUCCUCUCAUUUAUUGUUCACAAUAAGAAAAAUAUCUACGAAAGCUAAUAUUAUUAAUAUUAUUUCAUUCUAAGAAUUGUAUGUCGAUAUAUCAUAUACACAUAUAGAUACGGAUAGGCUUGCAUACAUGAACAGGAUAAGACCUUGUAAAAAAUAAAACAUAGAAGAAUUAUUGAGAUAUUAAAGUUUUAGGAAUAAUUAAGAAUUGCCUAUAAUUUCUGUCUUGUUCUCCUUCCUAUGUUGUGUUAGCUACGAAAACCUACAUCCCGUCUCCAUCUUUAAUUGGUGGACCACUACACAUCGCUUGUACCUAUUUUGUAAAGAAAUAUCUAAGGCUUAACCGAAUAGUGCUUGAGUUGAAUUUUCGAGCCUAAUCCUUGAUUUAAAAAUAAAUAAAUAAAUAAAUAAAGAACCUUGAUUGGGCUUCUUUUACUAUCUAUAGCAACGAAAAGUUCUUGUAUCAACUUACAUUGAUGAAAAUAUUUAGUUAUAUUUAAUCUUCUGUUUGUUGUUCUUCAAGGCUAACACAGUUUCUCAUAGACCAGUGACACAGAGACUUAAAACGCAUAGUUUUUACCGACUCUGUUACCAUGCUGAAAUACUCAUGUGAAUUAAACAUCCAUAAGCAGAACACCCAACUAUGCCAUUUUCCAUUUUUCUUAAUUUUACAACUUAAUAAGGUAAAACACAUCAUCAUUAACUUCAGGUUCCACGAGUUUUGUAUGCAAACAUACUCAAACCUCUGAACAAAGGAAAGAUCUAUAUAUCAAAUUCAAGUCCAAGAAGCGUACUCGAUGCAUAUUUAUCACAGUUUAAGAGAGAUUUCUCAUUAUUCAUGAAAUCGCGAUCGGAAGAAAUGGUUGUUGAUGGACACAUGGUGUUGUCAUUCAUGGGCAGACUCUCUUCAGAUCCCUCAUCAGAAGAGAGUUGCAUGCAGUGGGAACUCCUAGCACAAGCUCUCAUGAGUAUGGCCUUAGAGGUAAAUUAUUAUUUGCUAAAUUAUUGGUGCAAUUUUUUUCCCCACCUAUUGACGUUGUGCAACUUGGUUCGCAAUCUUCGGAUUUUGGCAACUAGAUCCCAACUUUUAAAAGGGUGUUUGGAAGAUAUUUUUAUGUAAAAAUGCAUUUUUUGAAUAGUAAAUUGAUGAGAAAUGUAAGGUUGAAAAAUAAGGAAAAAAUUUUGAUUUACGUAUAAUAUUAUUUUAAUAAAGAAUGUGUAGUUGAAAAGAAGAGACAGAAAAAUUUUAAAAAAUGGGUACCAAACGGGGCCUAAGUUUUGGGGUUCAUCGAUUCCAAGUAAACCUUUUUUAUUCAAUUGACCUUAAAAACUUUGAUUUUCAUUAAAAAGAUAUUUUACAUCUAUUUUUAAUUAAAACAAAAAAAAUUUAAGAGAAAAAAAAAUUCGGAAUGUUGUCCCUUCCCAUGCACUCCACCAUCAACCUUUCUCCCCAAACCCCAAAACAACUUUUCUCAUUUAUGUUUCCUUUCUUUUUAUUAACUAUUUAUUUGGGAAAUUUUAAAAAAUAUUAAUAAAACUUUGAAGUCAAAGUCAAUAUUAAUUUUAAUCACACAUUUUAUAGAUCUACAACCUUAUCAAGUUUUCAAUCACACAUUUUAUUAUUUUAUCCAAACCCGCUAAUUUUUUUUUAUAAAAUCCACUAAAAUUAUGUGUUUAUAUAUCACUUACAUCGGAUUUGUGUAAUCAAAUCAAAUUCUCUCUCAAUACGUUUCUCAAAUAAUCCAAUUCAUGAGGAUUAUUUCCCAACUAAUGAAGAUAUCUUAGUGGAAUUGCCACAUAUGAAACUGGGCAAUUUUGCAAAGAAAUAGCUCACUUGUUUCUCAAUAUGAAAUGGGAAAAAAUGAUGCUCAUUCUCAUUUAUUUUAUUGUUGAUCAUGUCCUUAGUUGUUCGAAGAAAUCCCUUAACAUCAAUUUUUUUUUUUUUUUCACAAGCUGAUAUGAGAUACGAAAUACAGUGAUUUUACUAAAGUUCAAACAGUGAACCCAAUUUCAAGUAUUCUUCAUAGAAAAAGUUGAUCAAAUGAAUGGUACUUUUAGUAUGUGCGUUUAUAUGCCUGCAUGCAAAUCCUUAUGCUUACGCAAAAUUGGUGAUUUCAGGGUCUUAUUGAAGAAGAGAAGAUUGAUUCUUUCAAUGCACCCUAUUAUGCUCCAUCUAUUCAGGAAGUAAGAUCUGUAGUAGAAGAAGAAGGUUCAUUCACCAUUAAUUGUCUUGAGGCAUUCGAGAUUGAAUGGGAUGGGGAUGCUCCAAGCAAUAAUAAUUUCCAAAAAUACACUGAUAAAAUCGGGAAAAAUAACUUUUCAAGGGGACUGCAAGUGGCUAAAACAAUUAGGGCUGUGGUUGAAUCAAUGCUGGAAGUCCAUUUUGGAAGAGAAAUCAUGGAUGAAUUGUUUAAAAGAUAUGCUGAGCUGGUUGGUGAUUAUUUUUCCAGAACUAGGGCAAAAUACAUUGACUUGGUAAUUUCUUUGACCAAAAAGGGUUAAUUGAUGUAAUAACUAAGGAAAUUAUUCAUAAUGUUUACUCGUUUUACUGAAUAAUGUUCUUGAUUUAUCCGUUAUAAGUGGGAUGACCAUGUUCUUCGGUAUCCUCGUGGAUACUCGUAUAAUUUGAAAAGUUCUAAUCUAGAAUGCUGGUGUAAUAUUUAUGACUAUAAUUAGUUUGCAAAUUUCCCCA